rnacentral:lncRNA from 1 species
AAGCUUGCAGAAGAUCUCUCUUUUCAUGUGUGAUAUCGGCCAAGGUUUCGUCAAAAUUUUAGAUGCACUGCCAAAUCUAGUGGAAUUGAACAUUGAUUAUUGCUAUGAUCUGGUGCAACUUCCUGCCAACCUUUGUGACCUUGUUCACCUUAAGAAGCUUAGCAUCACCAACUGUCAUAAGCUAUCUGCCUUGCCUGCAGACAUCGGAAAGCUAGUCAAUCUUGAAGUGUUGAGGCUUAGGUCAUGUGCAGAUUUGUUAGAGUUGCCAGGCUCGAUUAGGAACCUUAAAGUUUUGAAAUUUCUCGACAUAUCUGAUUGCUUUAGCGUAAAGGAGUUGCCAGAGGACAUUGGUGCAAUGUGCAAAAGCAGCAUUGAAGAAAAUGGAUUCAAACGAAGUGCCUGUUUCAAAACUGAAAGGCUGCCUGCUUCUGUUAUGGAACUUAAAGCCAUUGAAGUGAUAUGCGACGAUUUCCUUGAAAACUUUAUGGGAACCCUUUUUGCCAAUUCUCACAAACAUGCGCAAUUAAAGUGAUAAUGAUAUCAACCAAAUUGGAAAAGUCCUUUGCAUCAUGAUAAUGCAUCGUGAUUUGCCCAUGUGUUAAAAAACUACUUUAAUGAUAAAUGCAGUACUCCUGCUUGCUUGCAAUAUAUGAUCCUUGAAGCAUGUUAAAGUUGAACAAGUUCUUGCAACUAAGGCAACCAUGGAAUCUUUUCAAUCAUCUCUCUUGCCAAGUUCUUGAUUAAACAAUGUCUUCUCAAACUGAUAUCAAUCAAAACCUAAAUUGCAAACAAUUAAUAUUUCCAUCUCAAGAUCUCUGGUUGCCAAAUGUUCUGCAUUUUGUCGAUAAUCAUUGCAAGUUUAAUGAUUCUUUGAAUUCUCAUGUUUAAGAUAGCUAAACUCAUUUGUAUGCAAAGACUUUUUUGAUUUCAAGUAACACACAUUAAGUCUGCCAUGAAAAAGCACCAAUGAUAUAGAGGACUGGAACAUUGAGCAUGUCCUGUGAGAGGCUAGUCUUUCAAGCCUUUCAAUUCUUGCUGUUCGUAGAAAGCAACGAAAGGCCAGUCUUGAAGCUUCCUGCCAAUCUCAAUGACGGCUUUCUUAGAAUUGGUUUUGUGAAAAUUCAAAUUACAGAGAGAGCAGAGAAACGAGGAAGAGUGCACAUGUUAAAGUACAAUUUUAUCCAUGUAUUAACAGAUAGUUAAUGGAAAAAUCAAAUUUUGGGCUAAACGGAGUACCAACAAUGAGUUCAAAUCUGAGUUUUUUUAGCAUAUGGGCUAUCUUCCGAAUACCUUAUGAUCAUAGGGAUUAUUUAUCCGAUUUGGCCUUAUUGUAAUUAUUCACCAUGGCUAUUAUUGUAAAUAACAUGUUUGCACUCCUCAUUUAUUGACUCUUUUGAUUCUCUUUGAUUUAUCCAAUCAAUGGUGUGCAUAAGUGCAUGGAAAGAAAAUAAAGUUCAAAAAUAACUACCCUUUGAUUUAUCCAAUUAAUGAGUGUUGGUGCAAAAUUUGUUUUCUUAUUCUCUCUCUUGCUGCACCUCUUUAUCCCCCUUCAGUUAAAAUAUGACAUAACAUUACUAUUUUAUUUAAGGGUAAUUCAAAUUAGUAGAUAAAAUUUUGCAAACUAAGUGACAUGGAAAUUGAUGAUUGGAAUAUGACUUAAACGUAGAUAAAUGUGCUUAAUCCUAUUGGUAACAUAUCAUUUAGUUUGUAAAUUUUGUCCUCGUAACAUUACUCAUAUAAAUUAUUUAUUCAACAGCACAACAUUUUUUUUACUAUUUUAUUUUCAACUAUAAAUGCUACAACACAAAAUUUUAAAAGCAGUGCAAUACCAAAUCAUAUGCACUAGAAAAUUCUGUAUCUUCUCGCCUCCUAAUAGCGCGUCAAAUGUCUUUCCCGGCUCGUUCGUUUUCUUUGGGUGAAAUUCAUUGCUCUUCGUUAAGUUGUAUAUAUGUGUGCUGAAACCAACAGACACCUUACAUAACAUUCUCACUUUCUCAUCAAACUAAAUUAACAAAGAGGAUUAAGGGUUAGUUUGGGACUAUUGUGUUUAAAAAAAAAAAAAACUAAUAUUGUUAUGAUUUAAGAAUAAUCAGCUGUAAAAUAAAGGUGAUGAGCGUUUGCUUAACUAAAUUUUAAAAGUGCUGUGAAUAUGAAAAGCAACGCAAAAGUGUUUGGUAAAAUUUAAUGUAAAAGUGAUAUAAUUGUAUACAAUGAUAGAUGGACAUAGUAGUAAGAGUGGGGGCAACGACAGCAGUGGUGGUAAUGGUGAUGGUGGUUGUGGUGGAGUUGGUGGUUGCGGUGGAGCUGGUGGUGGUGCUAAUAGUGGGAUAUGUUGGUUGAGGUGGAAAGGUAACAUUGGUGGUAUGGCGGUGGUAGUGGUGGCAGUUGCAGUUAUGGUGGUGUCAGUGGUGGCGGCAAUGAUGGUGGUAAUGAUAGUUGUGGUUGUGAUGGCGAUGAUGGCAGUUGCAGUAAUGAUGGUGGUGAUGGUGUUGGCAAUGAUAGCAUCGAUGGUGGUAAUAGUGGCGGUGGCAAUGGCGGCGGCGGUAGUGAUGGUGGUGACAAUGAUGGUAGUGAUGACAGAGGUGAAGGUUGUGGUUAUGGCGGCGGUGGUGGUGACAAUAAUGGUGGUUGUAAUGGAGGAGAUGGUGUAAGGUUAGUAUUUGUAAUGGUAGGUGAUAGCGUUUAUUUUAUUCUCUAAGGAAUGUGUUUGGAAGGUUAAACAAUGUCAUUUAAAAAAAAAAAAUUAAUGAAGGUAUUACAACAAUUGAAAAUUAUUAUUAUAGACACAAUUCUACUUUUUUUUUAUUAAAGCCGCUUUUAAAAGCAACUUACAUGCUGCUUUUAAAAGAUGCUAUUUGGAGUCUCUUUGUUUUGGUAAAUAUGUCUGGCUCCAGUCGGAAUGGGUGAUUUCAGAACGACAUUUGAAAUGCUGUUUGAUGCUGUAAAAUCAGUGCAGGAGGAGAAUAAAAUGUUCCAGCACCUCUCCCGAGACAUCAAGUUCGCACAGGACUCUGUACAACCACUCAUCAAAGACAUCGAAAAGUAUAACUCGAAAGAGGGACCGCAAAUUUUGCAAUACAGAUGGAGGAGGGAACAAGCUUUCAACAACUGUUACAUAAUCUCAGUGGCAUUCCCGAAUAUAGAAGAAAUGUAUAUCGACUAUUGCAGUGAUUUAAUAGAGUUGCCCGCCGAGAUUUGUGAUCUUAGUAAACUAAAGAAGCUCAGUGUCACUAACUGUCAUAAGAUAUCUGCCUUUACCUGAAGGGAUUGGAAAGUCGGAAAAUUUAGAAAUGUUGAGGCUAAGAUCCUGCACAAAACUGUCAAAGCUUCCAACCACGAUGAAGAACCUUGGAAAGGUAAACUUUCUUGACAUAUCUAUUUGCUUCAGCAUCAAGAUGUUGCCCAAAGACAUAGGUGAAAUGAGUAGUUUAAAGAAGAUGAACAUGAGACAAUGCUCAAGGUUGCAAGAGCUGCCUCCAUCAGUCAUGGAUCUUAAGCAGUUAAGGGAAGUUGUCUGUGAUGAAGAUACAAAAUACUUAUGGGAAUCUUUCUCAUUGUGUCUCAACAACGUAAGGAUAAUUGUGGCCAAAGAGAAUAUCAACCUAAAUUGGAUCCACAAGACUCAGUUCUAAUACCUGUGUUUCCUUGAUGAUCGUUGCUCUUCAACCUCUCUUGACUUGUGUUUCAUUGUCUUCCUAUUUUAGGCUAUUUCCCAUCUCCUUUUUAGUUUGUUCGUGGCUAGAAUUUCCGUUGGGGAUGUUUCCUAGCGGACGAGCACACAGCUCACCAAGAGGUUGGCACCGGUUGAUGCUUUCUGUUAGGCUUCUGCUCACUGGCGGGCUUGUCAGGCAAAUCUUGUUGGGCAAGGCUUGUCGGGCAAGGCUGAAAGAGAAGGACAUGGUUAACUUUGAAAUGUGCCUUUGUAGGGCCUUAGGUGUAGGUCUUGAGGCUCACAAUCAAGAUUAACUUUUAGGUGUUCAGGCAUGCCACUGCCAUCUUUAGCAUGAUAGAUGUAAAACAGAUGUUGAGUUUUAAUUGUAUAUAUACCCGAGAGGCUGUUUUAGUUAUGAAAGGUGCCUUUGUAGGGCCUUAGGUGUAGGCCUUGAAGCUCUCAAUCAAUAACUAACCCAGUACUCGAACAUAUAAUGUUUGUUUCAUUGAUUGCAGAAGUGUUAUGACUAUUAUACUUCUAAUUACCUGAGCCCGAAGAGCAGAAUGAAUCCAAAUAGGUGCCUUUGUAGGGCCUUAGGUGUAGGCCUUGAGGCUUCCCAUCAGAAUUACUUCUAUACUCAAACGUUCUACGAUAAUCAUAAUAUAACAGAAAUAAAACUAGGAAAUAGGUCGAUUACUUGCGCCCUAAGUAACUUCGGACUUCUUGUUAUCAAAGUCUGUCGUGGAUGGGUUAAGUCCACAUAAGGUUCUUUUUUAUGCCUUGAGACCAAAGACUUUUGAAUGAUCAAUCUUACAUGCCCGAGGGUUUAGAACUUAGAUCUGAUUUAAACUGUGACUACAUAUUCCAAUCGGAUUCAAGCACUGAGGAGUCUUUUAAUCAUCAACUUGCUAGAAAUAACUUGGAUACAAAUGGAAGUAUACAACAUAUUACUAGACUUAUGAAUGAAAAGACAAAAACAAAGAGGGUCGGGCAAGGUUUCACUUUGUCGGGCAAAGCUGGUCGUCUUGCAACUUCCUAUCUUUGUGAUUUAUAGAGGGGUUUGAGAACUUGGAAAGAGGGAUAAGGAGAUGAGUUUACAGAAGGAAAUCGAUACUACAGUAAGAUUUAGACAAAGUAGCAAAGCUUUUACAAAAGCUUUUGGUGAGGGUUGAUCCCGAAAUGGAUGAAGGCUUGGGCUGACUACAGCUUCGUUGAAAGCAAAUCUGGCUUGAGCAGAGUUUGUGCUUAUAUUUGUUUGGUUGUUUGAGUGUCCUCAUCUCUGAUUUUCUUUCUUCUUUUAUAGACAGUUUGGCUUGGCAUCCAGUAGCUUUAAUCUUGCCCGAAUGCAGCUUGAAGGGCAAUGACUCAUCAGCUUUUUACUUGUACUGCUACUGUAAAGUGCUUUUGGGCUGAUUAGCUGGCUGGUCUACACCACUUGGUCUCUAGGUAGGUGAACAAGUGGUUCAAAUGAUCUGCACCUAGUCGGGAAAAGGCCUUUUCUUCCUUCUGGGCUUUAGCUGGACUUCGGGCUUCUUUCCUCCUAGUCAUUCUUUUGGACCGACUCCCUUUUGAGCCCAAAGUUCAAGUUUUAACCCAAACAGUGCCCCCUUCAAUUAAUAUUCAGGCUGGAAUUCCAGGCGCCAAUAUUGAUUGAAUAGCCGCAUGCAUGUAUACCUCAUCUCGGAACUUGUGUUUUCUAAACGGGACGAAUGCAAUCUUGCAUCUCUUGCUCUUCUCAUGACCUUUGAGCUAUCCUCUGAGGUUUCUAUAAAUUCAGGCUCGAAAUUGCUCCUGUCCAGCCAACAGAUCCUCUUCAGCCUUCUCUUUUAUCUCCCUUAACUGGAAAAUGGGUUCCUCCGAAUUCAAUUUGGGUUUCCUAAAACUCCCUUUUCAUGAGAAAAAGGAUUUUCAUCAAAUGUCUACUAUCUUCAACACCUUUGGUCAAACACCCCGUUAUCUCCAACACCUUUGGUCAGACGGUCUCCUUCUGAUAGUUUACCCUCAUGCUCGUUGCUUUUAUAAGUCGGGCUUCACCAUCAUACCUGGUGACGGUUCGCAUUGAGGGUCCUCUACCAGGCUCAUCUUGGCCGCACAACCCGAUCACCUGAUCGGGUUCUAUCCAUGAAGAUAACAGAAAACUGGUUGAGACACCACUGCAUCCAAAAGGAACCAUACAUAGUGCACUGAGGCAGAAUAUGAUGUAAAUUUCACCAAUUUGUCGAAAUGAAUAAAACAUUAUUUUAUCAACUUUUUAUCUUUCUGUCUUCUUGAAUGGUUGAUGAACAAACACUGUACUUUGACAUCUCGAAUCCUGCUUUAUCUUGCAUCCUCUUCAAUAUAACAGUCUCUAACAUCCCAUAAUGUAGGACAUUACCUUUUUAAGAAUUUGACAUUAAUGGGAUGUCUCUGCCAAUUUCCUUCGAGGUCCGCCAAGUAAUAUCCUCCCUUGUCUAAUACUCCACUAAUCAUGAAAUGACCUUCCCAUGUCGGGCUCCAUUUUCCAAAGCCCCUAAGUUGAGCCCCUAGAGGGAGGACUGUCUUCCACACUAAAUCUCCUUCAUUGAAAGACUUUAUCUUUACCUUUUUGUUAUAAGCUCGGGCAAUAGCUCUUUUUCCUUCUUGAAUCUGGUUCAAGGCUUCAAUUCGGGCUACAUCUAAGUCUUCAAUCCCUUGGCACAUGGCUUCGAUGUACUCCUCACUAUGUAACCCAAACUGAUUUUGAAUUCUGACAGAACUUACAUUGAUCUAUAUGGGAAACACUGCAUCUUGCCCGAAAGUUAAAGCAUAAGGAGUUGUCCCUAUUCCUGCCCUCUUAGAGGUUCGGUAUGCCCACAGAGUAUUCCCCAACUUUUCAUGCCACUUUUCCGGACUAUCUGUCACCAUUAUUUUGAUAAUGUUUACCAAAAUCUUGUUGCUGAAUUUUGCCUAGCCAUUUGACUGUGGGUAGUAAGGACUGGACUGGAUCAUUUUUAUUUUGUAUUUGCUUGCAAACUCUUCAACUACUUUUGAGAUAAAAGAUGGCCCACGAUCUGUUACUAUAGUUUCGGGCACCCCAAAUCUGUGCAGAAUCUUGGUCUCAAUAAAAUUCUUGACUGCAGCUAAGGGUAUGGAUUUUACGGCCGAGGCCUCUACCCAUUUGGUAAAGUAAUCCGUUGCUACAAUUAUGAAAGUAUCCCCCUUGCUAGAAGCUAGAUAAAUCUGCCCAACGAAGUCCAUUGCCUAUCCUCUGAAGGGCCAAGGCUUGACUACUGGAUUUAAAGGUACUGAAGGCACAUGUUGUAGUGGUCUAUGUCUUUGACAUUCUUCACACCCUUGGGCAUAGGACUUGCAAUCUUUUUCCAUGUCGGGCCAGAAAUACCCAUACCUUCUAAGCAACCACCUCAUCUUCGUUCCAGCUUGAUGUGCCCCGUAUAUUCCUUCAUGUACCUCGACCAUCACUCUCAUAGAUUCCUCUUGGCCUAAGCAUUUCAAUAGUAACUCGUCUGGAGUUUUCCUUAACAGGUUCUUUGCCCAUAAGACAUACUUGGUUGCUUGCUGUCUAUUAUUCUUGCUUGUGGGUGAAGAAGGAUCCUUUAAAUGAUGAAUGAUAGGCGACCUCCAAUCUUCUAUCUCAGUUUCUAGAACCAUUACAUCCAGACAAAAUCCUCUUUCUAGGAUAGAAGGAAUGUUUCUUCUUUGAAUCUCGACAUCUACCCCAUAUUUUCUUUCCUGUAUUGGCACGCCUGAGGCUAAUUGCGCCAUCUCGUUGGCCGCUAGGUUGGAUCCCCUGGGAACAUGAUUAACUGAUAUCUCAAAAUCCCAAUAACUCAACAAUUGCAUGGCCGCCAAGUAAUACCCUGCCAUGGUGAUAUGUCUGCACUUGAAAUCCCCAUUUAGCUGGUUUAUUACUAACUCUGAAUCACCAAACACCUUUACCUCUACUGCCCCCAGAUCCAUCAAGAUUUCCAAACCAAUUAUUAAGGCUUCAUACUCUGCCCGAUUAUUGGUGUUCCCUUGGUAAUCUAGGAGGAACGAGUAAUAAUGAUAAACCCCUUAAGGGUUCACAAUGACAAUCCCAGCUCCAGAGGCAUUCUGAGUGUAAGAACCAUCAAAAUAAAGCUUCCAAGGAGUAAUCCAGAGGCCAGUCACUCUUUUUAUCUCUUGCUGGACCCACUCCUUUUUACCCGAGAUAUCUUUGCUUGGCGGGAUCCAAACGCUAGUAACUUCCAAGGUCCCCGAGAUAUUGAUUAUCUCAUCUUGAGACUCUUGAUGCUCCACCAAGAAGUCGGCAAUUGCUUGGCCUUUGACUGCCCUUUGGGGUACAUACUGAAAGCUGAAUUCUGAUAAUGCUAGAAUCCACUUCCCAAUUCUUCCCGUCAACAUUGGUUUUGACAACAUAUACUUUAUCACAUCUAUUGGUAAUGAUGUGCACGUGACAAGGUAACAUGUAAUGCCUUAGCUUACUGGCAGUGAAAUAUAGAGCUAGGCACAAUCUUUCCACUGGGGAGUAUCUUGUUUCUACCUCGUUUAGAAUUCUACUGAGGUAGUACACCGCCUGCUCUUUCCCACCUUCAUUGUUUUGAGUUAGCAAACUUCCGAUUGAUUUUUCUGAAGCUGAGAUAUAUAGCUUUAAGGGUUUUCCCCUUUGAGGUGGUACCAACACUGGUAGAGAAGUCAAAUAGGCUUUGAUACUGUCAAAAGCCCUUUGGUGUGGUGGUCCCCACUCGAAAUCUUCUUUAUCUUUCAGUCUCAGCAUAAGAGUCAGUGGUUGGAUCUUACCCGCUAAAUUGGCAAUGAAUCUCCUUAAGAAAUUAAUUUUGCCUAGCAGCCUCUGAAGUUGUACUUUAUUGGUGGGUGAAGGCGACUCCAUUAUUGCCCGAGAUUUGUUUUUGUCGACUUCUACUCCUCUUUAGGUCAGCCAUGGGCAUGGGAUAUUCAUCUUUUGGUGUGGCGCCAUUAAUAUUUCUGUAAUCAACACAACAUCGCACUGCUUUUGUUAUGGCUUUUAAAACGGGUACAAUGUUGGCUAACCACUCUACAUACUUAGCUGGUCUAAUAAAUCUAGCUUUUACUAGUCUUUUAAUUUCUUCUUUGACCUUCUCUUCUAUCUCAUUUGACAUCCUUCGUGGUGCUUGCUUAACAGGUUUAUACCCCUCCUUGAUGCGCAUUCUGUGUUCCAGCAAGGUUGAAUCCAAACCUGGCAUCUUAGUGUAAUGCCAAGCAAAAUAAUCUUUAAAUUCUUGUAAAAGACAGAUAAUCUUCGCCCGAUCAUUAGUUUCUAACAAGCCACUGAUUUGUAUAGGUCUUGGAUCUUUUUCUGUCCCCAAAUCAAUGACUUCCAAAGGAUCCUGAACCUCUGGUGGUGGUUUGUCUGGUUCUGCGCACAAAAAUUCAACUAACUCCAGGCUUUUGGGCAAGUUGUCUGGCCCAUCCAAGUCAUAUAUGCACUCGGCCAUUCGUAUGGCCAUAUCCAAUUCUUCUCCGUAAAGCUCUUCUCUGCUUCUAUCCUGAUUGGUCGGAGUUCCUAGCUGCAAUUCCUGCUCUUCUUUGUCUAAGAGCUCCCUUUCUUGCUUUCUUCCUUUCCCAUACACCAACAGUCUUUUGAUCAGGGACAUGACUGCCAUUACUUGAUCCUUCCUAUUUUGUUCUGUCAUUGAUGAUGUAGGGGUGUUGAGACGAUACAAGGUCUAUCCCACUAUUCUCUAGUAAUGAGCAUUCCUUGUUCUAAAAGCUUUUGGGUCGUCACCUUGGUAAGGCGGCCGUUCUCAUCUGCUCCUGAACAUUUCAGAAUUCCUACGUUGGGAUUGUAGAAACUCGCCUCCGCAACAUUGGUUGUGGGGAGAAAUGGCCGUGAUUCGGCCUCCACCAUUUCCCAAAAGCCUAGUCCCUAUGUCCCUGCCUCAUGAUAAACAACCACUUGUUGAUGUAGAGUGGAGGGUAUGACGAGACUUUGGUGGAUCCAGUCCCUUCCAAGUAAGGCUCCAUAGGUGGAAGUGCAAUCUACCACAAAGAAUGCCAACAUGAUUUGUUUGGACCCCAAAUCCACUUCUAAAGGCAAUAUCCCAUGAGUUUUGGUAAUAGUGCCCGAGAAGCUUGAAACCGUGAAGUCCGUAGGAAUAAGAUCUUCUGUGCCUCUCCCUAUUCUUUUCAUUUGCUUGGCUGGCAGUACAUUAACAGCCUCUCAUCCAUCAAUUAAAAUUCUUUUGAAAGACACCCCUUCCAAAUGAGCCGCAAAAUAUAUUGGCUUAAGAUGGUUGGCUAGUAACAUGUUUGGACAACUGAACACCAUUUUAUCCGUAUAGAUCCUUAAAGGACUAUCUUUGGAUGCUUCGGAAAAUUCAGCUUUUCCUGACUCUCUUUCUCCAGCUAUCUUAACACUGACAUGGGCCAUCAUUGGCUCCGUCGUCACAUAGUCUCCUUUCAUAGUGGCAGGUUGAUUAGGCUCAGCACCAAACAUGGCGGAUAACACAUACACCAUGUUGAUAUGAAAAUUGCUAGGCUCUAGCAGUUUUUCUUUCUUGCUCCCGAUUUGUUCCAUGAACUCAUCUAACCAGGCCAUCGUAUCUUCUGGAAGUAGUGGUUUUGGUGCCCCCUUAUGUUGAUUCAUGCCCGAAUAUGGUGUUUGCUUUGGAACUUCACUGAAAGGAUCCACUAAUGAUAAAGAAGGUGGUUUUCUUUCAGGCGAAACAGUUCCAAAACAAAUAGGCUCCGUCUUCCAUCUGGGAGUUGGCAUCAUGAUCAUAUCUUCUUGAGCUCUCCUCAAGUACCUAUAUUUCCCAGGGUGUAGGCUUUGCGGUACAUGGUUUCCUUCACCUUCUGUUUUACUAUUAGCUCUCUCCACCUCUUUUUUACUCCUCCAGCGGAACUGACUACUCCCCCAGAUGACGUUUUUUCAAACUUUUGAUUCUUGGAUGCUUCAGACGUCGCGGGGGUCUUUAAAGAAUUCAUGUAGGCUUUGUGCUGCCUCUGGACCCUUCUAACCAUCGAGGCUCCCAUUUGUUUAACGGGCUGUCCAUUUUUUCCAACCACAUACCAUUUUCGCUCGAGGCGGGCAGGGUUAUCUUUCUUGACAGGAUUUGUUAUCCUAUCAUUUCUCUUAACUUCUUUUCCCAUAUGGCCAUAUUGAAGAUGUUCUACACCCCUAUCUUUUGGCUUUUUGGCAUCCUUGUCUUCUGCCUCCUUAGAAGCUUUAUGAUUACGAAAUAUCUCUGAUAAAGCUCUGGGUUGGGAAUCGCCUCCUAACCGCUGAAAAACACUUCGAGAAGUAUCUAUUCCUGCAGUCCGCCUAGCUUUCUCACGGGCCUCUUUUCUUUCUUCUUCUUUCUUCCUCCUGAUCAGCUCAUGAUCCAUGAGGACUCCUGCUGGUGGUAUUUCGAGCUCACACUUGCAUUGGCAUUUAUUGCAAAGAACCAUCCCUUUGAUUAUAGCUGCUUUUGGAUGUUCGGUCAAUCUGAUCACCCCUUUUGUGGAUUUGUCAGCCAGUCUUCCUUUUUCUAUUUCCCUUGCGACCUUUUCUUUCCCCUUCUCGGCCCAUGCCAUACUGAUCAUAUUUAUUGGGGCUUUUGAGAAGGGAUCUGUAUGUUUGCCCACCACUGAUUCCUCUGGCUGGUUGGUUUUAAGUCUCUCUUUCCCUAUUAUCUUUUACCCCAAGUUGAGGUAAAGAUAUAGGAAUAGUUGGUCUUACAACUAGGUCUGCUUUCCUUCUGAAGCCUGCGGAGGCGCUAUCCAGUCUUUGUAACAUUUGCAAUAAGGUAGUUUACAAGUCUUCAUCAAAAUGUUCUGGAACAUCUGCUCUUUUUAAAUCUUCAAGUUUUCUUGACAUAUUUCUUUGGUAAGUAAGAUCUGAUUAAAGGAAUCUCACCAGGCGUGCCAAAACUAUGUUUGUGGCUAGAAUUUCCGUUGGGGAUGUUUCCUAGCACGAGCACACAGCUCCCCGAGAGGUUGGCGCCGGUUGAUGCUUUCUGACGGGCUUCUGCUCACUGGCGGGCUUGUCGGGCAAGGCUGAAAGAGAAGGACAGGGUUAACUUUGAAAGGUGCCUUUGUAGGGCCUUAGGUGUAGGCCUUGAGGCUCACAAUCAAGAUUAACUUUUAGGUGUUCAGGCGUGCCACUGCAAUCUUUAGCAUGGUAGAUGUAAAACAGAUGUUGAGUUUUAAUUGUAUAUAUACCCGAUAGGCUGUUUUAGUUAUAAAAGGUGCCUUUGUGGGGCCUUAGGUGUAGGCCUUGAGGCUCUCAAUCAAUAACUAACCCAGUACUCGAACAUAUAAUGUUUGUUUCAUUGAUUGCAGAAGUGUUAUGACUAUUAUACUUCUAAUUACCCGAGCCCGAAGAGCAGAAUGAAUUCAAAUAGGUGCCUUUGUAGGGCCUUAGGUGUAAGCUUUGAGGCUUUCCAUCAGAAUUACUUCUAUACUCAAACGUUCUACGAUAAUCAUAAUAUAACAUAAAUAAAACUAGGAAAUAGGUCGAUUACUUACGCCCCAAGUAACUUCGGACUUCUUGUUAUCAAAGGCUGUCGUGGAUGGGUUAAGUCCACAUAAGGUUCUUUUUUAUGCCUUGAGAUCAAGGACUUUUGAAUGAUCAAUCUUACAUGCCCGAGGGUUUAGAACUUAGAUCUGAUUUAAACUGUGACUACAUAUUUCAAUCGGAUUCAAGCACUGAGGAGUCUUUUAAUCAUCAACUUGCUAGAAAUAACUUGGAUACAAAUGGAAAUAUACAACAUAUUACUAGACUUAUGAAUGAAAAGACAAAAACAAAGAGGGUCGGGCAAGGUUUCACCUUGUCAGGCAAGGCUGGUCGUCUUGCAACUUCCUAUCUUUGUGAUUUAUAAAGGGGUUUGAGAACUUGGAAAGAGGGAUAGGGAGAUGAGUUUACAGAAGGAAAUCGAUACUACAGCAAGAUUUAGACAAGGUAGCAGAGCUUUUACAAAGGCUUUUGGUAAGGGUUGAUCCCGAAAGGGAUGAAGGCUUGGGCUGACUACAGCUUCGUUGAAAGCAAAUCUGGCUUAAGCAGAGUUUGUGCUUGUAUUUGUUUGGUUGUUUGAGUGUCCUCAUCUCUGAUUUCUCUUUCUUCUUUUAUAGACAGUUUGGCUUGGCCUCCUGCAGCUUUAAUCUUGCCUAAAUGCAGCUUGAAGGGCAAUGACUCAUCAGCUUUUUACUUGUACUGCCACUGUAAAGUGCUUUUGGGCUGAUUAGCUGGCUGGUCUACACCACUUGGUCUCUAGGUAGGUGAACAAGUGGUUCAAAUGAUCUGCACCUGGUCGGGAAAAGGCCUUUUCUGCCUUCUGGGCUUUUGGUGGGCUUCGGGCUCCUUUCCUCCUAGUCAUUCUUUUGGGCCGACUCCCUUUUGAGCCCAAAGUUCAAGUUUUAACCCAAACACAGUUUACGCCCUUUGUUUCGUAAAUAGUAGUGUGGGAUAUUGCAAGGUAUAAUCAUUGGUCGUUAAAUGAGCACUAUUUUGAUAACCUUAAGAAAUUUUCUAAACUUGUGAAAUGUGAAGGGAAAUUUAAUAUCUGAGCAAUAAGUUUAAUGUGAAAGUUUUUUUUUCAGAGGGAAAAUGUGGUUUGUGUUUUUAAUGGGACUUCUUAAACUCUACUUUAACAUAGUUUCACAAUCAAUCCCUAUACACAGUUUCUUAACCUUUUGGUUUGAAAAUCUGUAUGUAUAGUUCAACACCACAGUGUGAUUAUGCUCUCCCAAACUAAGUUUUAUAAGUAACAACAACAACAACAAAGCCUUUUCCCACUAAGUGGGGUCGGCUAUAUGAAUCCUAGAACGCCAUUACGCUCGGUUUUGUGUCAUGUCCUCCGUUAGAUCCAAGUACUCAAGUAUUUUCUUAAGGUCUCUUCCAAAGUUUUCCUAGGUCUUCCUCUACCCCUUCGGCCCUGAACCUCUGUCCCGUAAUCACAUUUUCGAACCGGAGCGUCAGUAGGCCUUAUUUGCACAUGUCCAAACCACCGGAACCGAUUUUCUCUCAUAUUUCCUUCAAUUUUGGCUACUCCUACUUUACCUCGGAUAUCCUCAUUCCCAAUCUUAUCCUUUCUCGUGUACCCAUACAUCCCACAAAGCAUCCUCAUCUCCGCUACACCCAUUUUGUGUACGUGUUGAUGCUUCACCGCCCAACAUUCUGUGCCAUACAACAUCGCUGGCCUUAUUGCCGUCCUAUAAAAUUUUUCCUUGAGCUUCAGUGGCCUACGACAGUCACACAACACGCCGGAUGCACUCUUACACUUCAUCCAUCCAGCUUGUAUUCUUCUGUUGAGAUCUCCAUCUAAUUCUCCGUUCUCUUGCAAGAUAGAUCCUAGGUAGCGAAAACGGUCACUUUUUGUGAUCUUCGCUAGAUUGCUCCGGUCAUUAGUGUGGAUAAGUAUAUAAAUGGAUAGAGAUAGGAAAGCAAACACAAGAUGUACGUGGUUCACCCAGAUUGGCUACGUCCACGGAAUAGAGGAGUUCUCAUUAAUUGUGAAGGGUUUACACAAGUACAUAGGUUCAAGCUCUUCUUUAGUGAGUACAAGUGAAUGAUUUAGUACAAAUGACAUUAGGAAAUAUUGUGGGAGAAUGAUCUCGUAACCACGAAACUUCUAAGUACCGGAGUGUGGUAUCGUCUUAACUUGCCUUAUCUGUCUCAUAGGUAGAUGUGACAUCUUCUCUGGAAGUACUCUUCCUCCAUCCAGGGUUGGUAUCUGUAACUGGUGAAGAUGCACAAGGUAAUGUAUCAAUUUCACUUGAAGCUUACUUGUAGUUUCAGGCUUGGUCAAGCGCGAUACAAACCAUGUAGUAGGAGUCCCCUAAGUCGCCGAGCUAGGGGAUCUGCUGAAAGAGGUGACAGACAAGGUAAGCAAUCAGAGCUCCGGCUGAUUGUUCACAUUCUCCCUAUCUUGCAGGCAGCAUGAAGGAUAAAGAGAAGAAAAAUGAGAAGAGAUGAUAUGGGAUACUUUUGCUUUUGAAGAAGUAACUUUCCACAGGCUUAUUCUUGAACUGGGCUGGAGGGUUUUCUGGUUUCCUCCAGAGUAUAAGGCCGACUGAAGAAUUUGAGGGUCAAAACAAGUCCAUCAAAUCUAGAGUACGUUCGACCCUGCUGAUAUGGGAUACUUUUGCUUUUGACAGAGUAGUGGAUGUAUCGGCACGUGUGCUGUUAUGCUUGUCUCCACAUGCUUCCUUGUAUCCUUCUCACUUGCCUUAUAUGUUCCUCAGGCAGAUGUGGUAUCUUCCCUAGAAGCAUAAGAUGUUGAAGAUGAGUACUCGAGAGCAAUGCCAGGUAAGUAAUCAAGUAAGGGGUUCCAGGCAGUCAGUUCCUGGCUGGAAGCUUGAUUCCAAGUGCUGACUGAUUGCUCUCUCUCUCCUUAUCUUGCAGGUAAGAACAAGGCCAAAGGAAAAGACAGGGAAAAAGCAUGAUAUGGGAUACUCUUGCUUUUAACCCUGAUGAUAUGAGAUAUUCUUGCUCUAGUAUAGCUUGUUUACAGAGGUAUUAUCGGGGGGAAAGAAAGCUGAAUAUUUCGAAAGGCUUCGUUGGGAGUGCCCUGUCAGAUAAGAGGAAGGGUUGAGCAUUUUUGCAGGUCUGCCUGUCCGUUGGGAUGGAGGUCGACAUAUAUAGGAGUCUCCCUAACAUCAAGUAAUAAUGCUAUUCCUUUACCCUACCCUGCUUGGUCAUAGCACGGUAGUGGGAGCUGCCAGCUUCACAUGUUUUAACUUUGUCAGAGCACUUUGAAAAAGUGGUCUGUGGUAUCUGGAAAGCUGAUGUUGCGUGUGAAGAUUACAGACAAGCUUUAUCCAAGGAGAUCCAGCUCUUGAAGUUGGGAAAGUGAUGCCUCUUCGGUUUUCGAACAAGCAAUCCUGUCGGGGAUCUGACUCUCGAGAUUCGAAGAACGAUGCCUCUUCGAUUUUUGAGAAAGCAAUCCUGCUGGGGUCUGGCUCUCGAGAUUCGGAGAGCGGUGUCUCUUCGAUUUUUGAGAAAGUAAUCAUGUUGGGAGUCUGGCUCUCGAGAUUCGGAGGGCGGUGCCUCUUCGAUUUUGGAGCAAGCAAUCUUGUUGGGAGUGUUUUCUCGAAUGUGAGUAAAGGUUGGGCAUGUUUGCUAGUCUACCUUGCCACGAAGCACAGAGGUUGACACACAGGGACUUUCCAGUUAUCCAGCAGUGGUACUGUUCCUUUACCCUCUCUUCGAUUUUUGAGAAAGUAAUCAUGUUGGGAGUCUGGCUCUCGAGAUUCGGAGGGCGGUGCCUCUUCGAUUUUGGAGCAAGCAAUCUUGUUGGGAGUGUUUUCUCGAAUGUGAGUAAAGGUUGGGCAUGUUUGCUAGUCUACCUUGCCACGAAGCACAAAGGUUGACACACAGGGACUUUCCAAUUAUCCAGCAGUGGUACUGUUCCUUUACCCUUGUGGGUAAUAAUAUGGUAGCUAGACCUUCAAAAUUUAUGUGUCUAAACUUUGUUAGUGUUGUUUCUUUGCUAUUAUUUUACCCUUCUUGGUCAGAGCGAUGUAGUGGGAGCUGCAAGCUUCACGUGUCUCAACUUUGUCAGAGAACUUUGGCAAAGUUAUCUGUGGUACCCAUGAGCUACUGUUGCCUGUGGGAAGUGGGUGAUUGAACAGUACGAUUCAUGUGCUUUCUACUUCUCCAGAAAUCUUCGACAGAAUGCCCAUAAUUUCCGCAAAGCUGAGUGUGCGUGUGACAGGUGCUGACAAGGCUGGAAAAGUAGGUGCCUCUUCGAUUUCUGAGAUCGGCCCUCGUGGUCUCUGAGCAGCCCAGCUUUUGAGAAAGCAAACGCCUCUUCGAUUUCUGAGCAGGCGCCUCUUCGAUUUCUGAAGCUUCGUCGAGUGCAGAUUUUUAUAAGGGGUGACAUUAAGUUCCAAAGCACACUUGAAUAUCCACCAGUAGAAGCUCCAUUCUUGCACUUCUAUGAUCUUGAUUUGUCCGACCUCUUCUUUCUUCAACACCUUUGAAAAUGUCUGGCCCCUCCGACCGUCGUUUUGACUUGAACCUUGUUGAAGAGGCAGCCCCGCCUUCUCCAGACAACAUAUGGCGCCCAUCCUUCGUCUCCCCUACUGGUCCUCUUACCGUCGGGGAUUCCGUGAUGAAGAAUGAUAUGACCGCUGCGGUAGUGGUCAGGAACCUUCUCACUCCCAAAGAUAACAGACUACUUUCCAAACGGUCUGAUGAGUUGGCCGUUAAGGAUUCUCUAGCUCUCAGUGUUCAGUGUGCAGGUUCUGUGUCUAAUAUGACCCAACGCCUAUUUGCUCGAACCCGCCAAGUUGAAUCAUUGGCGGCUGAAGUGAUGAGUCUCAAACAGGAGAUUAGAGGGCUCAAGCAUGAGAAUAAACAGUUGCACCGGCUCGCACAUGACUAUGCUACAAACAUGAAGAGGAAGCUUGACCAGAUGAAGGAAUCUGAUGGUCAAGUUUUACUUGAUCAUCAGAGAUUUGUGGGUUUGUUCCAAAGGCAUUUAUUGCCUUCGUCUUCUGGGGCUGUACCGCGUAAUGAAGCUCCAAAUGAUCAACCUCUGAUGCCUCCUUCUUCUAGGGUUCUGUCCAGUACUGAGGCUCCGAAUGAUCCCCCUCCGGUGCCUUCUCUUUCUGGGGCUCUACCGACUGCUGAGACUUCUCCUAAGCAACCUUUGUGAAGGCUCCCUCUUGUUUGUUUAUUUUGACUCAAGUAUAUGUACAUAUUUGUAACUGAUCGGGGAUAUCAAUAAAUAAGCUUUCCUUCAUUUCAACGUAUUGUGUUAAAUACACCAAAACCUUCUUCGCUAAGUUCUUUGAAUUUUCUUUUGUUGAAGCUUGUAGUUGAAGCUUUGUGAGUGGAGCAUGUAGGUUGAGGUAGUGUUCCCUUAAUUUCCCGAGUGAGGAAAACUUCUCGGUUGGAGACUUGGAAAAUCCAAGUCACUGAGUGGGAUCGGCUAUAUGAAUCUUAGAACACCAUUGUGUUCUGUCCUGUGUCAUGUCCUCCGUUAGAUCCAAGUACUCUAAGUCUUUUCUUAGGGUCUCUUCCAAAGUUUUCCUAGGUCUUCCUCUACCCCUUCGGCCCUGAACCUCUGUCCCAUAGUCGCAUCUUCUAAUCGGAGCGUCAGUAGGCCUUCUUUGCACAUGUCCUAAUCACCGUAACCGAUUUUCUCUCAUCUUUCCUUCAAUUUCGGCUACUUCUACUUUACCCCGGAUAUCCUCAUUCCUAAUCUUAUCCUUCCUCAAGUAUAUGUAAAAGGAACAAAAAAGAAGAGGCUGAAGAGUCUCCAUAAGACAAGAACUUUUAUGUCACAGAGUCAGGUAUUAAUCUUGUCGUCGGUAAGUUUCUCAAGUAUCUAUAUUCACAUUUGUUGGUCAAGUUUUCAGAAUUAUGUUCACAUAUAAUCUGAAUUCAUUGCCAAAUGUUGAGGAAUUGAUUGUUAUUGACUAUUGCGAUGAAUUGGUCUCAAACUACGUUUUCCAACCAACACAGUUUGAUCAGUUUUAAAAAAAAAACACUGUUUGAUUAGUCUCGUUCAAUACCAUUACGUGAUCAGCUUAAAUUUACUUUUCAUGUUCAAACUUUUAAUAGUUAAACUAAGAAAGAAUGGGCCAUAUUUUAUUUCUUUUAAAAGUUGUUCACAUAGAAGUGGACAUUGACAAAGUAGAUCAUGAAUAACAUUAUAACAUUGUAAUUUGGAUGAAAAUACACACAUCCAAUACUUUAAUUAGAUGCAUUAUACUUUAAAUGAAAAUAAAUAAAUUUAAUAUUCUUAGAGAAGGUCACAAUAGAAAUUUCACAACUAAGAACGGAUUAGAGCAUGCCAAUACUUAAAAAGCCGACUUGGCUUUGUAAUGGGAAGGGUACAAAGAAAUUUCACAGCUAAAAAUUAAUUAGAUCGUGACAAUGAGGUAGAUGAGGGGGUUCUUUUCUCCAAAUAAACUCUUAAAGUAUUUUUAUAUAAAACUUAUAGUUUUGAAACAAAUAAUUUUACAUUAGAAAAGAUAGCUUAUACUUUCACUAAAAAAGAGAUCUGAUUUUUAUUAAUUAACAUUGAAGUUUUUGCCUAUUCAAGAGAUGUGGGUCCCGUAUUUCAAUCAACACAUGUGAGUUUCAUCUCUAUUAAAAAGAUGAUACAAAUGAUGGUUACAAAUAAAUGGUAAGAACAAUAUUUUUAUUUACAAAAAAAUUAUUAUGCACUGCUAUCUAAUAAAGUAAACAAGGUCAAAAGGAGGACAAAGUGGGUUUCUUUUAGCGCUAAUAUUCUUUUAGAAACUAUAUAUUUGAUUGUAUGAACAAUAAAGUCAUUGUACAAUUUAAAUUUAAAACUCAUAAAGAAAAUUAUACAAGGCAUACAAAGUUUAUUAAUCAACAUUGAACCUUUUGUGCAUAUUCUAUGAAAACAUAAGGAAAUUAUACAAUGGUCUCCUCACAAGAAAUUCUCAACUCUUUCAUUUUUUGUGAACUUGUGAUACACGCUAAAGGGGAUGAACUCUUCAAUGAAAUUUUGACACGUAAAAAUGAGACCUAUUCGUAAGUUUAUUGAAAAUAAUAAAGCUCAUAUGAGUAGCCUAGAAUACAAUUUCCUUGUGUUUUCAUAGCAUAUGCACACAAAAUAUAAUGUUGCAAAAUAAGUUUUAUAUUUUAUGUAUAUAAUUAUAAGUAUAAUAUUUUCUCAUCUUCUAGUACAAGUUUUGUGCAUAUUCUACAAAACCAAAAACAAAUUAAAACUCAACAUCUUAGCAAUAUUUUCUCAAAAAAAUAAAAAAACAUUUCGUAGUAAACGAAUAUACUUUUCCCUCACACUAAAUUUCGUAAAUAUUUUAUGAAAAUGUAAGGAAAUUACACUAUGGUCUCCUUGACACGCCCCGAUCCCGAUAUUCCUCGAAUACCAGGAUAGGCACGUGUUGGCCGACACCCGAGGGUGACGAAAGCCAUUUAUUGAAUGCAAAUGCUGAGAAUAAGAAAUAGAUAAGACCUAGAAAUAUAAAAGAAUAAUGAUUAUGCAUUUAAGAAAUGUGUUCAGAGCAUACAACUAACUAGAACACUAAAAGAAAUAAUAUAAAAAUUGAGUUAACAAAGGAGUGGGUCCUACACCGAGAGGACUCGAAGAUGCCGAUGCAAAAGUGCUUGGACGUCGGGAUUGUAUGCACCGAUUUUAAGUCCUGAAGGGGGCGCAAAACAAAGGUGAGUGGACCAAGUUUAUAUAUACAUAAUAAUAAAACAAUUAUCAACGUACUAACCCCCAGGUUUAUAUAAAGAAAACUACUAGCAUAAUAAGUGAUAGGUUUACUGAAAACCCUAGCAUGCCAUAAAACAUCUCAACAGGUAUAAUACGGAAAAACAUAUCAUCGCAUGUAUCAUUUCGUAGAUCGUCUCGUAAGUGUGGUGUGCUGCUAGUAAGAUCAUUGAAAUAAAAAUAACUCCCGACCCUAUGCCAGCACCGUGGUCUCUGCGCCCGUAGCCAGAUAUUACCAACUCCCGGCCCAAUGCCUGCUCCGUGUCCCUCAGCCCGUAGCUAGGGAUUAUUUCUCCCGGCCCAUAUGCCAACACCAGAUCCUCGCCCUAGGCGACAUACUGUCCACUAGGUACGCACAAAUAGUUAUGCCUCUCAUAAAUAACCAUUUCAUAGUAUAAAGUCAUCCAUCGUCUAUACCAUAAAAAAGGGUUUUGAAGACACGUUCUAGUAUCCUAUCGUCAUCCAUCAGAUAGUCUACCAGUUCAUGGUUUUUAUAGAAAAUACGAUAUAUUAAAAUAUAGCUCAAUAUAGGCCAACAAUUAAUUCCUCACUAAAAACACGAGACGAAAAUCAACAUAUUCAAUAAACAUGCUUAACAUAAAAUCAAAUCAUAAACUCGUAAGGCAUGCUAUUCAUUUAUGAAAUUGAACUAUAAAAAUCAUGUAAUUUUAGAAGGGGUCCACUCACAGUACUUAGGCGCAAAAAACUGCGCUACUAGCGAAGACGGAAACGUCACAAUAAUUGUCCCUAAACAUUUAAAAAAACUCUACUCAAACAAUUUAAUUUAGGAAAACGGACUUCAGAAACGGGUCCAGGACGUCGAAAUUAACCUAAGAGAGGUCCCAGACAAAACCUUGAAAAGUCAACCCUAAAGUCAACGCUGACUGUUAACCGAUCAAAGUCAAAGCUGACCGUUGUCCGAGUCAACGGUCAGAGUAAAGGGUCAAAGGUCAACUAGGUCUGGGCUAAGGGUUUGGAUCAGGAUUAGGGUUUAGGUUUAGGUUAAAUAAGGUUAUGACCUUUUGUGUUUUGGUUUUGGGUAGGAAUAAAUGGGUGGUUUGGGCUUGAGCCUAAACCCAUACAACACACACAUACAAAUGCCAGCACACACACCUGCACGACAUAACACACACACACGGUACAACACACUCACAUACACACGCACUGACACACACACACACACACACCACCUACAUGGACACACACAAACACACACACCACACACAAACACAAUCCUCAGCCUAAGGCAAAGCACGGCCCAAUACACACACACACACACACUCACUCACAUGCACGGCCCAUGCAUGGCACGGCCCAUAGGCCAAUUAACCCACCAAAAGAAUAGAAACUGGGCUGGCUAAAACGGGCCUAGAGCCCGUGGGCUUGAGAAACGGCCUAAAAGGCCUGGUGUCACUGGAAUUAAUGGAGAAGAACGCCAGAGUAUUUUCUGGGAAUGAAGGACCGAGAAUCACAGAGGUGAAAUAGGGGUUAAAACCCUUGAAUUUCCAAUCAAAUUCAACAUGCAAGGAAUAGGAAUUAUACCUGAGGUUUAAUGGAAGUCAAUUCGAGUCCACAGAACUUCGAAUUUGUCGAGCUUAAACAUGAUUUGCGCUGGAGCCUCUCAUCGGGAAACUGGUAAAGGAAGAACAGGGAAUUACAGAGGUCGUUAUCAGUGAAUUCCAACUCAAAUUUCUUCCAUAAAAUUAGAAAACCCAACUAGGGAUCGAUUGGAAGAAAUCCUAAGCUGAAUCAAUGACUGGAACAUCAAGUUCCAUCUCUAGCUCGGCGGAACUCAUGGAGCUCUCCAUUCCGCUCCAUCCCGUAACCAGCUCGAACAUGCAGAGCAACACUUCAAAUAUACAAACCAACCAGAUGACGGAUUUGGUGGUUGAGGGUCAUGAUUUGAUUGGAAAGGAUGAAGGUUGUGGGUGAGGAUGCAUGGUGGUGUGCGUGGUUUAUAGAGGGAGAGGGAGUGAAACAGAAACAAAAAGAAGAAGAAGAAAGAGUCAUGGGGGGGGAACAAAGAGAAAGAGAGAGAGAUGAGGUUUGUUAGGGUGCUACCACGUGACAGUUUGAGGGAGUUUAGGAAUUUGGAUAAAAGGUCUAGAUUUAGUCAAGCUAGGGGACCAAAAUGAUAAAUUCAAUAAAACUUUGGGAAAAUAUAAAAUUACAUAUAAGUUCAGGGGUGGGGUUUAACACUCCUCUCAAGAAAUUCCAAGAAAUUCCUAGCUCCAUUAUUUUUCGUUAACUUAUAAUUCAUGGGAUCAAUUUAUGAAAGGAUGUAUGAUACACGUAAAUAAGAUCAAUUUAUAAGUGCAUUGAACAUGACAUAUUAUGUUAAUAGAGAAACAUAUAAUUUUCUUAUGUUUUCAUGCCAUGUGCACAAAAAGUUUUAUUGGUGUUGAAAAUUUUGUAUGUAUAUAAGCAUAUUUUCUCAUCUUAUAGUAUGCUAAAAGGAAACCAGAUAGUAGCAUCUUCCUAAUAAAUUCUCUAACUAACUUACACCAGGCCUAUGAAUUCACUCGCAACAAAAUUUGAACUGAGAAAAAAAUUCAUCUUACACUAUUCUCCAAUGAAAUAAGAAAGGUCAAAAUGAGGGCAAAGUGACUUUCUUUUAGCAAUAGUAACCGUUUUUUUUUAACAAACAAUAUAAUCCACACUAAGGAGCUGAGGGAGGUGGGUUAAGCCUCACAAUGACUAACAAUAAUGUGGUUCAAAUUCUCCUUUGGUGAGAAUUGAACCUAAGAACUCUCACUUACAAGUGAAGAGGAAUACCACUAGACCUUACUAUUAAGUUGCCUAAUAAUAGUUCUUUUAAAAACUAUAUAUUUGAUUACAUGAACAAUAAAGUCAUUGUAUAAUUUAUAUUUAAAACUCAUAAAGAAAGUUAUUUAGGAAAUAAAAUUAUAUUUACAAAGACAUACAAAUUUUAUUAAUCAAUAUUGAAACAAUUGUGCAUAUUUUAUGAAAGCAUAUUGAUGAGAUUAUAAUAUAGUCUCCCACAUGAAAUUCUCAGAUCUAUUAAUUUUCGUGAACUUGUGAUACACGGUAAAUGUGUGAAUUCUUCAAUGAACUUCUGAUACAUGUAAAUCAAAUCCAUUCUUAAGUUUAAACUAGAAAUGACGAAGCAACCAAGAAGAACGAAGUAGACCCAGGAGGAGCCAAUAACGCACCAACACAAAACUAAAAUACUCAUUAGGAGAGACUCACAAAUAACGUCAAGAAAAUAGUAAGGCUAGGAGAAUGGAGAUGGGCACCCAUUGGCCACAAGCUGAAGAAAGGGGUCGGGAGCUGUGAAUUUUAUAAAUAUAUGAUUUUGGUAGAGGAAAGGAGAGAGCCGCUAGCAGUAGUUUCUUAUAUAUUAGCAUUCCAAGAAUCCAUCCUGUUGACUUUUAUUAAUGUACUUCUGGUACAAUUUUAAUAAGAGUAUUAUCGGAAAGUGUAAAUAUGUAUUUUACACUAAUAAGAAAGAUGUAAAUUUGGGAGCUCAUUUAUUUAUGGUCUCUUUUAACCAGUGAAAAUGGAUAUACAUAUUUUAUUAGUCCACCUCUUAAAAAUGCAAAUAUACAUUUUAUUCACAUGUUUACACUAAUCCUUUGAGAGCUUUCCAACCAAAAAAAUUUAAAUUGUACAUUUGUAGACAUUUUGCAUCUUGUAUUAGGAGAUAAAAUUUUCAAUGUGCUUGGUACGAGAUAGUACACCACAUGCUAUUAUAUAAUUGGAAUAAAAAAUUAAUUUUUCAAGUGUUAUUCUAUUUGUAUAACGAUAUGUGUUAUAUUACUUUGUGUUUCGUGCACUGAAAAAUAUCUCUUAUCAGAUAUGCUAGUGGAGUACCAAUUUGGGGUUGUUGAAAUUAAUAUUUUUUUUUUUGUCAAAGGGUUGUUGAAAUUAUUUAAAAGAAUAAAUUAUAGUAAUGGUAUCUCAAUUUUAAUGAAAUUAGAGCAAUAAUUCUUCAACUAAAAACCUAUUAUCAUUCGUCAUUCAACUCAUCAAAAUGUGUAGUUAUGAUCAUUUUCGUCAACUUUGUCAAAAUUUUGUCAGAAUGAAUUAUGUUAGAAGGACCAUUGCUACAAUUAGAUUAAAGUUGAGGGAUCGUUCUCCAAUUGGGUUAAAAUUAAGGGACCAUUCUUCAGUUAAAUUAGAGUUGAGGGACCAUUGGUAAUAGAUUUUUAGUUGAGGGACUAUAACGGCUCGUUUUACGAGUUAAGAGACCAAUGCUAAUAGAUUUUUUGUUAGAGAUCAUUAUUUCAAUUAAGUUAAAGUUAAUUGACUAUUACUACAAUUUACUAUAUUUAAAAAGCAACUUAUUAAAAAAUCUGAUGAAUGGUGAACAGUAAAGUUUAAUGAAAAUUUUAUGAGGAUAGUGUUACCCUGGGUUUUUAAUUAAAAUUACAGCCAGUAUCUUCGCUUCUCCUUUCCCCUUUCUCCAUGUCGUCCUUCAAAUCGAAGGUUGGCGACCUUCAAUUACCUGGAGAAAUCAACAAUAAGCCAUAAUUCCUUCAAUUAGAGGAUGCUCUGCCUGUCUUCUGCUGACUUUUCUUUAAAUUUUGAGCUUAUAGUGCUCACAUGGGAACAUAGAGAGAGAGAGAGAGAGAGAGAGAGAGAGAGAGAGAGAGAGAGAGAGAGAGAUUGAAGUUUUUAUGGAAGGAAAGAAAUUUGAGCUUUGUGUAGGAUAGAGCAGGCGAGUGAGAUUGCAUGCGACGAAUCCGUUAGGUUUCUGACUUCAAAUGGCGCCGUUGUGGUCUGAUCCGUCCGAGUUAUGGAGAUCGGACAUUGGAGCUCCUAACUAGCGAUAAUUUGGAGCUGCAGAUCCGAUGAGAAAUUCAAAAUAUUUGGAAUGGCUAUGGGGAAACGGGAUGACACAGAGAGAUUGGGUGAUUAGGAUUGUGCCGUGGGCUGGGAGGUCGCGGCGGCGGCGGAAGGAACCCAGACCUAUGGGUAAAACAGUAAAAUUAUUAGAAAUAUUUUGAAAUUUAUGGGCUGGUAUUUGUUCAAUUAAUCUACGGGCUGCUAUGUGUUUAAUUAAUCUAUGGGCUGGUAUGUGUUUAAUUAAUAUAUGGGCGGGUGUUUGUUUAAUUAAUCCAUGGGCUGGUGUUUCAAUAUGACUUGGAUUUAACGUGAAAUUAUUAGAAAAUUUCUAUUAAACCAUUUGAUGGUUAUUACUUGCACGUAAGUGAAGACGCAGAAGAUAAACAUUGAAGAAGAUAAACAUCGAAGGAAAAAUGGAGAAGAUAAGAUUAUUAAAGAAAAAGGUUAGAUAAAUUAUCAUCCAACCUUAUGAUAUUUUUAGUCAUCUCUAUAUGGGCUUGUUUGACGGCCUGAAAGAUAUUGGACCUUAGAGAGAAAAUUAGAUUAAUAGCGAUUUGAAAGGUAAAACUUGUAACCUAUGUAUAAAGAUAAAUUAGAUAACACAUUUUAUUAUGAAUUCAUAACUCAUCAUUACAACAACAACAACAACAACAACAACAACAACAAAGCCUUUUCCCACUAAGUGGGGUCGGCUUUCAUAUAUGAAUCCUAGAACGCCAUUGCGCUCGGUUUUGUGUCAUGUUCUCCGUUAGAUCCAAGUACUCUAAGUCUUUUCUUAGAGUCUCUUCCAAAGUUUUCCUAGGUCUUCCUCUACCCCUUCGGCCCUGAACCUCUGUCCAGUAGUGACAUCUUCGAACCGGAGCGUCAGUAGGCCUUCUUUGCACAUGUCCAAAUCACCGGAACCGAUUUUCUCUCAUCUUUCCUUCAAUUUCGGCUACUCCUACUUUACCUCGGAUAUCCUCAUUCCUAAUCUUAUCCUUUCUCGUGUGCCCACACAUCCCACGAAGCAUCCUCAUCUCCGCCACACCCAUUUUGUGUACGUGUUGAUGCUUCACCGCCCAAACAUUCUGUGCCAUACAACAUCGCUGGCCUUAUUGCCGUCCUAUAAAAUUUUCCCUUGAGCUUCAGUGGCCUACGACGGUCACACAACACGCCGGAUGCACUCUUACACUUUCAUCCAUCCAGCUUGUAUUCUAUGGUUGAGAUCUCCAUCUAAUUCUCCGUUCUCUUGCAAGAUAGAUCCUAGGUAGCGAAAACGGUCGCUUUUUUGUGAUCUUCGCUAGAUUGCUCCGGUCAUUAGUGUGGAUAAGUAUAUAAAUGGAUAGAGAUAGGAAAGCAAACACAAGAUGUACGUGGUUCACCCAGAUUGGCUACGUCCACGGAAUAGAGGAGUUCUCAUUAAUUGUGAAGGGUUUACACAAGUACAUAGGUUCAAGCUCUCCUUUAGUGAGUACAAGUGAAUGAUUUAGUACAAAUGACAUUAGGAAAUAUUGUGGGAGAAUGAUCUCGUAAUCACGAAACUUCUAAGUAUCGGAGUGUGGUAUCGUCUUGACUUGCCUUAUCUGUCUCAUAGGUAGAUGUGGCAUCUUCUCUGGAAGUACUCUUCCUCCAUCCAGGGGUGGUAUCUUUAACUGGUGGAGAUGCACAAGGUAAUGUAUCAAUUUCACUUGAAGCUUACUUGUAGUUUCAGGCUUGGUCAAGCGCGAUACAAACCAUGUAGUAGGAGUCCCCCAAGUCGCCGAGCUAGGGGAUCUGCUGAAAGAGGUGACAGACAAGGUAAGCAAUCAGAGCUCCGGCUGAUUGUUCACAUUCUCCCUAUCUUGCAGGCAGCAUGAAGGAUAAAGAGAAGAAAAAUGAGAAGAGAUGAUAUGGGAUACUUUUGCUUUUGAAGAAGUAACUUUCCACAGGCUUAUUCUUGAACUGAGCUGGAGGGUUUUCUGGUUUCCUCCAGAGUAUAAGGCCGACUGAAGAAUUUGAGGGUCAAAACAAGUCCAUCAAAUCUAGAGUACGUUCGACCCUGCUGAUAUGGGAUACUUUUGCUUUUGACAGAGUAAUGGAUGUAUCGGCACGUGUGCUGUUACGCUUGUCUCCACAUGCUUCCUUGUAUCCUUCUCACUUGCCCUAUCUGUUCCUCAGGCAGAUGCGGUAUCUUCCCUGGAAGCAUAAGAUGUUGAAGAUGAGUACUCGAGAGCAAUGCCAGGUAAGUAAUCAGGUAAGGGGUUCCAGGCAGUCAGUUCCUGGCUGGAAGCUUGAUUCCAAGUGCUGACUGAAUUGCUCUCUUUCUCCUUGUCUUGCAGGUAAGAACAAGGCCAAAGGAAAAGACAGGGAAAAAGCAUGAUAUGGGAUACUCUUGCUUUUAACCCUGAUGAUAUGAGAUAUUCUUGCUCUAGUAUAGCUUGUUUGCAGAGGUAUUAUCGGGGGGAAAGAAAGCUGAAUAUUUCGAAAGGCUUCGUUGGGAGUGCCCUCUCAGAUAUGAGGAAGGGUUGAGCAUUUUUGCAGGUCUGCCUGUCCGUUGGGGAUGGAGGUCGACAUAUAUAGGAGUCUCCCUAACAACAAGUAGUAAUGCUAUUCCUUUACCCUGCUUGGUCAUAGCACGGUAGUGGGAGCUGCCAGCUUCACAUGUUUUAACUCUGUCAGAGCACUUUGAAAAAGUGGUUUGUGGUAUCUGGAAAGCUGAUGUUGCGUGUGAAGAUUACAUACAAGCUUUAUCCAAGGAGAUCCGGCUCUUGAAGUUGGGAAAAGUGUUGCCUCUUCGGUUUUCGAACAAGCAAUCCUAUCGGGAUCUGGCUCUCGAGAUUCGGAGAACGAUGCCUCUUCGAUUUUUGAGAAAGCAAUCAUGCUGGGGGUCUGGCUCUCGAGAUUCGGAGAGCAGUGUCUCUUCGAUUUUUGAGAAAGUAAUCAUGUUGGGAGUCUGGCUCUCGAGAUUCGGAGGGCGGUGCCUCUUCGAUUUUGGAGCAAGCAAUCUUGUUGGGAGUGUUUUCUCGAAUGUGAGUAAAGGUUGGGCAUGUUUGCUAGUCUACCUUGCCACGAAGCACAGAGGUUGACACACAGGGACUUUCCAAUUAUCCAGCAAUGGUACUGUUCCUUUACCCUCUCUUCGAUUUUUGAGAAAGUAGUCAUGUUGGGAGUCUGGCUCUCGAGAUUCGGAGGACGGUGCCUCUUCGAUUUUGGAGCAAGCAAUCUUGUUGGGAGUGUUUUCUCGAAUGUGAGUAAAGGUUGGGCAUGUUUGCUAGUCUACCUUGCCACGAAGCACAGAGGUUGACACACAGGGACUUUCCAAUUAUCCAGCAGUGGUACUGUUCCUUUACCCUUGUGGGUAAUAAUAUGGUAGCUAGACCUUCAAAAUUUAUGUGUCUAAACUUUGUUAGUGUUGUUUCUUUGCUAUUCUUUUACCCUUCUUGGUCAGAGCGAUGUAGUGGGAGCUGCAAGCUUCACGUGUCUCAACUUUGGCAGAGAACUUUGGCAAAGUUAUCUGUGGUACCCAUGAGCUACUGUUGCGUGUGGGAAGUGGGUGAUUGAACAGUAAGAUUCAUGUGCUUUCUACUUCACCAGAAGUCUUCGACAGAAUGCCCAUAAUUUCCGCAAAGCUGAGUGUGCGUGUGACAGGUGCUGACAAGGCUGGAAAAGUAGGUGCCUCUUCGAUUUCUGAGAUCGGCCCUCGUGGUCUCUGAGCAGCCCAGCUUUUGAGAAAGCAAGCGCCUCUUCGAUUUCUGAGAUCGGCCUUCGUGGUCUUUGAGCAGCCCAGCUUUUGAGAAAGCAAACGCCUCUUCGAUUUCUGAGAUCGACCCUCGUGGUCUCUGAGCAGCCCAGCUUUUGAGAAAGCAAACGCCUCUUCGAUUUCUGAGCAGGCGCCUCUUCGAUUUCUGAAGCUCCGUCGAGUGCAGAUUUUUUAUAGGGGCUGGCAUUAAGUUCCAAAGCACACUUGAAUCUCCACCAGUAGAAGCUCCAUUCUUGCACUUCUAAGAUCUUGAUUUGUCCGACCUCUUCUCUCUUCAACACCUUUGAAAAUGUCUGGCCCCUCCGACCGUCGUUUUGACUUGAACCUUGUUGAAGAGGCAGCCCCGCCUUCUCCAGACAACAUAUGGCGCCCAUCCUUCGUCUCCCCUACUGGUCCUCUACCGUUGGGGAUUCCGUGAUGAAGAAUGAUAUGACCGCUGCGGUGGUGGCCAGGAACCUUCUCACUCCCAAAGAUAACAGACUACUUUCCAAACGGUCUGAUGAGUUAGCUGUUAAGGAUUCUCUGGCUCUCAGUGUUCAGUGUGCAGGUUCUGUGUCUAAUAUGGCCCAACGCCUAUUUGCUCGAACCCGCCAAGUUGAAUCAUUGGCGGCUGAAGUGAUGAGUCUCAAACAGGAGAUUAGAGGGCUCAAGCAUGAGAAUAAACAGUUGCACCGGCUCGCACAUGACUAUGCUACAAACAUGAAGAGGAAGCUUGACCAGAUGAAGGAAUCUGAUGGUCAGGUUUUACUUGAUCAUCAGAGAUUUGUGGGUUUGUUCCAAAGGCAUUUAUUGCCUUCGUCUUCUGGGGCUGUACCGCGUAAUGAAGCUCCAAAUGAUCAACCUCUGAUGCCUCCUCCUUCUAGGGUUCUGUCCAGUACUGAGGCUCCGAAUGAUCCCCCUCCGGUGCCUUCUCUUUCUGGGGCUCUACCGACUGCUGAGACUUCUCCUAAGCAACCUUUGUGAAGGCUCCCUCUUGUUUGUUUAUUUUGACUCAUGUAUAUGUACAUAUUUGUAGCUUAUCGGGGAUAUCAAUAAAUAAGCUUUCCUUCAUUUCAACGUAUUGUGUUAAAUACACCAAAGCCUUCUUCGCUAAGUUCUUUGAAUUUUCUUUUGUUGAAGCUUGUAUGUUGAAGUGAGUGGAGCAUGUAGGUUGAGGUAGUGUUCCCUUAAUUUCCCGAGUGAGGAAAACUUCUCGGUUGGAGACUUGGAAAAUCCAAGUCACUGAGUGGGAUCGGCUAUAUGAAUCUUAGAACGCCAUUGUGCUCGGUCCUGUGUCAUGUCCUUCGUUAGAUCCAAGUACUCUAAGUCUUUUCUUAGAGUCUCUUCCAAAGUUUUCCUAGGUCUUCCUCUACCCCUUCGGCCCUGAACCUCUGUCCCAUAGUCGCAUCUUCUAAUCGGAGCGUCAGUAGGCCUUCUUUGCACAUGUCCAAACCACCGUAACCGAUUUUCUCUCAUCUUUCCUUCAAUUUCGGCUACUCCUACUUUACCCCGGAUAUCCUCAUUCCUAAUCUUAUCCUUUCUCGUGUGCCCACACAUCCAACGAAGCAUCCUCAUCUCCGCUACACCCAUUUUGUGUACGUGUUGAUGCUUCACCGCCCAACAUUCUGUGCCAUACAGCAUCGCCGGCCUUAUUGCCGUCCUAUAAAAUUUUCCCUUGAGCUUCAGUGGCAUACGGCGGUCACACAACACGCCGGAUGCACUCUUCCACUUCAUCCAUCCAGCUUGUAUUCUAUGGUUGAGAUCUCCAUCUAAUUCUCCGUUCUUUUGCAAGAUAGAUCCUAGGUAACGAAAACGGUCGCUCUUUGGUAUUUCUUGAUCUCCGAUCCUCACCCCUAACUCGUUUUGGCCUCCAUUUGCACUGAACUUGCACUCCAUAUAUUCUGUCUUUGAUCGGCUUAGGCGAAGACCUUUAGAUUCCAACACUUCUCUCCAAAGGUUAAGCUUUGCAUUUACCCCUUCCUGAGUUUCAUCUAUCAACACUAUAUCGUCUGCGAAAAGCAUACACCAAGGAAUAUCAUCUUGAAUAUGUCCUGUUAACUCAUCCAUUACCAACGCAAAAAGGUAAGGACUUAAGGAUGAGCCUUGAUGUAAUCCUACAGUUAUGGGAAAGCUUUCGGUUUGUCCUUCAUGAGUUCUUACGGCAGUCUUUGCUCCUUCAUACAUAUCCUUUAUAGCUUGGAUAUAUGCUACUCGUACUCCUUUCUUCUCUAAAAUCCUCCAAAGAAUGUCUCUUGGGACCCUAUCAUACGCUUUUUCCAAAUCUAUAAAGACCAUGUGUAAAUCCUUUUUCCCAUCUCUAUAUCUUUCCAUCAAUCUUCGUAAGAGAUAGAUUGCCUCCAUGGUUGAGCGCCCUGGCAUGAACCCGAAUUGGUUGUCCGAAACCCGUGUCUCUUGCCUCAAUCUAUGCUCAAUGACUCUCUCCCAGAGCUUCAUUGUAUGACUCAUUAGCUUAAUACCCCUAUAGUUCAUGCAAUUUUGUACGUCGCCCUUAUUCUUGUAGAUAGGCACCAAAGUGCUCGUUCGCCACUCAUUUGGCAUCUUCUUCGUUUUCAAAAUCCUAUUGAAAAGGUCAGUGAGCCAUGUUAUACCUGUCUCUCCCAAAACUUUCCACACUUCGAUUGGUAUAUCGUCUGGGCCUAUUGCUUUUCUAUGCUUCAUCUUCUUCAAAGCUACAAACCACUUCUUCCUUCCGGAUUCGACGAUAAAAAGAGUAGUUUCUACACUCUUCUGAGUUACUCAACUCCCCUAAAGAAGCACUCAUUUCAUGUCCUUCAUUGAAAAGAUUAUGAAAAUAACCUCUCCAUCUGUCUUUAACCGCGUUCUCUGUAGCAAGAACCUUUCCAUCCUCAUCCUUGAUGCACCUCACUUGGUUUAGGUCCCUUGUCUUCUUUUCCCUUGCUCUAGCUAGUUUAUAGAUAUCCAACUCUCCUUCUUUGGUAUCUAGUCGUUUAUACAUAUCGUCGUAAGCCGCUAACUUAGCUUCUCUCACAGCUUUCUUCGCCUCUUGCUUCGCUUUUCUAUACCUUUCACCAUUUUCAUCGGUCCUAUCCUUGUAUAAGGCUUUACAACAUUCCUUCUUAGCCUUCACCUUUGUUUGUACCUCCUCAUUCCACCACCAAGAUUCCUUUUGGUGUGGGGCAAAGCCCUUGGACUCUCCUAAUACCUCUUUUGCUACUUUUCGGAUACAACUAGCCAUGGAAUCCCACAUUUGGCUAGCUUCCCCCUCUCUAUCCCACACACACUGGGUGAUUACUUUCUCUUUGAAAAUGGCUUGUUUUUCUUCUUUUAGAUUCCACCAUCUAGUCCUUGGACACUUCCAAGUCUUGUUCUUUUGUCUCACUCUUUUGAUAUGUACAUCCAUCACCAACAAGCGAUGUUGAUUAGCCACGCUCUCUCUUGGUAUAACUUUGCAAUCCUUACAAGUUAUACGAUCCCCUUUCCUCAUUAGAAGAAAAUCUAUUUGUGUUUUUGACGACCCACUCUUGUAGGUGAUCACAUGUUCUUCUCUCUUCUUAAAGAAGGUGUUGGCUAAGAAGAGAUCAUAUGCCAUUGCAAAAUCCAAGAUAUCAUAUGUUCUUUCUCCUUAUUCUUGGACAAAAUUGCACCUAUAAAACAAAUAACAACUUAGAUCAAGGCCAAGAGUCUCACGCGCCCACGAUGAAUUUGGAGGGGGGGCUUUGGUCGAAAAACCUCCGAUGCCAAAGUUAGAAUUUUGAGGGAAAAGUGUUUUGAGAAUUUUGAGUGUUUAGCAAGAGUGAAGACUAAGGUUUUUAAAGAAAAUAAGGUAGAAUAUAUAAGGCAUGGCCGGCCCCCUUGGGAGAGAAGAUGACCAGCUUCUUGUGUGUAUUUUUGGGUUUAAUUGGUAGUUUAAUUAGACAUUAAUAGAUUAAUUAGGUAAUAAAUUCACUAAUUAGCUAAUUAACAUAAUUUAAAAGGAAUGUUUUGGGGGUUACCUUGUGGAGAAGAUAUGAUGAGGGACGGAUGAAAUAUGUUAUAAAUAAAUACCUAUUUGGGCACUUUUAACUUGAUUGAGGGAUGAUUGUCCACUGCUCACGUGUAUAAAUUCCGGUGUGCCUCAAAGAUAAUUUUGUCCUUUUAACCCAAAAAUCCACGUGUCGCCUCUUGACUAUUUUUUGCUCCACAAUCAUGUCCUGUCCACUUUACUUUUAACACAACGAACAACGAAUUAGAUUAAAGUCUAUUUUAACUAGUACAUGCUUACAUAUAUUGUGUGAACAAUUUCAUUUUAUUUUGUUUUGUAUUAUAAAGUGUUGAUUAUUUUAAAAUUUCUUGAAAAAGCUUACAUGAGGUGCUCGGAUCAGAGUCGAUCGUUUUCGAGUCGUAACCCUUUUCGGAGCAGUGGGGAAGAUGGUGGCUUGGUAGUUGUGUUGGGUGAUCUCUGCCUCUUAUGAAGCUUUUUCUAUUUUUCUAUUUUUCUAAUUUUUAUUGUUAAUUUUCUUUUUAUUUGUUUGUUAUUAAAUUUUGUGGGAUCCACAUAUGUGUCACGUUAACAUUCUAACAGAAGUUUUGACGAAAAUAUAAUGGCAAAUUGAUUUGUAACAUCCAAUUCAAAGGCUACACUGAUCGAUUUCAAUUUCAAAGGUCACCUUAAUUAGUGCGUCGAUUUCCGACUAUUUGCGUUAAAGACACAUUUUAGAAAAAUCUACUACACAAAGCAGUGGGGAAGAUGGUGGCUUGGUAGUUGUGUUGGGUGAUCUCUGCCUCUUAUGAAGCUUUUUCUAUUUUUCUAUUUUUUAUUGUUAAUUUUCUUUUUAUUUGUUUGUUAUUAAAUUUUGUGGAAUCCAGAUGUGUGUCACGUUAACAUUCUAACAGAAGUUUUAACAAAAAUAUAAUGGCAAAUUGAUUUGUAACAUCCAAUUCAAAUGCUACACUGAUCGAUUUCAAUUUCAAAGGUUACCUUAAUUAGUACAUCAAUUUCCGACUAUUUGCGUUGAAGACACAUUAUAGAAAAAUCUACUACACAACGUGUGGGGGGUGUUGAUUUGAACGCCCGGUGAAGCACGGGAAGACCAAAACAUGUAGCCAGAAAAUUCGGUGUCUCGCCUUCCCAACUCGCUCGACCUAUAUAUGUGUGCUGAAACACAGAGUCGAAAACAAACAACGCACGACAUUCUCCGUUUCUCAUCAAACUAGAUUAUUUUACGUUCUCUCUGCAAAGCGUUGGAAUUUCUGUUCUUCUUUCAUCACCCAAGAACAGAUUACGUAAUUGAAUUAAGUUUUGAGUCUCAUUGUUUCCGUAAAUUAUGUCUCUGGUUUCGGUCGGAAUGGGUGCUCUGAGAACGUCAUUUCAAAUGCUGUUUGAUGCUGUAAAAUCAGCGCAGGAGGAGAAUACAAUGUUCCAACACCUACUCGGAAACAUCAAAUCCACACUGGAAUCUCUACAACCACUUAUCAAAGACAUCGAAAAGUAUAACUCCAAGGAGGGGCGGGAAAAUUAUGCAAUACAGAUGGAGGAAGGAGCAAAGCUUGUUCAAAAGUGCAGCAAAGUUGGCGUGUGGAGAAAACACACAUACACCAAGAAGCUUAAUCAACUGGACAAAUCUCUUCGAAGAGUGUUUGAUGUGCUUAAACUGCAGGUUAUGAGGGAUGCGAGGGAGACGUUGGUUCCUUUGAGGAAUAUCGAGACGGUGCUCUCUCGAAUAGAAGAGAGAUUGAAGAUAAAAAAUAACCAGCCUGAAAUGGUUAAAUGUUCGUCUGCGGUGCCUGAAGCGCCAUCGGUUACAGUCGGGUUGGAUUUGCCGUUGAAGGAGUUGAAGGUGAAGCUCCUUAAGGAUGAAAAGGUGUCUAUGCUUGUGCUGACCGCUGCUGGAGGAUGCGGGAAAACCACCUUGGCUAAAAUGUUUUGUCAAGAUCAAGAAGUCAAAGGUAUACUAUUUAUGAUUUCAACCAUACACAGUAACCAAAAUUUGUUAAAAGAAAAACAACGAAGGGGACAUGAAACUAAAGCGCACGAAAGGAAUAUAAGAAAGAUUAGAAAGACCUAUAUUCUCUGUACUAAAGUUAAGCUGAUGCCUUCCUUUUAUUAACACCUUUCCUACAUUCUGUUUGAAUAGAUACAUUCAAGAACAACAUCUUCUUUGUCAAUGUCUCGAAAAAACCCAACUUGGACCUUAUUGUACACGAACUAUAUCAACGGAAGGGGUCCGAGCUGCCUGCUUUCGAAAACGAAGACAUGGCAGCUAACUGGUUGCAACAAUUUCUGAUGGAAUCAAGACAAAAUCCUCUACUGUUUGUCCUGGAUGAUGUUUGGUCAGGAUCAGAGUCCCUUCUUGAGAAGUUUGAUCAAUUCAAGUUUUCAAAUUACAAGAUUUUGGUCACAUCAAGAUUUGCAUUUCCAAGAUUCGGUUCUCCUUAUCAUUUGGCACCAUUGAAUGAUGAAGAUGCAAUGGCUCUUUUUCACUAUUCUGCAUCCUUGGAAGAUAAGAGCUCUUAUACUUACGAAGAUCUUUCGAGAAAGGUGAUUUCUUAGUCCACAAUACACACACACACACACACACAUAUAUAUAUAUGCUUAUUUAUGCCUCAGAAGAAGGUAAAGAAAUAACAUUUGAGCAUCCACACACGUUAAUGAACUGUGAAGAAUGAGGUAAGAAGAAUGAAUGACUAGACAGUUUACAAUUUUAUCAUCUUUAUGAAACCAUUUAGAUGAUUUUCAACAAUUUAAUCAAAUAAUAAUAAUUGAGUUCAUUUUGGAUAAUGAUAUUGCAGAUUAUCAAGCGCUGUAAGGGAUGCCCACUUGCCAUUGCAUUGGUUGGGAGAUCACUUCGCGGCCAGCCUAUAGAAAUCUGGCAGAAAAGAGUAGUGGAAUGGUGCAAAGGUUCAUCUAUUCUUGAUUCUGACAAGGAUUUACUUGCUUGCCUCCAAAGCAGCUUAGAUGCCUUGGAUAAGGAGAAGGUUAUCAUCAAGGAAUGUUUCCUCGAUCUAGGUUCUUUUCCGGAGGACCAAAGAAUUGCUGCUGCCGCUCUCAUUGAUAUGUGGGCGCAGUUAUAUGGUCUAGAUGAAGAAAUUCUGACCAUUGCCAACCUUCACGAGCUCACCGCUCGAAGUUUAGCUAAUCUUGUUGUCACAAGGUAUGCAGGCUGCUCAUAAGUUUUUCUAUUUAAUUAUGUAUGCCGAACAAAUCAUUAAAGAAAAUAGUAUUGAUCAUCCAGACAUGAGAGGGAGACAGAUGGCUAUUACACUGAACACUUUGUCACCCAGCACGACAUGCUUAGAGAGUUGGCGAUCCAUCAGGCGAGUCAAGACCCAAUAGAACAUAGGAAACGACUAUUUAUAAACAUAUGUGGGGUCAAACUUCCUAAGUGGUUGACAGAACAAAAGUAUAAAGCGAUCAAGGCUCGACUAUUAUCUAUCUCAACAGGUUCCAUCAAUCUCUCCUUAGUUAAUACUUAAUACAUGUGCACUCGGGACACACGUGUGCACACACACACACACACAUUUAGGACUUCCACACAUUUAGGCUAAUAUCUUGAAGCUUAUUGUUUGCAGAUGGAGCCUUCUCAGCAAAAUGGCCAAACAUGCAAGUACCCGAAGCAGAGGUUCUAGUUCUGAAUUUUCAAACAAAGAACUAUGCCUUACCUGAGUUUGUGGAGAAAAUGGAUAAACUAAAAGUUCUAAUACUAAAUAAUUAUGGUUUGUUACCUGCUGAACUAGAUAAUUUUGAACUACUUGGUUCGCUAUCAAAUCUUAAGAGAAUUAGAUUAGAACAUAUUUCAGUUCCUUCCAUAAGCAAGGUCCUCAAACAGUUGAAAAGUUUGCAAAAGAUAUCUUUUUUCAUGUGUGAUAUCGGCCAAGGUUUCGUCCAAAUUUUAGAUGCACUGCCAAAUCUAGUGGAAUUAAACAUUGAUUAUUGCCAUGAUCUGGUGCAACUUCCUGCCAACCUAUGUGACCUUGUUCACCUUAAGAAGCUUAGCAUCACCAACUGUCAUAAGCUAUCUGCCUUGCCUGCAGACAUUGGAAAGCUAGUCAAUCUAGAAGUGUUGAGGCUUAGGUCAUGUGCAGACUUGUUAGAGUUGCCAGGCUCGAUUAGGAACCUUGAAGUUUUGAAAUUUCUCGACAUAUCCGAUUGCUUUAGCAUAAAGGAGUUGCCCGAGGACAUUGGUGCAAUGUGCAGCAUGGAAAAGAUCAACGUGAGCCAGUGUUCAAGACUGAGAGAGCUGCCUGCUUCUGUUAUGGAUCUUGAGCAGUUGAACGAAGUGAUAUGCGACGAGGAGACGAAAACCUUAUGGGAACCCUUCUCGCCAUUUCUCACAAACAUGAGCGUAAAGGUGAUCAAAGAAGAUAUCAACCUAAAUUGGCUCAACAAGCUUCCAUCCUAAGGCUAUGGUCCUUCCAUCAAUGAGUGUUGGUGCAAUGUAUGCAGUAUGAUUGUGUUUAAUGUUAUUUUUCCUUUGUAAUUUACUUCUAUUUUAUGUUUUAUGUGUUUUUAAAUAACAUGGCAGCACUGUAAAUUAUUGUAAUUAUUCACCAUGGCUGUUAUUGUAAAUAACAUGUUUGCACUCCUCAUUGUUCAAUUCUUCAUUGAUUCUCUUUGAUUUAUCCAAUCAAUGGGUGUUUGUGCAAUGUAUGCAGGGAUAAAGGCAAGGAAAGAAAAUAAGGAAAAUUAAUUAAAAGGACUUGAAAACUUUGAGUUUUAACGAAAAUGACAAAAUAAAUGGGAAAAUGAAUAGUACCAUGAUUGACUUUUUAGUGUAAAAAUAUGGUUUUUUGUUAAAAUGAACAGUAUCGGAAGUUUUUUGUUAAAAUUCCCAAGAAAAUAAGAGUUAAAAAAUAACUGGCCUUUGAUUUAUUCAAUCAAUGUAUUAACUCUAUUGGUUGUUUCUCCGCUCUCUCUCUCUUGUUGAACCUCUUCAUCCCCUUUCAGUUAAAUAGGUCAUAACAUUACUGUUUUAUUUUAAGGGUAAUGCUAAGGAUAUUAAAUUUGUAGACAAAAUUUUGCAAAUUAAGUGACAUAGAAGUUGAUAAUUAGAUUAUGAUGUGCUUAAUCCUAUUGGUAACAUAUUAUUUAGUUUGCAAAUUUUGUCCCCAUAACAUUACUCGUAUUUAAAACUAUUUAUUCAAGAGCACAACAUUUUUUUUACUAUUUUAUUUUAAACUAUUUAUGCUACAGCACAACAUUUUAAAAGUAGUUCAAUACCAAAUCAUAUGUACUAGAAAAUUAUAUAUCUCCUCGUCUCCUAACAGCGUGUCAAAUGUCUUUCCCAGCUCGUUCGUUUUCUUUGGGUGAAAUUCAUUGCUUGUUCGUUAAGUUGUAUAUAUGUGUGCUGAAACCAACAAACAACUUACAUAUCAUUCUCACUUGCUCAUCAAACUAGAUUAACAAAGAGGAUUAAGGGUCAGUUUGGGAUUGCUAUGUUUUUAAAAAAACUAAUUAUGUUAUGUUUUAUGAAUAAUCAGUUGUAAAAUAAAGCCGAUGACCGUUUGGUUAAUUGAAUUUUAAAAGUCCUAUGAAUAUGAAAAGCAGCGCAAAAGCGUUUGGUAAAAUUUAAUGUAAAAGUGAUAUAAUUGUACACAAUGAUAGAUGGACAUAGUAGUAGGAAUGGGGGCAACGACAGCAGUGGUAGUAAUGGAGGUGGUGGUUGCAGUGGAGGAAGUGAUGGUGGUGCUAAUAGUGGGAUGUGUUGGUUGAGGUGGAAAGGUAACACAGGUGGUAAGGCGUGGUGGUGCUAAUAGUGGGCUGUGUUGGUUGAGGUGGAAAGGUAACACCGGUGGUAAGGUGGUGGCAGUGGUCAUGAUGGCAAUGGUGGCAGUUGGAGUUAUGUUAGUGUCGACAAUGAUAACAAUGAUGGUGGUAAUGAUAGUUGUGGUUGUGAUGGCAAUGGUGGUAGUUGUGGUAAUGGUGGUGGUGAUGGUGUUGGCGAUAACAGCAUCGAUGGUGGUAGUAGUGGUGGUGGCAAUGGCGGCAGUGCGGUGAUGGUAGUGAUGGUGGUGACAAUGAUGGUAGUGAUGACAGUGGUGGAGGUUGUGGUUAUGGCGGUGGUGGUGGUGGUGACAAAAAUGAUGGUUGCAAUGACGAUGAUGGUGUAAGGUUAGUAUUUGGAGUGGUAGGUGGUAGUCUUUACUUUAUUCUCUAAGGAAUAGAGGAACAGAAUGUGUGUGGAAGGCUAAACAAUGUCAUUUAAAAAAAAUUAAUGAAGGUAUUACAGCAAUUAAAAAUACUUAUUAUAGACCUUUCUUUUUACUAAAGCAGCUUUUAAAAGCAACUUGCAGGCUGCUUUUAAAAGCUAUUGUCUGGAGCCCAUUGUUUAGAGUCUCUUUGUUUUGGUAAGUAUGUCUCUGGCUUCAAUCAGAAUGGGUGCUCUCAGAACGGCAUUUAAAAUGUUGUUUGAUGCUGUAAAAUUAGCGUAGGAGGAGAAUAAAAGGUUCCAACACCUCUCCCGAGACAUCAAGUUCACACUCGACUCUGUACAACCACUCAUCAAAGACAUCGAGAAACGUAUAACUCGAAAGAGGGACUGCAAAAUUUUGCAAUACAGAGGGAGGAGGGAGCAAGCUUUCAACAAUUGUUACAUCUCAAUCUCAUUGGCAUUUCUGAAUCUAGAAGAAAUGUACAUCGACUAUUGCAGUGAUUUAAUAGAGUUGCUUACCAAGAUUUGUAAUCUUAGUAAAUUAAAGAAGCUUAGCGUCACUAACUGUUACAUCUCAAUCUCAUUGGUAUUCCUGAAUCUAGAAGAAAUGUAAAUCGACUAUUGCAGUGAUUUAAUAGAGUUGCCUUCCUCUCCCUUUCAUUGUUUUCACUUUCUUCUUCCUCCUCCGACAUACACACACGGACGACAACGGCAACACCACCAUUUGUGUGGCCGUGAAAUCCUUAAUCCAAAACCCUAAAAAAUCAAGAACCUUCCUCACCGCCACUGCCCUCGCUUCGCUUCUCGCUGUCUCCAAUCCAGCCUAUCUUCAUCUCGCUGUCUCCAAGUUGUAUACUUUGAAGGAGGAGAAAUUGAAGAUGGAUAACGGAGGCAGCGACUCAAUCCUCUUCUUCUCGCUGUUUUCAGUCCAACCUCUUUUCCUUCCACAAGCAGCGACUCAAGGUUAUCUUCUCCACCUCCUCCUCGUUUUCUUUUUUCUGAAUUGAAACAAAUUCAAAGUUGUAAACUUUGAAGAAGGAGAAAUUGAAUUGUUGUUGUUCUUUUUGUCUACAGAUUCUUGAAGUAGCAGAGGAAAAAUGAGAGUUUUAUGUUUUUGUUUGUUUGUUUGUUUUUUUUUUUUUUUUUUUGCAAUUAUCAGUUUUGGCUGUGGUAGUCUAGUGGGUUUCUGGGUUUCUGUGUUUCCAUUUCUAUUGCAGAUCAGCAAAGCCAUUUCUGGUGGGUUUCUGGGUUUUGUGGAGAUCGGCAAAGGAGCACUGUUUCUUGUUUGAGGGUGUUAUUGGACUUUAGAAAGUUUCAUUAAAGGAGCACUGUAGCUCUGCGUGCUUUGAAAAAAAGCCAGUUUUCCAAAGCAGCAUUUUAGGUGCUUCAGCUUUUCUGAUGAUUUCAGCUUAUUCAAUCCAUUUUUUUUGAGUUUACCAAACACCUUCAACAUAAAAACUUUGAAAAUAAGCAACUUUUUUUUAAGCACCUCAAUGCCAAACCAUACGUAACUGUCAUAAGCUAUCUGCCUUAGCUGAAGGGAUUGGAAAGUCGGAAAAUUUAGAAAUGUUGAGGCUAAGAUCCUACACAGAACUGUUAAAGUUUCCAACCACGAUGAAGAACCUUGGAAAGGUAAAAUUUCUCGACAUAUAUGUUUGCUUCAGCAUCAAGAUGUUGCCUAAAGACAUAGUUGAAAUGGGUAGUUUAAAGAAGAUCAACAUGAGACAAUGCUCAAGGUUGCAAGAGCUGCCUCCAUCAGUCAUGGAUCUUAAGCAGUUAAAGGAAGUUGUCUGUGAUGAAGAGACAAAAUACUUAUGGGAAUCUCUCAUUGUGUCUCAACAACGUAAGGAUAAUUAUAUCAACCUAAAUUGGAUCCACAAGACUCAGUUCUGAUACUUGUGUUUCCUCGGUGAACGUGGGCUUCAUAAAUAGUAGUGUGGGAUAUUGCACGGUAUAAUCAUUUGUUGUUAAAUGAGCACUAUUUUGACAACCUUAAGAAAUUUUCUAAACUAGUGAAAUGUGAAGGGAAAUUUAAUAUCUGAGCAAUAAGUUUAAUGUGAAAGUUGUUUUAUCAGAGGGAAAAUGUGGUUUGUGUUUUUAAUGGGACUUCUUAAACUCUACUCUAACAUAGUUUCACAAUCAAUCCCUAUACGCAGUUUCUUAACCUUUUGGUUUGAAAAUUUGUAUGUAUAGUUCAACACCAUAGUGUGAUUAUGCUUCCCAAAAUACGUUUUAUAAGUAAAGGAACCAAAAAGAAAAGGUUGAAGAGUCUCCAUAAGACAAGAACUUUUAUGUCACAGGGUCAGGUAUUAAUCUCAUCGUCAGUAAGUUUCUCAAGUAUCUAUAUUCACAUUUGUUAGUCAAGUUUUCAGAAUUGUGUUCGCAUAUAAUCUGAGUUCAUUGCCAAAUGUAGUGGAAUUGAUUGUUAUUGACUAUUUGCGAUGAAUUGGUCUCAUACUAUAGUUCAACACCACCAUCUGAUUCAUGCUCUCCAAAAUAAAUUUUAUAAGUAAAAGGAACAAAAAAGAAAAGGUUGAAGAUUCUCCAUAAGAUAAGAACUUUUAUGCCAUGGUGUCAGGUGUUAAUCUCGUCCUCGAUAAGUUUUUCUAGUAUCUAUACUCACGUCUAUUGGUCAAGUUUCCAGAACAUGUGUUCACAUAUAAUUUGGAUUCAUUACCAAAUCUAGAAGAAUUGAUUGUUGUUGACUAUUGCAAUGAAUUGGUCUCAAACUAUGUUUUCCAACCAGCACAGAUUGAUCAGCUUUUUUUUUUUUUUUUUUUUUUUAAUAAAAAAAAGUUGUUUGAUUAGUCUCGUUCAAUACCGUUACGUGAUCAGCUUAAACUUAGUGGAAAUUAGGUUCACAUCCUUCUUUUUGUUACUCCAUUGAUUAAAAUCCUAUUCAUUUUCAAUUUUUGAUCAAGGUCCUUGGGUAUUAAUUACAUCAUUAAUUAUUUGAAUAAUAAAAUAUUUUUAUUUUUAAAUAUAUUCCUUUAGUGUUAAAAAUGUUACAUUUAGUAUAUUUAUAUUUAUGGUUAAAAAUUUUACCAUAUAUUUUUAUUUUUAGUUUGUACCUAUUUUUAAUUUGCAAAUAUUUUUUAAUGUACCAAUUUUCUUUUCAUUUUUAAUUUGUACCCAUAUAUUAGUUUCUUUUUGUGCCCAUAUUUUUAAAAUUUUUAUUUGUGUUUGGAUUCAUGUGUAUACCGUCACGUGACAUUGUAUAUUUAAUCAAUGAUAGAAAAAUUACAUAUGGUAUAUUUAUGUUUUAUGCCUAAACUUUGUAUCAUAUAUUUAUAUUUUUAGUUUGUACCCACUUUUAAUUUGCAACAUUUUUUUUUUAAAUUUGUAGUAUUUUCUUUUUAGUUUUAUUUUGUACCCAUGUAUUAAUUUCUUUUAGCGCCUAUAUUUUUUUUAAAACUUCAUUUGUACUCAUAAUUUUCUAAUCUUUUAUCUGUACCCUAAUUUAUUUAUAAUGUAUCCAUUCUUCUUUAUUAAUGUACCACUUUGUUAUAUGUGAAAUGUACCAAUUUUUUUAACACUAUUGAUAGAUUCUUUUGCCAUUUAUUAUUUCUUAUUUUAACAUAGUUUUUAUCCAUUUAUUCAAUCAAAAUGUUUGAAUUUUUUUAUUGUAACUGUUUCUAAUAGUAUUAUAAUGAGGGAUUUUAAAUUUAUAGGAUUAUAAAUCUCAUAAAAUAUCAAACAAUUAAUGUCAAAACUAUAAAAAUAUAAAUAUUAAUAGUAAUAUAAUGAGGUGUACAAAGUCAAGGGACUUUGAUCAAACUUUGAAUACUAUUAAAGUUUUAAUCAAAGAAUGUUAAGGAUUAGAGACCGCAUCCAAAAUAUCUCAAAAUAUUUUUCUUGUUCAAAAUUUUAAUAGUUAAACUAAUAAAGAACGGGCCAUAUUUUCUUUCUUUUAAAAGUUGUUCACAUAGAAGUGGUCAUUGACAAAGUAGAUAAUGAAUAAACAUUGUAAUUUGGAUGAAAAUACACAAAUUCAAUACUUUAAUUAGAUUUAUAUACUUUAAAUGAAAAUAAACAAGUUUAAUAUUCUUAGAGAAGGGCACAAUAGAAAUUUCACAACUAAGAAUUGAUUAUAGCAUGCCAAUACUUAAAAAGCUGACUUGGCUUUGUAAUGGGAAGGGUACAAAGAAAUUUCACAGCUAAAAAUUAAUUAGAUCAUGACAAUGAGGUAGAUGAGGGGGUUCUUUACUCCAAAUGAACUCUUGAAGUAUUUUUAUAGAGAACUUAUAGUUUUGAAACAAAUAAUUGUACAUUAGAAAAAGAUAGCUCAUAUUUUCAUUGAAAAAGAGAGCUGAUUUUUAUUAAUUAACAUUGAAGUUUUUGCCUAUUAAAAAAAUGUGGGUCUUAUUUUUUAAUAGAGGUAGGACCCACCAACACAUAUUAGUCUCAUCUCUAAUAACAUUUUUUUGCAAAAAUUAUUCACUGCUUCCUAAUAAAGUAAACAAGGUCAAAAGGAGGACAAAUUGGUUUUCUUUUAGCACUAAUACUCUUUUAGAAACUAUGUAUUUGAUUGUAUGAACAAUAAAGUCAUUGUACAAUUUAAAUUUAAAACUCAUAAAGAAAAUUAUACAAGGCAUAAAAAAUUUAUUAAUCAACAUUGAAACUUUUGUGCAUAUUCUAUGAAAACACAAGGAAAUUAUACUAUGAUCUCCUCACAAGAAAUUCUGAACUCUUUCGUUUUUCAUGAACUUGUGAUACACGGUAAAGGGGAUGAAUUCUUCAAUGAAAUAUUGAUACACAAAUGAGACCUAUUCAUAAGUUUAUUGAAAAUAAUGAAGCGCAUAGGAGUACUCCAGCCCAUAAUACAAUUUUCUUGUGUUUUCAUAGCAUAUGCACCCAAAAUAUAAUGUUGAAAAAUAAGUAUUAUUUUUUAUGUAUAUAAAUAUAAUAUUUUCUCAUCUUCUAGUACAAGUUUUGUGCAUAUUCUACAAACCCAAAAAUAAAUUAAAAAUCAACAUCUUAGCAAUAUUUUCUCAAAAAAAAAAUAAAAAAUUGCUCGGUAAACAAAUAUAUUUUUCCACACUAAAUUUCGCAAAUAUCCUAUGAAAAUAUAAGGAAAUUAUACUAUGGUCUCAUCUAAAAAAAAAUUCCAAAAAUUCUCAGCUCUAAACUUAUAAUUCAUGCAAACGGGAUCAAUUUAUCAAAGGACUUAUGAUACACGUAAAUGAGGUCAAUUCAUAAGUCCAUUGACCAUGACAUAUCAUGUGAAUGGGAAUAGAGAAGCAUACGAGUUUCUUAUGUGUUCAUGGCAUGUGCACAAAAUGUUUUAUUGGUGUUGAAAAUUGUGUAUGUAUAUCAGCAUAUUUUCUCAUCUUGUAGUAUGCUAAAGGAGUAGAUCGCAACAUCUUCAUAAUAAAUUCUCUACCUAGCUUACUCUAGGCUUAUGAAUUCACUCGCAACAAAAUUUGAACUGAAAAAAAAAAGUGACUUUCUUUUAGCACUAAUAAUAGUUUUUUUUUUUUUUGAAUAAACGAUAUUAUAUACCCUAAGAGGGUGGGGAGUGAGCUAAACCUCACAAUGGCUAGCAAUAAUGUGGUUCAAAGUGGUUCAAUGUGGUUCAAAUUUGUCUUUUGUGGAAAUCGAACUUAAGACUUCUCACUUACAAGUGAAAAGAAACACCACUAGACCAUAGUAUUAAGUGGCCUAAUAAUAGUUCUUUGAAAAACUAUAUAUUUGAUUGCAUAAACAAUAAAGUCAUUGUAUAAUUUAUAUUUAAAUUAAAACUCAUAAAGAAAAUUAUAAUUGUCAAGCCCUGAUCCCGACAUAUGUCCAAGAUCGACACAUGAUGUCAGCUCAUCCCUAUUUAUUUAUCAUCUCAUCUCCGAGACAAGUCCAAAACCCAAUCAAUGAUUCAACCAAGCAGUGACUUUCCUUUAUUUCAUGGCUGAAUCUAACAUUUGCAUUAGACUGCCUAUGUACCCUAAAUAGGGAUCAAGCCAUUCAUAGUUCACCAUUCACUACACUCCAAUGUUUAUCACAGUACGUUCUAACAAAAAGGCAUAGCAUCCCUCAAUCAAUUAUUAAAACUUGACAAGCAUGAAAUUACUAGAUUUAGGGCUACAUAAUAAACCCACAUGACAAUCAAGAUUUCCACAUCAUCCAUCAUAUAAAUCACUAUGUUUCAACAUAAUAUUGCAAUUCAUAGCAUGCAACAUCUCAAAGAACAAUCAACGAAGCGUAAUAUUAUUCUCUAGCCACAUUGGUCAACGAGUCUAACCAUAAUAAUAACAAUCAUAUCCAACAUCAUUCCACAAUCACUCCAAUUAAUCAAUUCCAUGAAUCAAAGAAGCACGAUAUUAACAUUUAACUACGUUCAUCAAUCAAUACGAUCACAUAUUAAUUCACAAAAUUUAAUAAAGGAAUCCUACAUAAUUUCCUACCUGGAUUCCAAGUAAUAACAUGAUAAAUCUAAUUUAUAAACACAAUGUCUACUGUGAGCAAUUCCUAUUCACUCGAAUCUAGGGGCCGGAAAUGAGCAAGAAUAGGGAUUAUGGACAGUCACCGGAAUCUAACUAAAUUAUGGUUGCCUAUCGAACUGUACUGAGUACAACUAAUCCUCAUCACCCCUAGAAUGCAUAUGGUCCCCUAUUGCGAAUAUACCAAGCAGAACCAUAGGCAUAAUCUAAGCAUGCAUGCAGUGAUCACCCAUCGAGGAUAUACCAAGCAUGAUCACCCUUGAAAUACGUAUGGUCCCAUAUCACAGAUAUAACAAGUAGGGCAAUAUCCUAUAGCUUUAGGUUGUGAUCACCCAUCGCGGAUAUACCAAGCAUGGUCACUCCUAGAAUGCGUAUGGUCCCCCCAUUAUGGAUAAACCAAGCAGAACCAUAUGCAUAGUCUAAUAAUGUAGGCAGUGAUCACCCAUCGUGGAUAUACCAGGCAUGAUCACUCCUAGAAUGUAUAUGGUCCCUCAUUGCAGAUAAACCAAGCAGAACCAUAAACAUAGUCUAAUAGUGCAUGUGGUGAUCACCCAUCGCAGAUAUACCAAACAUGAUCACUCCUGAAAUACGUAUGGUCCCCUAUUGUGGAUAUACCAAGCAGAACCAUCCUAACCACUGCUACAUGGUGCAGUCAUAUCAAUACACAAUAAUUACCAAAUUAAUAUGAAUCAUAAUUCCUAGCAUACACACCAUCAAUCCGAUAAGACAACGAUCAUUGAAUCACAUCGUACACAUUCUAUAACAUGUGUCAUUUCAUCAUGAAUCACAAUUUCAAUUGUACAUGCUAUCAAUUCCACUUAACUAACCAGUCUCCAAUUAUCCAUACAAAUGAGUUCUACGGAAUAGUUCUAACGAGGUUCCAACUCAUAUUUUCAUACAAUAUAUAUAUGAUAGAAAAGUAAUAUUUUAAUAUAAAACACAUUUAUAAAACCAUGCCAUAUCCAUUAAAUAUACUAGCAAGGGAAUUUUUAGGGUAAUCAUUGAUACCACAUGAUUAGAACAUUAGUCCUUGCCAAAAAAAAAAAAAAAAAAAAAAAAAAACCUAACCCUAGAUUACAUAUUCAAUUUAAUCUCUUGAAGUGUACUUUUAUCAAAAUUUAUAUUCAAUUUUUGUUAUUUAAUGUGUAUUUUUAUUUAAUCUCUCUACAUUAAAUUUUAAUUUUAUUAAUGCACAUAUUUAGUCCUUUAAUUAUAAAUGAACACAAAUGAGAAAAUAUUUAAAAAAAGUUGCGAUACAAAAAUAUAUAAAUACAUAAGUGUACAGAAAUGACUGUGCAGAAAUAUAUAAAAUUAACUUUUUUUGCACCGAAAUAUUUGUACCUGCAUGAUUGUACCGAAAUAUAUUAUAAUGAAUCUAAAUGUAUGUACCAAAAUGUAUUAUAUAGAAUUAAUGUACCAAAAUGUCAAUACCGAAAUGUAUGUACCAAAAUGUACAUACCAAAAUGUAUAUGUGAACACGGAAAAUUCCUGAAACGAAAGAGACAAGAACGACGUGCACAAACAAAAUAUUUGUAUUUUUGAAGAUUUUGGGUUACAAUCUCUCUCUAUUUUGAUCCUCUGAUUCGAUCUCCGUAAGGUGUUGAUUGAUGGAUGUUUUGUUGAUCCAAGGGUCGUUGAUGCUUAAUCUUGGAUGAACUGUUGGAAGUUUCUUCAAAGGGCCGUGGGCUUGAUCUUUAAGGUGGAUUUGAGCGGAUCUUCAAGGAGCCGUUGGGGCUUGAUCUUGAAGAACAGUGAUGAACGGAUCUUCAAGGGGUUUUGGGCUUGAUCUUGAAGAACAGUGAUGAACGGAUCUUCAAGGGCUUUUGGGCUUAAUCUUGAAGAACGGUUGGAUGUGUGUGGAUUUGUCGAUGUUUGUUGAUCCAAAGGGCCGUUGGGGCUUGAUCUUGGAUGAACGGAUGAUGAACGAUGGUGCUUUCUUCAAGGGCCGUCGGGGCUUGAUCUUGAAUUGGUGGAAGUUCUUCAAGGGCCGUUGGGGCUUGAUCUUGAAUUGGUGGAUGAUUGUUGAUCCAAAGGGCCGUUGGGGCUUGAUCUUAGGAUGAACGAUGAACGAAGAACGCUUUCUUGAUUCUUCGGGAACCUGGAUGCUUGAGAGCUUCGGAGUUUCAGAGCUUCAGGGCUUCAAGGUGUAAUCUCAAUUGGUCCCCCCAUUUGGAAUGAAAUAGCCUUCUAUUUAUAGAAAUUUCCAAGGCCUAAUUUUGAAUAUAAUAUUCCAGAUGAAAUAAGUCGUUUCUGCCAGGUGUUGACACGUGUCCUAUUUGAUGACUUUUCCAACUCAUUUCAAUUUUCAUUGAGUCACACGCUACGUGUAAAAUUUAUGUAAUACAUGAGCGUUGACACACUUUGAUUUAUCGGUCAACAUUUAUUUACCGAAAUUUCGAUGUCUACAAAUGCCCCCACUUCAAGGCACGUCGUAUACAUGUGCUUGUCACGUGUAGGAGAUGCGUUUUGAAGUCCCUUACUGUAGAUGUCGAUCCAAGGGCCGUCGAGGCUUGAUCUUGAAUUGGGCUGGAGAUUUCUUCAAGGGCCGUUGAGGCUUGAUCUUGAAUUGGGCUUGAGAUUUCUUCAAGGGCCGUUGAGGCUUGUUCUUGAAUUUUUGUUUGAAAUUUCUUCAAGGGCCGUCGAGACUUGAUCUUGAAGGUUGAAAUUGGACCACAAGGAGCUUCAUGUGGUAGAUGAUCUUUGGCUUUGGUAGUGGGUGAAUCGGCACAUAUUUUGUUGCGCUUGUUGACUUUCCACAGCUUUGAUCUUGAACUGGGUUGAAGGAUUUUCUGGAUUCCUCCAAUUGUUGAUUUUCCACAGCUUAUUCUUGAACUAGGUUUUGAUUCAAGGGUGGUAGACACUUAAUCUUGAAUCGGACUUGUAAUUUCCUCAAAAGCCGUCGAGGCUUGAUUUUGAAUUUGGCUGGAAGCUUCUUCAAGGGCCGUUGAGGCUUGAUUCUUGAAGGCUGACUCGAACACAUGGCAAGAAGGCACGAGGUGAAGGUGACGACUUGUUGCUUUGUUCAAUCUUUCUAAUUCACACCUGAGCAGUUUGGUCAACGGUAUGAUCUUCAAGAUUGAUGGGCUCUUCUUCCAGUUGGUGACUUGAUCUUUAAGGAUUUGAUUCAAGGGUGGUGAAUCGGCACGUGCAGCCCACAACGCCUAGUAAGUCGACCCAAGAAUUUGAGGGUCAAAACGAGUUCUUCAUCUCAGACUCUUUCUGCCGAGUUGACUGUGCAUGCUGCAUUCUUCUCUGCUUGUUUCUUCAGGCAGAUAUGGCAGCUUCUCGAGUUCUUCAGCUCGGACUCCUUCUGCUGAGUUGACUGUGCAGACUGCAUUCUUCUCUGCUUGUUCCUUCUGCACCUUGUCUCCACAUGCUGCAAGGUAUCAUUUUCACUUGCCUUAUCUGUUCUCCAGGCAGAUGUGGCAGCUUCUUUGGAAGUACAACAGCAGUGGGAAACGAGUACUCGAGAGCAGUGCUAGGUAGGCAAUCAGGGAAGGGUUCCAAGCAGUCGGUUCCUUACCCGAGUUUGAGUGGAAGUUCCGGCAUAUUGUUUUCUUUAUCCUUGUCUUUGUAGGUAAGAACAAGGACAAAGGAAAGGACAGGGAGAACGCAUGAUAUGAGAUAUACUCUUGCUUUCUACCCUGGUGAUAUGAGAUACUUUUGCUUUGGAGUCAUUGGCUUGCAGAGGUACCCCAAGGAAUAAGGAACAUUGAAUGACUCGAGAGGCUUCGUUGGGAAAGCAUUUUUUUGGAGAUGAAGAAAGGCUCUGUAUGUCUGCCUUGCUAUGGAAGGCGAAGGUAGACAAUUAUAGGAAGUUCUUUGAUACCUGUAGAGGUACUAUUCUUUCACUCGUGUCGGCAACCAAUGCGUGAUCGAUCUAUAUGGCUUCACAUGCUUUCUUCUUUAUCAGAAAUCUUUGACAAAUUGUCCGUAAUUUCCGCCAAGCUAAGUGUGCAUGUGACAGGUGUUGACGCGGCUGAAAAAGACUGACGCCUCUUCGAUAACUGGGAUCGGCGCUUCGACAAAUUACCCGUGAUUUCCGCAAAGCUGAGUUUGCGUGUGAUGGGUGCUGACGUGGCUGAAAAAGACUGGCGCCUCUUCGAUAUCUGGGAUCUGCGCUUCGACAAAUUGCCCGUGAUUUUCGCAAAGCUGAGUUUACAUGUGACGGGUGCCGACGCGUCUGGAAAAGCAAGAUGCUUCUCCGAUUUCUGAGCUUGCCUCUUCGAUUUUUGAAUGGCCUCUUCGUAUUCUGAGCUCGCCUCUUCAAUCUCUGAAAUCCCGUCGAGUGCUGAUUUUUUUUUAGAGGCACGCUGUUCGUUUCAAAGCACACUUGAAUUUUACUUGUGAAAACUCCCUUCUUGCACUUCUAAGAUCUUGAUUCGUCCGACCUCUUCUUUCUUCAACACUUUGAAAAUCUCUGGUCCAUCUGACCGUCGUUUUGAUUUGAACCUUGGUGAAGGGGCAGUCCCUUCUUCUCCAGACAACAUAUGGCGCUCAUCCUUCAUAUCCCCUACUGGUCCUCUUACCGUUGGGGAUUCAGUGAUGAAGAAUGAUAUGACCGCUGCGGUGGUGGCCCGGAACCUUGUCACUCCCAAAGAUAACAGACUACUUUCCAGGCGGUCUGAUGAGUUGGCUGUUAAGGAGUCUCUGGCUCUUAGUGUGCAGUGUGUGGGUUCUGUGUCCAACAUGGCCCAACGCCUAUUUGCUCGAACCCGUCAAGUUGAAUCGUUGGCGGCUGAAGUGAUGAGUCUCAAACAGGAGAUUAGAGGGCUCAAGCAUGAGAAUAAACAGUUGCACAAGCUCGCACACAACUAUGCCACAAACAUGAAGAGGAAAAUUGACCAGAUGCAGGAAUCUGAUGGUCAGAUUUUACUUGAUCAUCAGAGGUUUGUGGGUUUGUUCCAGCAGCAUUUGCCUUCGUCUUCUGGGGCUGUACCGCGUAACGAAGCUCCAAAUGAUCAACCUUUGGCUCCUCUUCUUCCUGGAGUUCCGCCGAGUGGUGUGACUUCAAACAGUCAACCUCCGACGUCUCUUUUUCCUAGAGCUCCACCGAGUACUGAGACACCACUUGAGCAAUAAAGACUCCCUCCCGUUUGUUUGCACAUUUGUAAAUUUUUUUUUUUUUUUUUUGGUAUGUAGAAUGCAAUUUUAUGUAAAAUUUCGAGAAAAAAAAACAAAUAAAAUGGACUUUUAUUUCUCUUAAUGCUUUUUUUUUGUUUGCUGUAUAUAUUAUACACACACACAUUUAUAUAUACACAUACAUACAUACAUACAUAUAUAUAUAUAUAUAUUUUUUUUUCUUUCACGUGGAGUGAUCCACCAUCCCAAACCCAUUUUCCCUUUGUUUUUUUUUUUUGCAUGGUGCUAGCCAUCAAGAAUCCACCUUCCCUUUUUUUUUUUAUUAUUUUAUUUUAUUUUUUGGUCUGCUUUCACAUGGUGCUGAUCCACCAUUCCCCUUUUCUUUUCUUUUUUCACGUUGUGCCAGAUGCACCAUCCCCUCCUUUUUUUUUUUCUUAUAAUUAUUAUUAUAUUUUUUUUUCUGUAUAAAUUUGGGUGAUGGGUAGAGGAAUUUGCAGGGAGCGGAGCAAGGAGGCCGAGAAGAUGGUGCUUCGAGCUUCACGACCGGCUAGUCGUUUGACGGCAGUCGUUGAAGUUCUUUGCUAUCAUGGUGGUCAUAGUGACGAGCUCGAGGGAGGCUAGGCGCUGCGGUGGAAGAUGGGCAGAGAUGAGCGGUGCAGCUUUGGAAGUAGCAGGAGAUGACGGAGAAUGAGUCUCGCUCGAUGGCGUUUGAGAUUGGGCUGCCCCAUGCAUUCACAAGUACAUCCUUACCUCGAACCUUUGCGGGGACCAGCUUCUGCUUGGGAACGAUCCUGCAGUGAUGAAGGUGGACUUGGCGAGGCGGAGUGCUAAGACCGGGAGCUGGAUUCGACAGAUGAAGACUCGAAGUUGAUGCCGGUGUUGUGGCGACGGAAGCGUUGUGCAGCAACGUUGUGGGCCCUGGCGUCCGUUUGGCUGUGGGACCACGCUUUUGUACUUGGAGGAAGGGAGCUUCCGAGACUCGACCUCGAAGCUGCCGGUGCCGCCGCUGUUGCUGAGCUUUGAGUCCAGAAGUGCACUGCCCGUGCUGAUGUUGCCGAUGCGGUCGGGAAGGAGGAGUUGACAGCAGGCUGAUCACUAUGAACGGCUUAAGCGGCGGAGAUGGCGACUUGGUCUACUUCAACGGCAAGGAGGAGAUGCAUGAGGCUCAACUCUUGUAGUGCCGUGAGGUGGGAGACCUUCUUGUGGUUGUCAGGGUCUCUGACGGUGGUUCUGACGGCGUAGCCCUUCUGGAGUAGCAGCUUGACCAGCAGAGACACCACGAACCCGGUUCUGCCGAUGACGCAAGCCGUCUUCUUCGAGAUGGGUUGUUGGGUGGCCAUGGCUUCCUCUUCCUCUGUCAGAUUUUUAGUUGAAAAGGUGGGUGAUUUAUAACUCUUUGGAGAUUGGGAACCCUUGGCCGUGGCAGGAACUGAUAUGUUACUUUGUAGAUAUCUCUGGCUUGCUGAUACCGUGCUGUCUAAAGAAAUGCUUUCGUUGCUUGUUUGAGAUGCAAAAUUUGAGGCGUGAUCAUUUCCUGUAUCUAUCAUUCCUUUCGUCUUCUGCAUCGCUUCAAGUAUUUGCUUAAGAGCUUUGAGAUCAUUUCCUGAUUUUUUGAACUCAAGAUCUGCCAGCCUUUUUUUUCAUUUCAACAUAUACUGAAGAUGAUGAAUUUGGAGCUUUUAUAGGUUCUUCUUGUUGUUUGAAAUCUGAUCGUUGAGAACCCUUGCUUCUGUGUGGCUGCCUCCAUGGAGCUGCUUCUAUUGGAAACUUUAGAAUUGGAGAUGGGCUUCAUGACCAGAUCAGUGCCUCUCAUCUGCGGUGAGCUGUCUUUCUUUGUAUUUGCGAGGAGUAUCCCAGAAUAAGUAUCUUGCUUGUUUUCAUUGGUUGCUCUUGAUGAUCUGGAGAAGGGGAAGAGAGAGAGAGAGAGGGAGAUCGAGGAUGUUGAUGUCGGUUGGUUGGGUUGAGCUUGGUGUCGGCGCGGUGGAGCGAAUUGAGAUCAGGACCAAAGCGUCGUCGUCCAGGCUGAUCGAUUUGCGAUCACAUCGAAGCGCAAGCUUCGUGACCGAGUCGAAGUGGGCGAAGAGAGCAGGCAGGAAAGGAAGAAGCCCAGCCUGGGCGUUGAGAGAGGCGGUGCCGGCUCUGUCCGUCGACUCUCAGACACCGGUGGCAGACGAGCGAGCUCCGUUUCCGGUCGCCGGCGCAGAGGAAAUGGAAAAUACUCGCCAGACACUCGUCGGGAAGAUCAGACGUGUAGUCAGGGCCCUGAGUGACUUCCCCGUACAACUCGGAGUCUUCGUCGGUCGAGGAUGAAGCAAUCGCCACCGUUUUGAAGCUGAACCGUCGGCUCGUUGAAAUUUCUCUGGAGCUGUGCUCCGCCGGAGCCUCAGGAAGCCAAGAGGACUGUCCCAUAGUGCUGCUGCAAGUGAAUUGAACGCGCCGCCAGAAGAGAGACAGAGGGAGAGAGAGGUGGUGGUUGGUAUUUUCAACGUUAUCUUAAAAUGCGUGUGUGGGAUCUGUGAGCGACGGCGGAUCUUAGACUGAUCAUCGAGAGCGCGGUAAAUUUACCGGAGGAGGAGACGGCGCUUGAGUCGGUGACUGGAAUGGAGAAGGGUCUGGUUGGAGGAGAAAACCCGAAGUGGGUUUUGAGAGCUGGGCUUAUUGGGAUUUAGAAAGAUGGGCCGCCCUCUUUUUUUUUUUUUUUUUUUCACAAAGAAAAUGUUUGUAUUUGUAAUAAAAAUAUACUCUCAAUAGUCAAAUAUUCAAUAAAAUCUUAUUUAUUUAUUUAUUUAUUUUGAUGUGACUGAACUCGAAAUUGAAUGCUCGAGCUGCCUACGUACCCUUCCAACGAAAAGAUCAAGUCAAAACGUAGUUCAAAUACAUACAUAUUUUUUUUUGGUAUUUUCUCUUUUUUUUUUCUUUUUUUUUUUUGUGCCAUUUGCAGUUUCAGCUCAUGCAAGCAAGGAGCGUUGGUGUUGCCUUUUAUGCUCGUGCAGACCAGGAGCGUUGUGCCAUGCAGUUUAGGCUCGUGCAGGCGAGGAGCUUUGGUUCGUGCAGUUUAGGCUCGUGCGAACAAGGAGCAUUGGUGAAUUUGUCAAGCAAUUUUGGAGAGGCGUUCCUCACAAUCUUCAUAGCAAGGAGCCUUGACCGAGUGAUUGAAGAAGUCUUCGGGCAAGAAAUCACGCAUCGUGAUGGGGACGGACGAUCUAUAUGUCGAAAUUUCAUCAUCUUCAACACGUUCAUGUUGCUUUGAAGGUUGACAAGAGCUGCUUUGCCCCCUUUCCGAUUGGCGGACUUGUGGAGGAGACGUAUGCUUCUUGUGCAAUUUCUUAGGAGUGACUUGAGUCCAUCAUUCAACUUUGCUUGUCUUGGAGGAUGCCCUCAGCGGUUGAGGUGAAAACUUUGAGUCGGAAGAGCCAGAAGUGAAGGUGGUAUAGUUUGACUUCACCACAUCGUCAAGAUCUAGCUCGAUGAUUCCUUUCUGAGCCAGCUUCAUGAUGAGAUCUUUCAGCACGAAACAUUUUUCUGUCGGAUGACUGAUGAAGCGGUGGAAUUUACAGUACCUUGGACUGUCAGUGCGAUUCAUCUCUUCUGGCCGUUUGCACUCAGGCAAACCAAUCACCUUCUUUUCCAGCAAGUCUUCUAACAUGGCAACCACAUCAGAGUCGGGGAAUGGAUAAGUCCUCUCCUCAAGCUCCUUCAAAGUGCGUCUACGCAUCUCUUGAUCACGAAAAGCUUCAGUUUGAAUCGCCUUGCCUCGUGUGGAGAUUUUGAUGGGAGCUGUGACCGUCAUCGCUUCCUUGGUGGGUUUCCAUGCAGCCUUUUCCACCUUUGUCCAAAGAACUUUGUCGUUCUUGUAAUCGGCGAUCGGUUCUUUCUUCCCAUGAUGGGCGAUGCUCAACUCCAUGUCGUGGGGGCGAGUGGCCAAUUCCUCGAAGGUCCGUGGUUUAAUGCCUUGAAGGAUGUAUUGCAAACCCCAUUGCAUGCCUUGGAUGCACAUCUCGAUUGAAGAGGUUUCUGAGAGCCUGUCUUUAUAGUCGAGGCUUAGAGUGCGCCAUCUGUUGAUGUAGUCAAUGACUGGCUCGUCCUUCCACUGUUUUAUGCUCGUUAGCUCUAGCAUGCUCACAGUGCGGUGGGUGCUAUAGAAGCGGUUGAGGAAUUCCCGCUCUAAUUGAUCCCAGCUGUUGAUGGACUUAGGCUCUAGGUCCGUGUACCACUCAAAGGCGUUUCCUUUCAGCGAGCGCACAAACUGCUUGGCAAGGUAGUCCCCUUCGGUCCCUGCGUUGUUGCAAGUUUCAACAAAAUGGGCAACGUGCUGUUUCGGGUUUCCUUUUCCAUCAAACUGCAUGAACUUUGGUGGUUGAUAACCCUUUGGCAUCUUCAGGGCAUCAAUCUUCUUGGAGUAGGGCUUCGAGUAGAACAAUGAGGUAUGUGAGCUCCCUUCGUACUGUGCCUUGAUGGUGUUGGUGAUCAUUUCUUACAGUUGCUGGAUAGAAAGAGGUCCCAUAAGUGCCGCUGCUUGGUCUGGCUCCGGCUUCGCAUCGUUUUUCUCCACCUGAGGCUCAUCUUCUUCGUCAUCUCUUCUCUUUAGUGGAUCAUUCUCUAGGUCGGGUUUAUCGAUGUCCUGUGGCUCCAGUCGGCUAACGAGUGCAGCAAUUUGCAAGUCUUUUUCUUCCACAAUCUGUGUUAGCCUUGCAAUCGCUUCAUUCAUUUGAGCCAGUUGUUCUUCAACGGAGGUAACACCAAUAGUCAUAACUUGUGCGACCAAUAGACGUGACUUUCCUUUAGACAUUCAGGAUGCUAAUGAAGAACGUCGUUGGCUGCUUUGGGAUGUCAUCUUGUGUGCCUCAACAUCAUGCUUCGGUGCCCCCAGCGAGGUCAGGUUGAUGACAGACUCACACCUUGGAUGCUCCCCUUGCUCUUUUAGCGGCACCAAUUUUGAAGUGGCAUGUUGAGGAACAGUUGUGGCGCCAAUGAAUUGUCCGUUUGGGGCAGAAGUGCUUAGGAUCCUUCCCUCAGUGGUUGCAAGAACGGCUUGUCCCUUGCUUGAUGCCAUUGACUUUGAGGUGUGCUUGGAUUCCUUGAACGGAAAAAGAGAUGAGAGGUAGAGAUUGUCCCACUGGGCGUGCCAAUUUGUGAACACGGAAAAUUCCUGAAACGAAAGAGACAACAACGACGUGCACAAAUAAAAUAUUUGUAUUUUGAUGAUUUUGGGUUACAAUCUCUCUCUAUUUUGAUCAUCUGAUUCGAUCUCCGUAAGGUGUUGAUUGGUGGAUGUUUUGUUGAUCCAAGGGCCGUUGAUGCUUGAUCUUGGAUGAACUGUUGGAAGUUUCUUCAAAGGGCCGUGGGCUUGAUCUUUAAGGUGGAUUUGAGCGGAUCUUCAAGGAGCCGUUGGGACUUGAUCUUGAAGAACAGUGAUGAACGGAUCUUCAAGGGGUUUUGGGCUUGAUCUUGAAGAACAGUGAUGAACGGAUCUUCAAGGGCCGUUGGGGCUUGAUCUUGAAUUGGUGGAAGUUCUUCAAGGGCCGUUGGGGCUUGAUCUUGAAUUGGUGGAUGAUUGUUGAUCCAAAGGGCCGUUGGGGCUUGAUCUUAGGAUGAACGAUGAACAAUGAACGAAGAACGCUUUCUUGAUUCUUCGGGAACCUGGAUGCUUGAGAGCUUCGGAGUUUCAGAGCUUCAGGGCUUCAAGGUGUAAUCUCAAUUGGUCCCCCCCUUUGGAAUGAAAUAGCCUUCUAUUUAUAGAAAUUUCCAAGGCCUAAUUUUGAAUAUAAUAUUCCAGAUGAAAUAAGUCGUUUCUGCCAGGUGUUGACACGUGUCCUAUUUGAUGACUUUUCCAACUCAUUUCAAUUUUCGUUGAGUCACACGCUACGUGUAAAAUUUAUGUAAUACAUGAGCGUUGACACUUUGAUUUAUCGGUCAACAUUUAUUUACCAAAAUUUCGAUGUCUACAGUAUAUACCGAAAUAUAGUAUAUUAAAUUAAUGUACCUAAAAGUCAAUACUCAAAUGUGUGUACCAAAAUGUACGUACUGAAAUGCAUUAUAUUGAAUUAAUGUACCUAUAUGUUUGUAUCGAUGAAUAUACCGAAAUAUUCAAAUGCAUUAAUGUAUCUAAAUGAAGAACAUACAAAAUUGUUAUUAGAAUAUAUAUUAUAAAAAAAUUAGUUACCUAAAUGUAGACAUUAAAAUAUAUUACGAUGAAUGAAAUAAAAAUUAAAUUUAAAUGUAAUUAAUACAUCAAAAUAUAAAUAUAAAUAUAAAUAAAACAUCAAAAUAUAACUAAUAAAUGAGAUUAUUAAAUGUACUAGGGAUUAGAGCAUCUUCAAAGGAGAUGUCAAAAUUGCCACGUAGACAUACAACAGUAAAAAAUGGUAGCAAAGUCUCUCUAACCGAGCCUUCAAUUUCUUACGUGGAGCUGAAUCAUUUGAAGGCAAAGUAUUUUGCUGUCAAAUUUGACAGCAGAUGUCAAAUUCAUUAAAUGAUUUUUUUAAUAGAUUAAUAUAAUAUAUAAUAAAUGUUGUUAUGUUUUGGAAAUAUUUGAUUGGUUGCCUUAAUCAUUGGACUCCACAAAAAGAUAAAACAUUUAAUAAAUGUCAUUAUUAUUUAACAUAUCGGGUGAAGCAAAAUAUUGUACAAAAUAUCAAAUUGCCACACAAGCUAUCAAUUAUCAUUUGAUGUUUAAAAUUUGACAUCUCAUUUAGAGAUGCUCUUACAAAGCAGAUCACAUCCAAAAACAUUGAAAGAAGGAAAUCAUUUAAGUAAAUAAGCAAAUGUGCAUCCACAACCCAAUUAAAAAAAAAUGACGGAAACCACUUGCAUAGAAAGGAAUCCUAUGAGAAGAGAAUUAAACUUCUCCCUUGGCUUAAUGUCAGAUUCCGAUGAAUUAAUCGAAAUUUGUUGUUUCUCCAGCGGAUUUUGCUUCUUUUCUUGCCCUUGUUCUGCCCUGCAUGGUCAUUUUGAGGGAAAAUCGAGGUGGUAAAUGUGUUAGGGUUAUUGAUGCUUAGAUUUUGAUAUAAGAUUUGUCGAAAACGAUAACCAAAUGAAAAAGAUGUGAAGAUUUGAAGUUAGGGGAGCCAAAUGGAGAAGAAAAAAAUAAUCAAGAAUAGCAGCAGAGCUGCUAGUUUUACACGCAGUUCAAAUUUACCAAAAUCCCCUUUUAUUUAGAAAAUUCGUAACUUUCUCGUUCGAAUUUCAAACUCCAAUAUGUUUGCGUUUAUGCGUUCAUAGUAACACAUACUAUCUAGUGAAUAUAACAGAAAAUUAACCCUUAAUUUCAAAAAUGUUAUUUUUUGUAAAAACUUUCAAAUAUAUCCAAAAUUUCACUUAAAUAGACACACAUACCCUUAAAUUUAUCAAUCAAAUAAAUUAAAGGCUUUUUAGCCAUCAUCGCCUCAAGCACCGGUCCAACGUCACCUUGACUCCUACACUCCACCACCAUAACCUUAUCCCCUUCGACCUCCUCAUCAAUGACAAUGAGCAUUGCCGCAAUUAUCGCCAAUCAUGCCUUCAACGCCUUUUUUCUUCCCAGGACUCGAGUCUUAGCCCCCGUCGCUAAUUCAUUGACACACAAACUCUUUCCGUAUCUAUGACAAUCUCGUCUUUAAUUUUACGUUUUUAGUCAUUUUGAAUGUGUGAAUUGACGAAAAUGCCCUUAGAGGCGAGGGUGUUGACUUUUGUUGACCAGCAUAUUAUAAGAUGUAUGAAACAUUCUUUUAGCAUAUGAUCGUUGUCACAUCCCGCCCUGGGCCCCUACCACAUCCUGGGCUUGACUCCGCCGUACCACAACAUUGUUCGCUUUAGGCCCCGACCAUGCCCUCACGAUUUUGUUUCUGGGAACUCACACGAGAACUUCCUAAUAGGUCGCCCAUCCUGGGAUUGCUCUCGCGCGAACUCACUUAACUUUGGAGUCCCAAAAGGCCUCGUGCUAGGUAGAGAUGGGAAUAUACAUAUAAGGCUUACAAGAUCCACUCCCUGGGCGAUGUGGGAUGUUACAAUCCACUCCCCUUAGAGGCCCGACGUCCUCGUCGGCACACUUCCGGCCAGGGAUUGGCUCUGAUAUCGAAUUGUCACAUCCCGGGCUCGAAUCCGCCGUAGCACAAUAUUGUCCACUUUAGGCCCCGACCAUGCCCUCACGGUUUUGGUUCUGGGAACUCACACGAGAACUUCCUAGUAGGUCACCCAUCAUGGGAUUGCUCUCGCGUGAACUGGCUUAACUUCAGAGUUUCGAUGGAACCCGAAGCCAGUGAGCUCCCAAAAAGCCUCGUAUUAGGUAAAGAUGGGAAUAUACAUAUAAGGCUUAUAGGAUCCACUCCUCUGGGCGAUAUAGGAUGUUACAAUCAUAGUGCUCGUCACUAUGAACGCGAAGGCACAAGCAGAAUCGAAAUUUGAGUUACGAUGAAGAUUUUACAGAACUACUAAUAUGAAAAUACUUUUAAAAAAUUAUUAUUUUAUAUUUUAUAUCUUUAUUCAAAAUUUUAUAUUAUUAUAUCUUUAUUUUAAUUAUUUUUUAAAAGAUAUUUUAUUAAUUUAUUUUGUGGCCGUGGGGCCCACACCUCAACUUAUCCUCUCCCUCUUUUCCACAUGGGUCUCUCUCCCCCACAAUUAUGGGCUCUCUCUCUCCCUCGAAUCUCUCACACUCUAACUUUCUCAAAGUCUCUCAGUCGUAUCUCUCUUUCUCUGCAAAUUGAUCACCCAUCACCAUUGCACAUCGCCACUUCAGCGAGAUGGUCACCACGUAUCACCCCAACCACCGUGUCUCUUCCUCUCUCUCUUGUCACUUUCCUUUACCUCAACCUCUGUCUCCCUCACCUUCUCUGCGCUCGUGGUGUUAAGACACCGAGACCAUCACCAUUCCCAACGAAUCCCCGCCGUUCAUGACCUACGUAAGCUUUGGGGUUCCUUCUUUCUUUUCCUUUUUGAUGUUUAGGUCAAUUUCUAUGUCGGCAUGCUCGUUUUGGUGAGUUCGGAAUGCAGAAGCAACGAGGACAAAUUUUCCCCAGAUUUCGGUGAAAAUCCGACAGCUUUAGAGCUUUUUUCUGGCCAACUUCGACCACAACCAAGGAACCCAAUGGUAUAUUUCGAUUCCUUAUUCCUUGAGCUUCAAUUUGAUAUAUUGGGUUGCUAGUUUUAGUUGAGAUUUGAAGCUAAACAGAACCGGAGAAGUUCCCAACCAAAAUUCCUGUGUUCUUAUUCUUUGGGUUCGGCGGGUGCAACUCGUGUGCCCACCGGGUCGACCGAACCCAAUUUAAAAAAAAGGGCCUAAGCCCAAACCCGGCCCCAAUUAGACAACUGUUCCAGCUCGGCCGAGUUCUAAAAUGAGCUCAGAAUAUUCUAAGGAUAUUCUUUGUGUUGACUUUUGGGGAAAUUUAUCAAAAACCUCAUAGGCUAAUUUCAACGCCCUGAGUCCAUUUAGUGAAAUUCUAAAGUUGUAACGUAGUUGACCACUGUGGCGUCUUGGUUGACUUUUUAGAGUUGACCAUUAAGUUUUUCGUUGACUUUUUUCUAAAAUUUGUCAAGGACUCUCCUUAGCGUAUUUCGACGUCUUAAUUCCAAAUAAGCACUCCGUUUUCCAAAUUUAAUUGUCUAAGUGGAUUUAAGUAAUGGGUCCCAAUAUUAUGUUUAGGUGCAAUUACUAUCGAAGCCUCCAACUUCCUAACUUGAACGGAUGUGACAUCGCAAGUAACUAUGAGUGAGUCUUUUCUUUUAUAUAAUAUAUAUAUAUAUAUAUACUUGUUAGUAUCCAUUUAUACGUUUCAUAAAGAGUUUCUACAAUACGCCUAGAGUGACGUUUAUAAGUUUUAGCGCAUUGAUAGAAAUUAUGAAAUUAGGCUACAUCCUACAGGAUGUACGGGUAUGCGUAUUAUUAUUGAUGCCUAAAUUAUAUUUAUGGUCAUGAAUAGUAUUACGAUGACAUGAAUUAUCGAUUUACUGCUGUAUGAUUUUAUUUACGUUAUCUGCUCAUUGUUACUGCACUUGUGUUAGUACUCGCCCGGGCCAGAACCAGUCUUUCACGUGUAUGUGCACAUCGCACCGUAUGCUCACCUUGGAUCUAUCGUAGGUGCCAGUCCUGUCCUAGAUUGCUAUAAUCAAUUAGGACUCGUAUGUGCUACGCAUAGCGCCAAUCUUCACGUCCUGUUCAUGUCAAAAUACCUUUGCAUGAACUCGUGUGUUAGCAUAUGUCGAUGAGCACUCAAUAUGAUAUGUUUAUUUAUGCAAAAAUAUGUGAUUACGGACAUCAUGUGUUUACUUACAAAAUAUUGUGCCGUAUUGAAUUCUUGAGAUAUUGCAGCCUACGAUAAGUAUUUUCUUACUAUACGUAGUAUGUAUAUUUUGGAAACUAUACUUGUUUUACGAUGAGGGGUUAUUAUGUUUUCGAAAGGUUUUUACAAAGCUUUAUUUUUAGGACCACUCACCCUUGUUUUUCGCCCCUCUAGGUUUUAAUAGCUGAGCUUUUGUGUCGACGAGGAUUCUUGGCAAAUCUUGGUAUAGGUGGUUACCUUCGAUGGUAUAAUUCUCAUCCUACAUUACUGUACUUUACUUAUGCUCUGACAUCACGUGUGAAAUGAGUUCAUUUCCGCUCACAUGUGCACUCUUAUAUUUAGGCAAUUUUAGGUUUAAAUUUAUUAACAUAUUUCACCUCACUAUACUUUAUGGCUUCAUCACCCUUCUGGUGUCGGUUAGCACAACUCUAUUCGGAGUCCAGGUGGACAUUUUGGGUUGGGGUGUGUCAGUAUCACAUCAAUUCUCUAUAAUCAUCAAACCCAAAUGGAAAAGGAAGAUUUUAAGAGAGAACCACUCAGGGUGCGGAAAUUUGGAUUGGAAGGUGAAGGGUUUGGAUUGUGAGAGAAUAAAGGUAUAGGUAGGUUAGGGUUUAGGGUUUUUGGUUUGGGCAUGUCUAUUGGAUUUACCCACCAAAUGAAGAAGAUGACUUCUUCUUUUAAUUUUUUUUCGUACUAAUAUCAUUUUUAGUUUUAAAUAUAAAUAUAGUUUUUAAAGUUAAUUCACAUGUUGUUAUAUGAUUGUAUUUGUGAGACCCAAGUGGCGCCACAUCAUUGCACUAACAAAGCAAUUUGACAGAUUUUUCACAGAAAGACUCGGGGGAAAGACUAAAAUGAUUCACAACAGACAAAUUCAAGGACACUACUUUUGAUUUUCAUUGUUAAGGACCAAACUAAUGAGUCAUGUCAAUGUCACAAACCAUUUUGGUUAAAAAGUCUAUAAUUUAUUUGAUUGUUAAAUUUGAGGGUAUUUGCGCCUAUUUAAGUGAAAUUUUCAAUAUAUUUGAAAGUUUUCAUAAAAAGUGACAUUUUUUAAAUUAAAGGUUAAUUUUUUGUUAUAUUGCAUAAAUACUCGAUUAGGAUUGUGCCGUGGGCUGGGAGGUCGACGCCGCGGCGGCGGAAGGAACCCAGACCUAGAUUAUAGGUAAAACCGUAAAAGGUAUUAGACAUAUUUAUAGGCUGGUAUUUGUUCAAUUAAUCUAUGGGCUAGUAUUUGUUUAGUAAAUCUAUGGGCUGGUAUCUGUUUAAAUAAUAUAUGGGCUGGUGUUUGUUUAAUUAAAACAUGGGCUGGUGUUUCAAUAUGACUUGGAUUUAAGGUAAAAUUAUUAGAAAAUUUUCUAUCAAAAUAUGGGAAGUGUUAUUGGCACUCUAAAAUCUCAUUCUACACUUCUCAUAAAUAUAUUUUUUCUUCCUAAUAUAGAAAAUUUGAAGUAUAAAAUGAAAUUUUUGGAGUGUUAAUAACAAUUUCCUAAAAUAUUUGAUGGUCAUUACUUUUACCUAAUGUGAAGACGCAGAAGAUAAACAUUGAAUAAAAAAAGGGGAAGAUAAGAUUCUUAAAAAAAAAAGUUGGAUAAAUUAUCAUCCAAGCUUAUGAUAUUUUUAGUCAUUUCCAUAUGGGCUUGUUUGACGGGGUGAAAUAGAUUCGUACUUAGAGAUAAGAUUAGAAUAGCAGGAAUUUGAAAGAUAAAAAUUUAUAACUCAUGUAUAAAGAUAGGUUAGAUAACGCACUGAAUUCAUAACUCAUUAUAUCGUGUCCAUCUUACAUUUUGACACAGCAAACAAUGAACUGUGCUAAUUUUCUUUUUACUUAUUUGUUAUUAAAUUUUAUAGAACCCACAUGUGUGUCACAUUAACAUAUUAACAAAAGUUUUGACGAAAAUAUUACAGUAUAAUUGAUUUGCAGCACUCAAUUCAAAAGCAACAUUGAUCGAAUUUUACUUUCAAAACCACCUUAAUUAGUGCGUCAAUUUCUGUACUAUUUGUGUUAAACGACACUUUUUAAAGAAAUCUACUACUUUGAACGUGUGGUAUGUUGAUUUGAACGAACGGUAAGACCAAAACAUGUAGCCAGAAAAUUCGGUGUCUCGCCUUCCCAACUCAUUCGACCUAUAUAUGUGUGCGGAAACAAACAGAGUCGAAAACAAACAACGCACGCAACAUUCUCAGUUUCUCAUCAAACUACAUUAUUUUACAUUCUCUCUGUAAACCGUUGGAAUUUCGGUAGUUCUUUUCAUUACCCAAGAACAGAUUAGGAAAUUGAAUUAAGUUUUGAGUGUUUCCGUAAUUAUGUCUCUGGCUUCAGUCGGAAUGGGUGCUCUGGGAACGUCAUUUCAAAUGCUGUUUGAUGCUGUAAAAUCAGUGCAGGAGGAGAAUACAAUGUUCCAACACCUCCUCGGAGACAUCAAAUCCACACUGAACUCUCUACAACCACUCAUCAAAGACAUCGAAAAGUAUAACUCCAAGGAGGGACUGGAAAAUUAUGCAAUACAGAUGGAGGAAGGAGCAAAGCUUGUUCAGAAGUGCAGCAAAGUAGGCGUGUGGAGAAAACACACAUACACCAAGAAGCUUAGUCAACUGGACAAAUCUCUCCGAAGAGUGUUUGAUGUGCUUAAACGGCAGGGUAUGAGGGAUGCGAGGGAGACGUUAGUUUCUUUGAGGAGUAUCCAGACGGUGCUCUCUCGAAUAGAAGAGAGUUUGAAGAUGAAAAAUAAUCAGCCUGAAAUGGUUAAAUGUUCGUCUGCGGUGCCUGAAGCGCCAUCAGUUACAGUCGGGUUAGAUUUACCGUUGAAGGAGUUGAAGAUGAAGCUCCUUAAGGAUGAACAGGUGUCUAUGCUUGUGCUGACUGCUGCUGGAGGAUGCGGGAAAACCACCUUGGCUAAAAUGUUUUGUCAAGAUCAAGAAGUCAAAGGUAUGCUAAUUAAAAAGUAAUACACCGUGUAGAGGAUUAUGCAAGUAGAACUACGCGCUAGGGCCUAUAAAAUGUCCGCUAUACUCCCUCCAAACAUACACAGUAACCAAAAUUUGUUAAAAGAAAAACAACGAAGGGGACAUGAAACUAAAGCGCACGAAAGGAAUAUAAGAAAGAUUAGAAAGACCUAAAUGGGCAUGCCCAACAUAUAACAAGUGGUAGUGAUAUGAACUUGACAUGAUUUUCUUUGUACUAAAUGUAAGUUAAGCUGAUGCCUUCCUCUUAGAGUUAACAAGUCUUGCACUGAGCUACCGCUUGAUUACUUACUUGAUCUCAGAAUUGCAGACAUAUCUUGUCAACCUUAUAUUAACACCUUUCCUACAUUCUGUUUGGUUAGAUACAUUCAAGAACAACAUCUUCUUUGUCAAUGUCUCGAAAAAGCCCAACUUGGACCUUAUUGUACAUGAACUAUAUCAACGGAAGGGGUUCGAGCUGCCUGCUUUCGAAAACGAAGUCAUGGCAGCUAACUGGUUGCAACAAUUUCUGAAGGAAUCAAGACAAAAUCCUCUACUGUUUGUCCUGGAUGAUGUUUGGUCAGGAUCAGAGUCCCUUCUUGAGAAGUUUGAUCAAUUCAAGUUUUCAAAUUGCAAGAUUUUGGUCACUUCAAGAUUUGCAUUUCCAAGAUUCGGUUCUCCUUAUCAUUUGGCACCAUUGAAUGAUGAAGAUGCAAUGGCUCUUUUUCAGUAUUCUGCAUCCUCGGAGGAUAAGAGCUCUUAUACUUAUGAAGAUCCUUCGAGAAAGGUGAUUUCUUAGUCCACAACACACACACACACACACAUAUAUAUAUAUGCUUAUUUAUGCCUCAGAAGAGGGUAAAGAAAUAACGUUUGAGCAUCCACACACGUUAAUGAACUGUGAAGAAUGAAGUAAGAAGAAUGAAAGAGUAGACAGUUUACAAUUUUAUCAUCUUUAUGAAUCCAUUUAGAUGAUUUUCAAGAAUUUAAUCAAAUAAUAGUAAUUGAAUUCUUUUUGGAUAAUUAAAUUGCAGAUUAUCAAGCGCUGUAAGGGAUGCCCACUUGCCAUUGCAUUGGUCGGGAGAUCACUUCGCGGCCAGCCUAUAGAAAUCUGGCACAAAAGAGUAGUGGAAUGGUGCAAAGGUUCAUCUAUUCUUGAUUCUGACAAGGAUUUACUUGCUUGCCUCCAAAGCAGCUUAGAUGCCUUGGAUAAAGAGAAGGCUAUCAUCAAGGAAUGUUUCCUCGAUCUAGGUUCUUUUCCGGAGGACCAAAGAAUUGCUGCUGCCACCCUCAUUGAUAUGUGGGCGGAGUUAUAUGGUCUAGAUGAAGAAAUUCUGACCAUUGCCAACCUUCACGAGCUCACCACCCGAAGUUUAGCUAAUCUUGUUGUCACAAGGUAUGCAGGCUGCUCAUAAUUUUUUCUAUUUCAUUAUGUAUGCCGAACAAAUCAUUAAAUAAAUUAGUAUUGAUCAUCCAGACAUGAGGGGGAGACAGAUGGCUAUUACGCUGAACACUUUGUCACCCUGCACGGCAUGCUUAGAGAGUUGGCGAUCCAUCAGGCGAGUCAAGACCCAAUAGAACAUAGGAAACGACUAUUUUUAAAUAUCUGUGGGAACAAACUUCCUAAGUGGUUGACAGAACAAAAGUAUCAAGCGAUCAAGGCUGGGCUAUUAUCUAUCUCAACAGGUUCAAUCAAUCUCUCUUUAGUAAAUACUUAUACGCUCGGGACACACGUGUGCACACACACCCAUGCUCUUUCUUACUAAGACUUCAAUCGGACUUCGACACAUUUAAGUUCAACCCACGCUAACAUCUUAAAGCUUAUUGUUUGCAGAUGGAGCCUUCUCAGCAAAAUGGCCAAACAUGCAAGUACCCGAAGCAGAGGUUCUAGUUCUGAAUUUUCAAACAAAGAACUAUGCCUUACCUGAGUUUGUGGAGAAAAUGGAUAAACUAAAGGUUCUAAUACUAAAUAAUUACGGUAUGUUACCUGCUGAACUAGAUAAUUUUGAACUACUUGGUUCGCUAUCAAAUCUUAAGAGAAUUAGAUUAGAACGUAUUUCAAUUCCUCCCAUAAGCAAGGUCCUUAAACAGUUGAAAAGCUUGCAAAAGAUCUCUCUGUUCAUGUGUGAUAUCGGCCAAGGUUUCGUCAAAAAUUUAGAUGCACUGCCAAAUCUAGUGGAAUUGAACAUUGAUUAUUGCCAUGAUCUGGUGCAACUUCCUCCCAACCUUUGUGACCUUGUUCACCUUAAGAAGCUUAGCAUCACCAACUGUCAUAAGCUUUCUGCCUUGCCUGCAGACAUCGGAAAGCUAGUCAAUCUUGAAGUGUUGAGGCUUAGGUCAUGUGCAGAUUUGUUAGAGUUGCCAGGCUCGAUUAGGAACCUUAAAGUUUUAAAAUUUCUCGACAUAUCUGAUUGCUUUAGCGUAAAGGAGUUGCCAGAGGACAUUGGUGCAAUGUGCAGCAUGGAAAAGAUCAACGUGAGCCAGUGUUCUAGACUGAAAGGGCUGCCUGCUUCUGUUAUGGAUCUUGAGCAGUUGAACGAAGUGAUAUGCGACGAGGAGACGAAAACUUUAUGGGAACCCUUCUUGCCAAUUCUCACAAACAUGCGCAUUAAGGUGAUCAAAGAAGAUAUCAACCUAAAUUGGCUCAACAAGCUUCCACCCUAAGGCUAUGGCCCUUCCAUCAAUGAGUGUUGGUGCAAUGUAUGCAGUAUGAUUGUGUAUAAUGUUAUUUUUCCUUUGUAAUUUACUUCUAUUUUAUGUUUUAUGUGUUUUUAAAUAACCUGGCAGCACUGUAAAUUAUUGUAAGGCCAAAUUGAAUAAAUGAUCCCUAUGGUUAUAAGGUAUUUGGAAGAUAACCUCUGUGCUUAAAAAUCUUAGAUUUAAACCCCUAUGGUGUACUCCAUGAAAAACUUUAGUCCAAAAGUGAUUUUUCCGUUAACUAUAUGUUAAUAUAUGGGUAAAAUUGUACUUUGACAUGUGCACUCUUCCUCGUCUCUCUGCUCUCUCUUCAACACAUCCCCCACCAGUACCUCUUGAAGCAGGUUACUGAAACGCUGCUCCUUCACGUCAACCGGCAAUAAAUCAUCAAUCUCUUUCUCAAUAUCAAAUACUGUCUCAUCAACUGGUGCAUCCAUAUAACUUCCCAUACUUGAAGCUGCCUGGAUGGUUGAUUCUUUUAAUUCAUUUAGUCCCUACAAUACAAAUGUGUUUCAAUUAAAGCACGAUGAUCACCUGGUAAUUAUUAUUGUUGAUGCACAAAACUGGAGGGGUCUUGGAAUAACGUAAAUCCGACCGUGAAUCUGCAAGAAAGUAAAGAACAUAAGAUGUAUCGUGGUUCACCCCAAUUUUUGGGCUACAUCCGCACUGAUGUUGAUAUUGUUUCACUCUGAAUGAUGAAUAUACAAGAAGGCUAGAGCCAGUGUGCUGUCUAGCCUAUUUUCUCUCUUCCCUUGGCCUGAAACUUGACCUCCCUCAAUGAAGAGAGUGAGGAGUCCUUUUAUAGAAUAAGGGCUCCUCACUUAUUACAUAUUUGCCCCUUCAUUUAUUACAUAAUUACAUUUGAGUCCCCCGAGUAUUUAUACAAGAUCUAAAUACAGAGGCCCUAAGUAUGGUACAAACAAUAGUCUCCCAAGUCUUCAGUCAAGAGAGUCUUUUGGCUGGAGACUUGAAAUUCAGUCCAUGUGUGGGCCGAAGUAACUAGAUGUCGUCUAGAACUGAAUACUCGAUAUGAGGCGGUGCUCAAUAUGAAAUGAUACUCAACUAGAAGUAGCACAUGUUGCGAGGCUGCUCGACUUGUGGCUUAUAUUGCCUUGGUUGGCUCAGCUUGUGGCGUUGAAUGUGAAGGAGUCCCUUUUAUAUAAUAAGGGCUCGCUCCUCAAUACAUAAGUGAUGGGUUAGGAGUGAUGCUCGUGGCGAGGCGGUUGCUUAGCAGGCGGCGAUGUUCUCUAAUGAUGGUGAAGGAGUCCCUUUUAUAGAAUAAGGGCUCGCUCCUCAAUACAUAAAUGAUGGGGUAGAGUUGAUGCUCGCGACGAGGCGAUUGCUCAGCAGGCGGCGAUGCUCUCUAAUGAUGGUGAGGGAGUCCCUUUUAUAGAAUAAGGGCUCGCUCCUUAAUACAUAAAUGAUGGGUUAGAGUUGAUGCUCGCGGCGAGGCGAUUGCUCAGCAGGUGACGAUGCUCUCUAAUGAUGGUGAGGGGGUCCCUUUUAUAGAAUAAGGGUUCGCUCCUCAAUACAUAAGUGAUGGGCCAAGAGUGAUGCUUACGGCGAAGCGGUUGCUCAGUUGGCGGCGAUACUCUCUAAUGAAGGUGAGGGAGUCCUUUUUAUAGAAUAAGGUUUCGUUCCUCAAUAUAUAAAUAAUGGGCUAAGUCCCCCAAGUGUUUUUCAUGAGGCCCAGUUGCGGAAGCCCAAUAUAUGGUACAUAGUGUAGUCUCCCAAGUCUUCAGUCAAUAGAGUCUGUUGGUUGGAGACUUCAAAUUCAAUCCAUGUAUGGGUCGAAGUGGCGGUUGUUCGGAGGCGGUCUUUGUAUACCAUGCACUGAAGCUUUGUAGGUGAAGCUUUGAAGCUAGAGCUUUUGUAAAUGAAGCUUUGAAGUCAGAGCUUUGUAAAUGAAGCUUUUGAAACUGAAGCUCUUGUAAAUGAAGCUUUCGAAGCUAGAGUUCUUGUAAAUGAAGCUUUCGAAGCUGGAGCUCUCGAAGCUGGAGCUCUGUAAAUGAAGCUUUCGAAACUGAUUGACAUAAGUGAUGCUCAUGAAUGUUUAUGUUGAUUGACAUGAGUGAUGCUCAUGGAUGUUGACAUGAGUGAUGCUCAUGAAUGUUGACAUGAGUGAUGUUCAUGAAUGUUUAUGUAUGAUUGACAUGAGUGAUGCUCAUGAAUGUUUAUGCAUGAUUGACAUGAGUGAUGCUCAUGUAUAAUUUUGGAGUACUGGACGUACUUUUGAUCACCUGAUUGGUGAUAAUAGUGGCAGGCUGUUGAAUAAUUUUGGAGUACUGAACGUACUUUUGAUCACCUGGUUGGUGAUAAUAGAGGGUGAACCUAAAGUGGAGGGAUAGAGGUUGGAGUUUGAAGCCAUAGGGCCUGGCUCUUUUGGGCAUAUGGGCCUUCGCCCUUCACAUAACAUUCCAGCCUACUAUCAUUUUGCCCUUUUUUUUUUGGCAUGCUGCCUUCUUUCUUUAUUUAUGAUUACCCUCUGGUGGGGUUAUACAGAUGUCUCCAAAAGAUAAGAAAAAGUAAAUCACAUCAUUAAAAAAAAACUGUUGUGCUGGGACUUGGCAACAACGAGAUUUCUCCCUUCACAUCAACCUCAGUGGUCUAGCUAUUGGAGGAAACCUUCACGUGGAGGCAGGUUUGGUCCGCAGGCAUGAUCUCUCAUACUUUGAUAGUACAAUCCCGUGGCUUUUUCAGAAAAUGGGGGGAACAUGCACUCCCCUUCAUGAUGAAAGUUUCAUCUUUUUCAACAUGUUGAUGGGCAUCUUCUGGUCCAACAUGAAGUGGAGACGGGGGACCUUGGUGGGCAUCUUCUUAUCUUAAUCAUGUUAUCCUGUGGGAUAGUGGAAUAGUGGAACAUAAUAAAUAAAAGAGGUAUUUAUCAAUUUCCCCCCUGAACUUGUGAUUAUUGGCCAAUUUCCCCCCUCAACUCUCAUAAUUAGACAAUUUCCCCCCUUAACUUUAAUUUGGCCAAUUUCCCCCCUCAACUCUCAUAAUUAGUCAAUUUGCACCCUACUGUUAAUUUUUUAAUUUGAUCAUAAUUAAACAAGUGUGUGUAAGAAACUAAAUAAGAUGUAUGUUAAUCAUUUUCCUAAGUCUUUAUCCUAUUACAAAUAGAUUAAAAUUUAGAAUUUUACAAUUUAUCAUAGAUAGUAUUAUUAGUCAUAAUAAAUCAGUAUGGAGUAAUUUUAUUUGAUUUUUUACUAUACAAAAUUGAUAACGAAACGGAUUGAUGUGUACAUUUUUGUAUGUGAAUACAAUUUUCUUUAUAAAAGUGAGAGCUAAGUUCAAGUAAAUUGCGGAGAAUCGAGCUUUAGUGCAAAAAUGGCUAAUCAAUUCAUAAUUUUCGACUCCUUAUUAAGAAUAACCCAUUUUAUUGAAAUAGGUCGGAUCCAUGAGUUUAGGAUUAUUAUUUCUUCUUCUACAUGCUUUAAACCCGAUUCAUAACUUUUUCUUAUAAUCAACCCAUAUCACAUACUAAUUGUAUUAUGUUUUUGUACAUUUUACCCUAUAUUAUGCAGGUGAGUUUAUGUUAAUUUUAGUACUUUGUUGGAAGUUAUUAGAAAGAUUGAAAGAAAACAAAAAGAAUAGAUGAAAAAUUAAAAAAAUUAACAGUAGGGUGCAAAUUGACUAAUUAUGAUAGUUGAGGGGGGAAAUUGGUCAAAUUAAAGUUGAGGGGGGGAAUUGACUAAUUAUGAGAGUUGAGGGGGGAAAUUGGCCAAAAUUAAAGUUGAGGGGGGGAAUCGGCCAAUGGUCGCAAGUUUAGGGGGGGAAUUGAUAAAUACCUCUAAAUAAAAUAAAGCAUUCGUUGGGGACCACCAUCAUAGGGACCCGAACUCUCGAAUUCCAGAUUGUCGCACGCACUUUUGCUUUAUUCGUCGGUGUUCGUACCAUUGGUCCCAGUUGCCCUCCAUUUUUUGUAGGGGAAACAUAACUUCCACCAUUGUUUUCCUCCUCUGUUCAAAAACAGAUGGCGCAAAAUGUCUGUCUUUCUUGACACUUUUUGAAGCUGCUGCACCAACAGCUGAAUGAGUAUUUGGCAUUACCCUAAUAAAUUGGCUAUGACCUGCCCAUUCCUGCAGAUCUUUCAAUUUGAUACCAGCAUCAAUUGAAACAAGCAACUUCUUCCUGGAAAGCAGCGGCCUCAACUGCAAAACUACAUCUUUAACAACUUGAGGUUUGACCAAGAAAAUGACAACGUCAUUCUCUUCCACCACGUCGUCGUUUUUGGAGAUGAGAUGGACUCAAGAGGACUCGAAGGCUUGGCGUCGACUGGCGUCAGGGUGGAAGAUAGCGAUGCGAUUGGGAGGGAGAACGCCCGAUCAGAUGAUUCAUCUGGCGAUGCUCUCGGUCAUUUUACCAGCUCCGACAAACCCUAGCUUUUAUGUUUCCGUCGGGAUGGGUACCGCCUCCAUGGCUGCAAUGCGACGUCGUAUCGUUGCUAAGUCUUCUGAUUCAGUUUGCUUAGAUUGGGGAUUUAGGGUUACGGAAGAGAGAGGAGAAGCGGGGGUUUAUCAUUCGAUAAGCCUGUGAGCGUCUUUGGGGGAGAGCUUAGGGGCGAAGGCAGGAUCCGUGUCCAGGACGAUGCCGUUCUCGUCCAGCUUUCGCUUCUUGGUUGAGUCCAUUGGCAGAAGAGCAAGUUUAAACCCUAACCCUUGGGAAGAGAAACAGAGAGUCUAGAGAGAGAGAGCGAGUUGGGAUUUUUUUUGUUUACUAGCAGAGAGAGACCAGGCUCUUCUUGUUUGUGGUCAUGUGGAAUGUAGAGGUAGAAUGGUCGGAGUUUGGGGUUUGGUUUUCUUGGGUUUUUUGCAGAUUCACGGUGGAUAUUGUGGUGAGGUUUCACGGUGGUGAGAUGAAAAAAUGAAAGAGAACCGACAUAGCUUUUUGUGUCGAUUCCCACAGACGGCACUAAAUGUUGAUGCACAAAACCGGAGGGGUCUUGGAACAACGUAAAUUCGACCGUGAAUCUGCAAGAAAGUAAAGAACACAAGAUGUAUCGUGGUUCACCCCAAUGUUUGGGCUACGUCCACACUGAUGUUGAUAUUGUUUCACUCUGAAGGGUGAAUAUACAAGAAGGCUAGAGGCAGUGUGCUCUCUAGCCUAUUUUCUUUCUUCCCUUGGCCUGAAACUUAACUUCCCUCAAUGAGGAGAGUGAGGAGUCAUUUUAUAGAAUAAGGGCUCCUCACUUAUUACAUAUUUACCCCUUCAUUUAUUACAUAAUUACAUUUGAGUCCCAUGAGUAUUUAUAUGAGAUCUAAACACGGAGGACCUAAAUAUGGUACAAACAGUAGUCCCCCACCAUCAUUAGAGAGAGACUCUUAGCCCAUGAAAAAUACUUGAAGGACUUAGCCUAUUACUUAUGUACUGUGGAGCAAAGCCUUAUUUUAUAAAAGGGACUCCCUCACCUUCAUUAGAGAGAGACUCUUAGCCCAUCACUUAUGUAUUGAGGAGCGAACCCUUAUUCUAUAAAAGGGACUACCUCACCUUCAUUAGAGAGCAUUGUCGCCAACUGAGCAACCGCCUCGCCGCCAGCUGAGCAACCGCCUCGCCGCCAGCAUCACUCCUAACCCAUCACUUAUGUAUUGAAGAGCGAGCCUUUAUUCUAUAAAAGGGACUCCCUCACCAUCAUUAGAGAGCAUCGCCACCUAGCAACUGCCUCGCCACCUAGCAACUGCCUCGCCACGAGCAUCAACUCUAGCCCAUCAUUUAUGUAUUGAGAAGCGAGCCCUUAUUCUAUAAAAAGGACUCCCUCACCUUCAUUAGAGAGCAUCGCCGCCAGCUGAGCAACCUCCUCGCCGCAAGCAUCACUCCUAACCCAUCACUUAUGUAUUGAGGAGCGAGCCCUUAUUCUAUAAAAAGGACUCCAUCACCAUCAUUAGAGAGUAUUGCCGCCUGCUGAGCAACCACCUCGCUGCGAGCAUAAACUCUAGCCCAUCAUUUAUGUAUUGAGGAGCGAGCCCUUAUUCUAUAAAAGGGACUCCCUCACCUUCAAAGCCACAAGCCGAGCCAACCAAGGCAACAUAAGCCACAAGCCGAGCAGCAUUGCAACAUGUGCUACUUCUACUUAAGCAUCAUUUCACAUUGAGCACCGCCUCAUAUCGAGUAUCAGUUCUAGACGACAUCUAGUUACUUCGGCCCACACAUGGACUGAAAUUCAAGUCUCCAGCCAAAAGACUCACUUGACUGAGGACUUGGGGGACUACUGUUUGUACCAUACUUAGGGCCUCCGAAUUUAGAUCUCGUAUAAAUACUCGGGGGACUUAAAUGUAAUUAUGUAAUAAAUGAAAGGGAAAAUAUAUAAUAAGUAAGGAGCCCUUAUUCUAUAAAAUGACUUCUCACUCUCCUUAUUAGGAGAGGUCAAAAUUUCAGACCAUGGGAAGAGAGAAAAUAGGCUAGAGAGCAUACUGCCUCUAGCCUUCUUGUAUAUUCACCAUUCAGAGUGAAACAAUAUCAACAUCAGUGUGGACGUAGCCCAAACAUUGAGGUAAACCACGAUACAUCUUGUGUUCUUUACUUUCUUGCAGACUGACGGUUGGAUUUACGUUGUUCCAAGACCCCUUCGGUUUUGUGCAUCAACAAAUAUCAUCAAAUCUUCUAAACUACGGCCUUCUUGCCAUUGCAAAUCAAAGCCACAUGUUUAAUAUAUCAAAAAAUUUGAAAAUUAAAAUAUAUAUUCUUGUCAUACUCGAGAUGAGGCCUCCUGGUAAACCAAAGGCGUCUGCAUUUGUCGAUAGGCAUCUUGCAUAUUUCCAUACAGUUAGAUAAAGAAAAGGUUUUGUGUGAUUACCUGUUAUUUAAGAGUAGCCAAACUCUUUGUAUGCAUUGGACACUGUGGGAUGACUCCAUUUCAUGGAGGAAUUCCAAGCAGACCACACAUUAAAGUAUGCCAUGAAAAGCUCCAAUGAUAUAGAGGACUGGAACAUUGAGCAUGUCCUGUGAGAGGCCAGUCUUUCAAGCCUUUCAAUUCUUGUUGUUCGUAGAAAACAACGAGAGGCCAGUCUUGAAGCUUCCUGCCGAUCUCAAUGACGGCUUUCUUAGAAUUGGUUUGUGAAAAUUCAAAUUACAGAGAGAGUAGAGAAACAAGGAAGAGUGUACAUGUCAAAGUCCAAUUUUAUCCAUGUAUUAACAGAUAGUUAACGGAAAAAUCACUUUUGGGCUAAAUUUGGUAACGGAGUACAUCACAUGGGUUUAAAUCUGAGUUUUUUUAGCACAUGGGCUAUUUUCCGAAUACCUUAUGACCAUAGGGAUCAUUUAUCCGAUUUGGCCUUAUUGUAAUUAUUCACCAUGGCUAUUAUUGUAAAUAACAUGUUUGCACUCCUCAUUGUGCAACUCUUUUAUUGAUUCUCUUUGAUUUAUCCAAUCAAUGGGUGUUUGUAGGGGUGGGUUCAAAAAACCGAAAACCAAAAAAAAAUCGAGAACCGAACCGGACCGAGGCCGAAAAAACCGAAUCGAAAAAAACCGAACCGAAAACUAUCAAACCGAACCAAACCGAUAUAUAUAUAUAUUUAAUUAUUUUUUAUAAUAUUUUAAUUAUAAAAAUCAUAAAAAUAAAAAAAAAUAUCUAAAACCUAGAGGCUUGAGGGUUCGAACCCAAGCCUUUCAGGUUGAAAGGUUUCACUAAAACUAACCUGGCAACGGGUCUUGUUUUGUUAUGAUUGUAAGAUUAAAGUAUUUAUAAAGAUUGAAACCUAUAGUCUUUUGUGAAAUUAGAAAUCAAUAAAACCCUAGCCACUAGUGGUAGCAGCCAUACCUUUUUUAUUUUUCAUUCCCCUCUUCUCCUUUUCGCCCCUCCAUGUCCAUGCCUCCAAUUUCUCCAUUAUUUUCUCUCCGUUUCUCGAUCUUCUCACUCCUGGGUAAGAUCUCUAACCUCUCUUGUUUAUUUAGUUGAUUUAUGGUUUUUUUUUUUUGGAGUAAAGUCCAUGGAGGGAAUCUAAAAUUUUGGUGAUUGUUAUGGUUCGUAUUGCAGAUUUGUUUGAUUUUUGUGUUGUGAGAGUCUCACCCAUUUUUUUCCUUUUGUUUUUUUUUCUCCCCUGGUAUCAUUAUUUGAUUGGUUUUCCUCUUUUUUUGCCUCAGCUGCAGCAAGGGCAGUGACAGCACCACCACCACAACCAGUUGCAGCAACUGCAAUAGCACCACCUCCACCAGCUGUGGUGGUCUUGCCGCCCAACACAGCCAAUAAGUAUGCAGCGACCACUUUCAUCUCUGCUUGAGAUGGCUUUGGAUCUGCGGAGUGUGGAGAGAAAGGGUAAAUUUGCAGCCGAAUGCGGAAAAAAAGUACUUUAAGCUCCAGAUAUUAAAAAAAAUGCAUGAAAAAACCGAAAAAAAAAAUCGAAACCGAACCGUUUAGAACCGAACCCAGCCCUAGGUGUUUGUGCAAUGUAUGCCGGGAUAAGUGCAUGGAAAGAAAAUAAGAGUUCAAAAAUAACAACCCUUUGAUUUAUCCAAUUAAUGAGUGUUGGUGCAAAAUGUAUUAACUUUUGGUUGUUUCUCCACUCUCUCUCUUGCUACACCUCUUUAUCCCCUUCAGUUAAAUAUGCCAUAACAUUACUGUUUUAUUUAAGGGUAAUUUAAAUUAGUAGAUAAAAUUUUGCAAACUAAGUGACAUGGAAAUUGAUAAUUGGAAUAUGACUUAAACGUAGAUAAAUGUGCUUAAUCCUAUUGGUAACAUAUCAUUUAGUUUGCAAAUUUUGUCCUCUUAACAUUACUCAUAUUUUAAAUUAUUUAUUCAAGAGCACAACAUUUUUUUUACUAUUUUAUUUUCAACUAUAUAUGCUACAACACAAAAUUUUAAAAGCAGUGCAAUACCAAAUCAUAUGCACUAGAAAAUUCUGUAUCUUCUCGCCUCCUAAUGGCGCGUCAAAUGUCUUACCCGACUCAUUCGUUUUCUUUGGGUGAAAUUCAUUGCUCUUCGUUAAGUUGUAUAUAUGUGUGCUGAAACCAACAGACAGCUUACAUCACAUUCUUACUUUCUCAUCAAACUAAAUUAACAAAGAGGAUUAAGGGUUAGUUUGGGAUUGUUGUGUUUUGUUGAUGCACAAAAUCAGUGAGGACUUUGGUACAACAGAAAGUGUCAAGUUUGUGACCUUCGUUAGAUUGCUCCAGUCACUAGUGUGGAUAAGUAUGUAAAUGAAUAGAGGCAAGGAAGCAAGUAUAAGGUGUACGUGGUUCACCUAGAUUGGCUACGUCCAAGGAGUCGAGGAGUUCUCAUUAAUUGUGAAGGGUUUACACAAGUAUAUAGGUUCAAGCUCUCCUUUAAUGAGUACUAGUGAAUGAUUUAAUACAAAUGACAUUAGGGAUUAUUGUGGGAGAAUGAUCUCCUUUUAUAAAAGAGAGUUUCUAGCUUUGUUAUGGCUUUGACACGUGUCAUGCUAUGAUUGACCUUUGAUGUUGACAUGUGUCUCCUGUGAUUGGCCUCUUGGUGUUGACACGUGUUACGUUGUGAUUGGCCUUCUGGUUGAAGGGAAACUCUUCUGGGUCCUUGACGGUAUAACGCUGACCGGUGCUUAGUAGUUUCGGGAUUGGGGUCAAGUAUGGUACAAACAGUGCUCCCCUAAGUUCUCGAGUGAGGGAAGCUCCUCGGUUGGGGACUUGUAAGAUCCAAGCCGCUGAGUAAUCACGAAACUUCUAAGUACCGAAGUGUGGUAUUGUUUUCACUUGCCUUAUCUGUCUCAUAGGUAGAUGUGGCAUCUUCUCUGGAAGUACUUUUCCUCUAUCUAGUGGUGGUAUCUUUAACCGAUGGACAUGCAUAAGGUAAUGUAUCAAUUUCACUUGAAGCUUACUUGUAGUUUUGGGCUUGGACAAGCGCAAUACAAACCCUAUAGUAGGAGUCCCCCAAGUCUUUGAGCGAGGAGAUCUGCUGAAAGAGGUGACAGACAAAGUAAGCAAUCAGAGUUCCAAGCAGUCAGUCUUAGAUCAAAAGUUUGAUCUCAUGUUCCGGCUGAUUGUUCUCCUUCUUCUUAUUCUGUAGACAUCAACAAGGACAAAGAAAAUGACAUGGAGAAGAGAUGAUAUAAGAUACUUUUGCUUUUGAAGAAGUAACUUUCCACAUGCUUAUUCUUGAACUGGGCUGGAGGGUUUUCUGGUUUCCUCUAGAGUAUAAGGCUAACUUAAGAAUUUGAGGGUCAAAACAAGUCCAUCAAAUCAAGAGUGCGUUCGACCUUGAUGUUAUGGGAUACUUUUGUUGUUGACAAAGUAAUAGAUAAAUCGACACAUGUUCUGUUGCACUUGUCUCCACAUACUUCCUUGUAUCCUUCUCACUUACCCUAUCUGUUCCUCAGGCAGAUGUGGUAUCUUUUCUGGAAGCACAAGAUGUUGAAGAUGAAUACUCGAGAGAAAUGCCAGGUAAGUAAUCAGGCAAGGGGUUCCAGGCAGUCAGUUCAUGACUGGAAGCUUAAUUCCAAGUGCUGACUGAUUGCUCUCUUUCUCAUUGUCUUGCAGGUAAGAACAAGGGCAAAGGAAAAGACAGGGAAAAAGAAUGAUAUGGGAUACUCUUGCUUUAACCCCGAUGAUAUGAGAUACUCUUGCUCUGGUGUGGCUUGUUUGCAGAGGUAUUAUCGGGGGAAAGAAAGUUGAGUAUUUCGAGAGGCUUCGUUGGAAGUGCCCUCUUAGAUAUGAGGAAGGGUUGAGCAUUUUUGCAGGUCUGACUGUCCGUGAAGGAUGGAGGUAGCCAUAUAUAGGAGUUUCCCCAACAAGUAGUAAUGUUAUUCCUUUACCCUUCUUGGUCAUAGCAAUGUAGUGGGAGCUGCAAGCUUCACGUGUUUUAACUUUGUCAGCACUUUGAAAAAGUGGUCCAUGGUGUCUGGAGAGCUGAUAUUGCGUGUGAAGAUUGCAGACAAGCUUUAUCCAAGGAAAUCUGGCUCUUGAAGCUCAAAGAGUGGUGCCUUUUCAGUUUUCGGGAAAGAAGAUAUGUUAAAGAUUUGGCUCUCGAAAUUUGGAGAGCGUUGCCUCUUCGAUUUUUCAACAAGCAAUCCUAUUGGGAGUCUGGCUUUAAAUAUUCAGAGAGCGGUGCCUCUUUGAUUUUUGAGAAAGCAAUCAUGUUGGGAGUCUGACUCUCGAGAUUCGAAGAGCGGUGCCUCUUCGAUUUUUGAGCAAGUAAUCCUGUUAGGGGUCUGGCUCUCGAGAUUCGGAGAGCGGUGCCUUUUCGAUUUUUUAGCAAGUAAUCCUGUUGGGAGUGUUUUCUCAGAUGUGAGUAAAGGUUGAGCAUUUUUGCCAGUCUGCCUUGCCACGGAGCACGAAGGUUGACACACAUAGGGACUUUCCAGUUAUCAAGCAGUGGUGAUGUUCCUUUACCCUUGUGGGUAAUAGUAGGGUAGCUGGACCUUCAAAUUUUAUGUGGCUAAACUUUGUCAGAGAUCUUUGGCAAAGUUAUCUAGGGUACCCGAGGAAUUGAUGUUGCGCGUAGAGAUUGUCAACAGAUUUUACUCAAGAAAAUCCGCUUCUCGAAAUCCAGAGAGUGGUGCCUCUUCAAUUUUUGAACAAACGGCCCUGCUGCCCUUUCUUUUAUAGGGGCACCAAUUGUGUGCAGGAAGUAUGUUUAGAGAGUUAUUGCUUGUAGGAAUUUUCCCCUUAUUUUUGUACUUUAGAGAUUUAUUGGACCUCAUUUCUCCUUCAUCAUUUCUGAAAAUAUCUGGCCCAUCUGACCGUUGUUUUGACUUGAACUUUGGUGAAGAGGCAGCCAUGCCUCCUCAAGACAACAUAUGGCGCCCAUCUUUCUUAUCCCUUACUGGUUCUCUUACCGAUGGGGACUCUAUGAUGAAGAAUGAUAUGACCGCUACGGUGGUGGCCAGAAACCUUCUCACUCCCAAAGAUAACAGACUACUUUCCAAACGGUCUGAUGAGUUGGCUUAAGGAUUCUCUGGCUCUCAGUGUUUAGUGUGCGGGUUCUGUGUCUAAUAUGGCCCAACGCCUAUUUGCUCGAACCCGUCAAGUUGAAUCAUUGGUGACUGAAGUGAUAAGUCUCAAAUAGGAGAUCAGAGGGCUCCAGCAUGAGAAUAAACAGUUGCACAGGCUCGCACAUGACUAUGCUACAAACAUGAAGAGGAAGCUUGACCAGCUACAGGAAUUUGAUGGUCAGAUUUUACUUGAUUAUCAGAGGUUUAUGGGUUUGUUCCAAAGGCAUUUAUUGCCUUCAUCUUCUGGGGCUGUACCGCGUAAUGAAGCUCCAAAUGAUCAACCUCCAAUGCCUCCUCCUUCUGGGGUUCUGCCCAGUACUGAGGCUCCGAAUGAUCACCCUCCGAUGCCUCCUCUUUCUGGGGCUCUGCCGAUUGCUGAGACUUCUCCUGAGCAACCUUUGUGAAGGCUACCUCUUGUUUGUUUAUUUUGAUUCAUGUAUAUGUACAUAUUUGUAACUUAUCGGAGAUAUCAAUAAAUAAGCUUUGCUUCAUUUCAACGUAUUGUGUUAAAUACACCAAGGCCUCAUUCACUAAGUUCUUUGAAUUUAUUCUUUUGUUGAAGCUUAUAUGUUGAAGCUUUGUGAGUGAAGCAUAUAGGUUGAGGUAGUGCUCCCUUAAUUUCUCGAGUGAGAAAAACUUCUUGGUUGGAGACUUGAAAGAUCCAAAUCACUGAGUAGUCGUGAACCUUCCAAGUACCGAGGUGUAGUAGCAUAUGGUAGGAGUCCCCCAAGUCUCCGGUCGAGAGAGUUGACGAAGGAGGUGUCUUGCUAGUAGCCAAGUUUCCAAAGAAACAAAACUUCACCAUUUUCCUUUCUAAGUGGUAGCCCAAAACUCCUCCUUCAUUUGUAUUUGUUAUGAAAGUUGUUAGGCCCAAAGAAGGGGAGGCCUAGGCCUUUUUUUUUUUUUUUUUUUUUUUGAAUUUUUGAAUUUUUUUUUUCUCGAAUUUUCAAAAAAAUAUAUAUUUUUUAAAGCUUUAUAGGUAAAGCUUUGUAGGGUGAAGCUUUGAUGUUGAAGCUUUGUAGGUGAAGCUUUGGAGUUUGAAGCUUUGUAGGUGAAUCUUUGUGUUGAAGCUUUUGUAGGUGAAGCUUUUGUGUUGAAGCUUUGUAGGUGAAGCUUUUAUGUUGAAGCUUUGUAGGUGAAGCCUUUGAGGUUGAAGCUUUGUUGGGUACCAUGAAUUGAUUUUGCUUCACACUAUCUUGAUGAAGAGUGUGUGAAGCUUUUGAGAAUUGUAGUUGCCCUCCAUUUGUUGAAGCUUUUGUGGUGAAGCUUUGUUGGGUACCAUGAAUUGAUUUUGCUUCACACUAUCUUGAUCAAGAGUGUGUGAAGCUUUUGGCAUUUGUAGUUACCCUCCAUUUGUUGAAGCUUUUGUGGUGAAGCUUUUGUGUUGAAGCUUUAUAGAUGAAGCUUUGAGGUUGAAGCUUUGUUGGGUACCAUGAAUUGAUUUUGCUUCACACUAUCUUGAUCAAGAGUGUGUGAAGCUUUUGACAUUUUGGGGAAAACUAGAAAUUUGAAAAUGUGGGAGAGACAACACAUACAAAUUUUUCUUCCACACUUUGAGCAAGAGAUUGUGGUGCAAGCCACACCUUGUAGUAGUCAAAGGUUUGGAUGAACCAUAUAAAUUGAAUUUGCUUCAAACAGUCUUGAUCAAGAGUGUGUGAAGCUUUCUAUGAGUUGUAGUGUUUGCAUUGUUACAAAGGAGAAAUGUCCGAAGCAGAUGCAAGAGGGCUGAAGAGCUUAAUCUUCGUAUGCCAUGCACUGAAGCCAUUGUUGGCUUGCAAUAAGACCUUGUUGGUGACUAUAACUCUUGUUAGGCAUAAGUGUUCUCCUAGUUGAGUUGUAAAGCUUGAGGGUUUUUGAUUAUUUGUGAAUGCUAGGAGUUCACAUGUACAAGUUGUACCAUUCGUCUUCUGGUUGGUGGAAUGAAUGGUGAGUUGCUUUCAUCACUUUGAUUCAUGGUACGAAGGUGAGUUCCUUCAUCACCUUUUAUCACAUUUCAUCACCUGGUUGGUGGCACGAAGAUGAGUUCCUUCUUCACCUGGUUGGUAAUAAGAGUGGCAAGUUGCCAAAUAAGAUUAGAGUACGGGUUGUACAUUUCAUCAUCUAGUUGGUGGCAUGAAGAUGAGUUCCUUCUUCACCUGGUUGGUGGCAUGAGUGUUAAGUUGCCAAAUGAUAUUAGAGUAAGGGUUGUACAUUUCAUCACAUGGUUGGUGGCAUGAAAGAGAGUACAGGUUGUACAUUUCAUCACCUGGUUGGUGAGAAUAAGGGCAAUGUGUCGAGGCACAUUGUAGCAAGUGUUGAAUGACACAAACUAUGUUGAACCCUUUCGAAGCACAGUUGGCUUAUGUAUGGAUGCGUUGGAAUGUAUUAUGUUUAUGUAUGAAUGUGUUGAAAUGUAUGAUGUUUAUUUAUGAAUGUGUUGGAAUGUAUGAUGUUUAUGUUGAUUGACAUGAGUGUUGCUUAUGAAUGUUUUGCUAUGCAUGAAGGGAUCCAUGCUUUCGAUAUGCGAACCAUGUUGGUUGUAACACUUAGUAUCACAUACUUUGUGUCAAAGUACGCAUGUUGAAGCUCUGAGUUGGAUUAUAGGGGUAGGUCAGUGUAGACCAAGUGUUCCAGUGUUAGAAAUGCAAAAGACUCAGAAGAAGUUGUCUGAAUUCCCUCUUCUUUAAAUAUGUGCCGAAUGGCUUAUGUGACAAAAGAUCUCAAACGGUUGAGAGUCAAAACAUUUGUAAUGUGUAUGCCUUCUUAUAAUAGCAUUUCCUUUAGUACCUAGUCCUCCACUUUGAAAGAGUGAGGCUUGGCCCCAUAGUCAUAAUAGUCGACGGUACGUUCACCCCUGGUUUUCUUGAUACGAACUUUUAUCCCUCUUGUUGUAAUGGGCUUGCUGAGAGUAAAAAUCUUUCCUCUUACCAAGAGACAAAUAUGUUUGGUGACUUAGUGAGUAGCUAAAUGAGGCAGUAGAUGAUGCAAUGGGUGUCUUAAUGGCCAAGAUCUCCUCACUUGGUAGAACUUGACUUCCACUUCCCACUUGUUGAUAGGGGUUAACCAUAUAGGGGUUCCCUUGGUAUGUCCUUGCUUCGGCGGAAGCGUGGCUGUAAGCCUGUGCCAUCACCUCAGAGUAAGUCUUCCAAGUGUUGGCAUUGAUCAUGUACUUGAAGAAACAAUCACGUAGGCUUGUCGUGAAGGCUUUGAGGGCAGUCUUGUCAUCUGCCUCAGCGCAGCGAGAAUACUCAUAGCUAAAGCGACAUGCAUACUCUCAUAAUGACUCGUCCGACUUCUGGCGAAUAGGGUACAAGUCAUUUGCAGAAUGUAAGCGAUCAGUCUGAAAGAUGUGUUGAGAGACAAACAAUUUCCUUAGUUCUUCAAAUGAGUCUACUGUUUCGGGUGGAAGAUGACAAUACUAGUUUAGAGCUCCGUCAGAAAGGGUGGAAGGGAAAAGAAGACAUCGCUCUUCGUCGGUGUGCAUCCGAUAUGCCAUGGUGGACUCAAAGAGGUUAAGGUGUUCAAUCGGGUCCUCCAUUCUAGUAUAGAGUUGUAAACCAAACUUUUGUUUUGUCUUCGCUUGAAGAGGGGUGUCAAGGAUCCUCCUUAUGAUAGGGCUAGGCUUGGGUUGGUUCCAGUUAAGUAUCUCGGCCUGACGUUCGGCCUUCAACUUUUUUACUUCCUCAAGGAGCUGUAGGACAAUGGGGUCCUGAGUAGAGUCAUGUACCACUGGAAUUUUCUUCCGUAAGUCUCCAUUGUCUCUCAGAAGUAGAAAAGUUUAAGUAAGAGCGUGUGAUUUUUCCUUGGACUCGCCGUACUGACUUCUAGGGCGAGUCUGUCGGAAUACCUCCGAGUCCCCUGUACUUUCAUAUUCCUCUGGGACUUGUCGUUCCUUCCUUAGAUGGGCAGCUGGCUUGGGUCGUGGGAGGGGACCGAGUUUUUCAGAAACCCUUGGGUCAUUGAUCUUGGAGCUUAUGUGAAGGGGAUUCUCUCAAUGUUGUUUUAGGAAGUCUCGGCAGUCACGAUAAACAGCUUUCGAUCCUUCCAACUCUUCUGCAAGGAGGUGUCUUCCUCCACUUCUCCUGCUUCAGGUCGAAGCAGCUUGGUUGAGAGAAGUCUCAUGUUGAUCAAUGUUUUGAUGAUUAGCUCGCUCCUCAUUAGGGAUACCCAUGUCGAAGGAAGGUGACCCUCCGUGUUGAGGGGUACCCAGAUGAUGGUUGAUGUCCACAGGGGCAACAAGCUCGCGUGUUUGAGUACGCCUAGUUUCGUGGAACGUCUCGAAGAGCUUCUCAUAUUGUUCUUGGAGGAUCUCAUUCUUUAUUGCUAUCUUGAUCCUCCAGCUUCUCGACUUUAGCUUGAAGAAUGAGCUUCUUUCCUUCUUUCUUUCUUUGCUUCGCACUAGGUGUAAGAAGGGUGUCAUUAUGUGUGUCGUGGCUUCCUUUGCUCCCUAUGUUAGAGAGGGAUGCCUGGUCAAAAGAGAGUGUACAAAUGGUGGAAACCAGCUUGACAAAGUGAAGAAAGUGGGAAUAAGUGUCAUUCCAACAUACGGCGCCAAAUGUUGAUGCACAAAAUCAGUGAGGACAUUGGUACAACAGAAAAUGCAAGUUUAUGACCUUCGCUAAAUUGCUCCGGUCACUAGUAUGGAUAAGUAUGUAAAUGGAUAGAGACAAGGAAGCAAACACAAGAUAUACGUGAUGUAAGGUUAGUAUUUGUAGUGGUAGGUGAUAACAUUUAUUUUAUUCUCUAAGGAAUGUGUUUGGAAGGUUAAACAAUGUCAUUUAAAAAAAAAAAUUAAUGAGGUAUUACAACAAUUGAAAAUAAUUAUUAUAAACACAACUCUACUUUUUUUUAUUAAAGCAGCUUUUAAAAGCAACUUGUGGGCUGCUUUUAAAAGAUGCUCUUUGGAGUCUCUUUGUUUUGGUAAAUAUGUCUCUGGCUUCGGUCGGAAUGGGUGCUUUCAGAACGGCAUUUGAAAUGUUGUUUGAUGCUGUAAAAUCAGUGCAGGAGGAGAAUAAAAUGUUCCAACACCUCUCCCGAGACAUCAAGUUCGCACUAGACUCUGUACAACCACUCAUCAAAGACAUCGAAAAGUAUAACUCGAAAGAGGGACUGCAAAAUUUUGCAAUACAGAUGGAGGAGGGAGCAAGUUUUCAACAACUGUUACAUAAUCUCAGUGGCAUUCUCGAAUAUAGAAGAAAUGUAUAUCGACUAUUGCAGUGAUUUAAUAGAGUUGCCCGCCGAGUUUUGUGAUCUUAGUAAACUAAAGAAGCUCAGUGUCACUAACUGUCAUAAGAUAUCUGUCUUUACCUGAAGGGAUUGGAAAGUCGGAAAAUUUAGAAAUGUUCAGGCUAAGAUCCUGCACAGAACUGUCAAAGCUUCCAACCACGAUGAAGAACCUUGGAAAGGUAAACUUUCUUGACAUAUCUAUUUGCUUCAGCAUCAAGAUGUUGCCCAAAGACAUAGGUGAAAUGAGUAGUUUAAAGAAGAUCAACGUGAGACAAUGCUCAAGGUUGCAAGACCUGCCUCCAUCAGUCAUGGAUCUUAAGCAGUUAAAGGAAGUUGUCUGUGAUGAAGAGAUAAAAUACUUAUGGGAAUCUUUCUCAUUGCGUCUCAACAACGUAAGGAUAAUUGUGGCCAAAGAGAAUAUCAACCUAAAUUGGAUCCACAAGACUCAGUUCUGAUACCUGUGUUUCCUCGGUGAACGUUGCUCUUCAACCUCUCUUGACUUGUGUUUCAUUGUCUUCCUAUUUUAGGCUAUUUCCCAUCUCCUUUUCAGUUUACGCCCUUCGUUUCGUAAAUAGUAGUGUGGGAUAUUAAACCAUUGGUAUUAAAUAUAGAAAUUAUGAAAAUAACACAAGAAUUUCAAUAAUAAUAAUUACAAGGAAAUUCACAACAUCACAUGUGCACAAAAUUAAUAUAAACAACCAGAGAGAAAGUUAGAAAAACUGACAAACUUGGAGAUUGAGGCUUGCAUAAAUGCAAUGUCCUAAAGACAGAAUUUCGCCCCUACUCUUAUGCUUGUAGUUCGGUAGGCAUCCGUCUCCUAGGAUUCAACAAUCUAUAAUCCGAAGUCAAAGCAUUCAAUCUUCGGACUUUGGCUAACUUUAUAUAUUAUGUACUCUCAAGACACGACUCAGAAGUUUGACUAAGACAUUAGAGAAAACUAUUCUCAUAAUACUCUCACGACUAUACUAACGUGAGUUUAUAUAAAACCUAAGAUACUGGUUGAUUAAGAGACACAAGCAUUCAUGUAUUAGAUGAUACCGUUUACCAAAGAUUGCCUUGAUCCCUUUCAAAAGGUUAUGCAUUUUUCAUUCAAUAUUUUGAAUUAAAUAUUAUAAUUAUUAAUAUUAUAAUAUAUAAAUUCCAACAAUCCCCCACAUGAAUGAAAAAUUAGGAAGAAUUUAAGAGUACAGGCGAAAAAGAGAUGCAUCGGGAGAGGUAUCUUUUGGACUUGAACCUACCCUAGUGAAUACUUAUCGGAUUUACUUGGUGACGCAGUGAAUAUAGAAUCUUAAACUGUUCACCGUAAUAGUAAACCGAGACAAUAAGCAACACACAUCACUAAUCCUAAUAUAUUUUGGUUCAUAUGGUUGUGUUCAUUUUGGUCCUGAACAAAUCCCAGAUUCAUGAGAGCUUUAGAGAAUUUAGCCAUCUCAUACGCAUAGAAGCGACCCACUUCUACUCUCACAUAGGUGACCACUGAUUAAGAAUAGUCUACUCUAUUCCUCUUAUUUAUAAGAUAUCACUGUCAUUAAGUAUAAAUAUACAACCUAAAACCUCUGCAGACAACACACUUUUUCCAUCAUAGGAAUGAGGUAUAUAGUGUGUUAACUUCUUUGAAUCAUGCCCAACCAGUUUGCCUAUUGAACUUAGACCAUGGGAUCUCCAAUCAACAAAGUUAGGUUUCCGCUCGGCUGAUUCAUUAGUUAUGUUGGCUUUAGCCUCAUUCCCAUCGAUGAUCAACUUUCUCUCUAGUCUAACCUUUAAUAAUUGAAUCCACUACUAGGUUGACUAUUUUUAAUGGUGUGCACAAUCCAUCUUAUGAAAUUAUAUUUCAUACGAGAGGAGUUGUUUGACAUUACUUGAAAUGUCAAGUCCUCAAAAUUAUAUUAGAAAUCUCAAGAGUAAAAAUUAACUCUAAUUUUCUAUAUUUAAUACCAAUGGUUUCAUGGGUUUAUAUAGAAUCCAACUUCUACUUAUUAAAGAGAUGUAACUUUUCAUCUAUAAGUAUACAUCACUUAUUAAGGGAAUACACCUAAACAACAUAACCUUUCUAAGUAAUUUGCUAACACUAAGCACUUGGGUAAACUCCCCCACAUUUAAGGUAUUUGUAAGAAGAUCUCUAACCUUGCCAUACCUUAAAAUUAUUCAUUACAACAGAUGACAUCUUAAAUGUCGUUCAAUUAGCAAAUUACUUUUAACCAACUCCCACAAUUCUUUCAUAAUUGUAGUUGCUUUUAAUGCUAUCAUUAAAUCGAUCACAUUUUCCACUUUAAGAAGUAAGAAACAACUAAGAUAGACUCUAUCUAUCUUUUUAGGCCUUCAUGCUUCACUAGAAAUGAUGAGAAAAUCACUUCUUGACUUUCAUUCUUUCCUUACUCUGACUAACAUGCAUGAUCCGACUCAUAUGCUUACUUAAUAAGCAUCAUUAUGUCGAAUUCAAAUCUGUGAAAUGUCUUUCACAUUUUUAGUAUGGUCUUGUCCUUUUUUGAAAGACCCCCACACUUUCAUGAUUAUUUCUUUAUAUUAAUAUCACUUUAAAUGACACUCAAUAUCAUCAUGGGCCUCUUGUAAUUUAGAAAUAUAUCACUUCAAAGAAAGCAUAUAAAUGAUUUUGCAACAUUAUUAUCACUAUAUGAUAAUACAUCCAAUCGGUAUGUGGAAGUUUACAUACCAGCCAAUGAACACAUUUGAAUAUGCCAAUGACUAGUUGAAAAUGUCAUACCCCUUCACUGUCAAAAGCAGCACUUCAAAUGGCAUGCUUUUCCUUUGAAUCUCACAUGGUAGAUUUCAAUUUUCAAUUCCACCUUACAAAACCAUCCAUUUGUUAAAUAGUUGCAUAUUUAUGCAACUUUACCGCCACAUGGUUCAAUAUAAGUCUUGGACCUUGACCCCAUAAUUCAAUAAGCAUCUUUCGACGUUGAUAGAUAACUCAUCUAAAAUGAGUUCAGUUUAUUAGUUUAUUUUUGUUGCUUCUCAAAGCCAAAUUCAUCCACUUUCUGGGUUCUUAUCAUGACUGAAGGCUAGACCCAAUUCUGCAUAUGCACACAUAUGCCUGAGUAAUUGUUCAAUUUUCCUCAUACGUAUUCCAUUCAUUCCAUGAGUGGACAUGUACAUAUGAGUACUGCACUCAUCUUAUAUUCCAUGAUACCAUGGAAGUUGGGUUCAUAUCUUGUACUGGAGUUUUCCAACUGUUUCAAUACAAAUUUGAAACAACCCCAUUUUAUUUGUGUAUUCACUCUUCAUCAAGAGCUUUCGCUGACAUCUUUAUGAAUAUAAGGGUUUUCUCAACAAAAACCUAUUAAUCAUCAUCGUGCCCAAUCAAAUAUUGAUCUCCUUUGUCCCAAGAAAGAAACAUUGCAUUAGUCCACGAACUGGUACAUUAUGUCCCUUUUAGAUUUGCAAAUAAUGCAAAUUUUUGUAUGACUAUUGAAGAAAGUUGGGAUUCCAACAUAUAACCAAUUGAGAAUAUGGAGAACAAUCUAAUUCCUUAUAAGCUUUUGUUAUAUUUCUCAUUUCACCAAUGUGAAACCCCUUUUGUCUUCACAUCCUCACAAUCAUACCAUUUCACUUGGCCUUAUUCGAAACCUUUCUUCAUAUAAAGGAGACAAACACUGAACAUGGAUUUUAAGUAGAUCUGAUAAUAAUUGCAGUAGCCAUAUAAUAAAAAUUGUUAUCACUGUAUCGUUCUGGAAACUAGAAUCUUGAUCUUUUCUAUAUAAAACAGUUAUAGAGACAUGUAUAAAGUAACAGCCAAGUAUGAGAUUUCUAUAUAUCAAAGGAUUUAUAUAAUUAACAACAACAGCAACAACAGUUGCGGCAUGCAUAAUAAUUUACCAUGCCUCAAAGUUUAAAACAUUGUCUGAUCGCGACAUGCCUAGAAUGCCAAGAGAAGGUAAAUUCAAACUAACAUUAAUUUAAAAGCAGUUAGAUUCUAAUUUCUAAUAAAUAUAUAUAAGACAAAUAACCUUCUAUCCUAAUCAUCAUCAUCAUCAUCAAUAAAUCCCAAAAUUGUUGUGUUGUUUUGUGUGUGUAUAUAUAUAUAUAACUUUCAACACAUCAUCUAGCCCUGAUCUAUCUUUUCGUAGAAAUUUAAAGGAUUCAUGUCUUAGAUGCAUCGGUGAAAUAUACUGAUGUCUUCUUCUUUAUUUCUUCAAGAGGGCUAGGCUAAACAUAAAUUACAAUAUUUUCAUUGCGAAUCCCUAAAGUCCUAGGCUUUACUCAUAUUUUCUAAUUGUUUCAUAAACAAAUUUCUGUCUUUAGAUUGUUGGAGCAAUAUUAGAAAGUAUGAAAAUAACACAAGAAUUCCAAUAUUAAUAAUUACAAAGAAAUUCACAACAUCACAUGUGCACAAAAUUAAUAUCAACAACUAGAGAGAAAGUUAGAAAAACUAACAAACUUGGAGAUUGAGGCUUGCAUAAAUGCAAUGUCCUAAAGACAGAAUUUCGCCCAUACUUUUAUGCUUGUAUUUUGGUAGGCCUUCGUCUCCCAGGAUUCAACAAUCCAUAAUCCGAAGUCAAAGCAUUCAAUCUUCGGACUCUGGCUAACUUUAUAUAUUAUGUACUCUUAAGACACGACUCAGAAGUUUGACUAAGACAUUAGAGAAAACUAUUCUCAUAAUACUCUCACGACUAUACUAACAUGAGUUUAUAUAAAACGUAAGAUGCUGGUUGAUUAAGAUAUACAAGCAUUCAUCUAUUAGAUGAUACCGUUUACCAAAGAUUGCCUUGAUCCCUUUCAAAUGGUUAUGCAUUUUUCAUUCAAUAUUUUGAAUUAAAUAUUAUAAUUAUUAAUAUUAUAAUAUAUAAAUUCCAACAAGGUAUAAUCAUUUGUCGUUAAAUGAGCACUAUUUUGACAACCUUAAGAAAUUUUCUAAACUUGUGAAAUGUGAGGGGAAAUUUAAUAUCUGAGCAAUAAGUUUAAUGUGAAAGUUGUUUUUUUAGAGGGAAAAUGUGGUUUGUGUUUUUAAUGGGACUUCUUAAACUCUACUCUGACAUAGUUUCACAAUCAAUCCCUAUACACAGUUUCUUAACCUUUUGGUUUGAAAAUCUGUAUGUAUAGUUCAACAUCACAGUGUGAUUAUGCUCUCCCAAAAUAAGUUUUAUAAGUAAAAGGAACCAAAAAGAAGGGGUUGAAGAGUCUCCAUAAGACAAGAACUUUUAUGUCACAGAGUCAAGUAUUAAUCUCGUCAUCGGUAAGUUUCUCAAGUAUCUAUAUUCACAUUUGUUGGUCAAGUUUUCAGAAUUGUGUUCACAUAUAAUCUAAAUUCAUUGCCAAAUGUUGAGGAAUUGAUUGUUAUUGACUAUUGCGAUGAAUUGGUCUCAAACUACGUUUUCCAACCAACACGGUUUGAUCAGUUUUAAAAAAACCACUGUUUGAUUAGUCUCGUUCAAUACCAUUACGUGAUUAGCUUAAAUUUACUUUUCAUGUUCAAACUAGUUAAACUAAGAAAGAACGGGCCAUAUUUUCUUUCUUUUCAAAGUUGUUCACAUAGAAGUGGACAUUGACAAAGUAGAUAAUGAAUAACAUUAUAACAUUGUAAUUUGGAUGAAAAUACACAAAUCCAAUACUUUAAUUAGAUGCAUUAUACUUUAAAUGAAAAUAAAUAAAUUUAAUAUUCUUAGAGGUCACAAUAGAAAUUUCACAACUAAGAACGGAUUAGGGCAUGCCAAUACUUAAAAAGCCGACUUUUCUAAUUCAAUUCACAAGAUUCUCAAAACCAUUGCUCACACAUAUUCUAAAACUAAGGCUAGAGUGACACAGUUAAGCCAAGCCUACAUCUUUGAAGCUGAUAUCAAAUCUAAGAAACCAACAAGUCAAGUGAUGCAACUUUGGACCACUUAAACGAAUCCAAACCAGAAAACAAUUCCGAACCAUCACUCAACGGAAUCGUGGAGUAGAAGGGAUUUAGGACCAUCACUCAAAGGAAUCCAAACAAGGAUACGAUUCCGGACCAUCACUCAACGGAAUCGAGGAGUAGAAAGGAUUCCGGACCAUCACUCAAUGGAAUCCAAACAAGGAUAUGAUUCUGGACCAUCACUCAAUGGAAUCACUUGCACUAUCAACUUCUCAUGACCACUAUCUUGUCAUACAAGCAUAAAAGUUAUACAUAAUACUUCUCAUAAGAUUCUGGGUUCACAUCGUCCUAAAAACAAUCAUACACAUCAUAUUGAUCAUACAUAUCUAACCACAUUUCAUAAAUGUUUCCAAGCUACAAUCGAAUCACAAUUAAUAAACAUAGAUCGAUGCUAAAAUAAAAUAACACUUCAAUAGAAAGCACAUUUAAUUAACAAGUAUAACUCAAUAUGAUGCAACUAAUACAUAUAUCGAGACACACAUCAACCAAGAAUGACACGUCAUCGUGAUGAGCCAACUAAGUUCCAUCAAGCCUCAACAGCAAACUAGAGAUAAACGACACUCUAGAGUAUAACACGUUGACUAGAACGUUAACCGUCAAUAAGGUAGGUCCAUUAAGAUCAACAAUCUAAGGUUAUUUAAACCAGAAGAUCCGCACAUCAGAUUUCCGAUCCGUAAGUUCUCAAAGGUCCAACAACUGAUACCUAAGGUGCUCACAAAAUUGUACGACGAUCCAACAAUCGGAUUGUCAUCAAUCAUACAAACAAGUGGUAGUCCAAUUUGAUUACCACAUCAAACAAUUUAAUUUCGGGAAACCGAGCUAGACAUAGGUUCAUAGAGUCACUAGAAGGUAUUUAGUACUUAGACAACAUUCAUGGACGGUCUCACGCACCGCCACAAGCGAUGGUAGCCAUGGUGAAGGGUUUGAAAACCCAAAUUUUCAACCUUAACCAAAAAGGUUCAAAUUUAUGUGGUAACUAGAGCUCAACAAGGGAAACAUUAUUCACAACUAGGCCAAUGACAAAUUCUAACCGGAAACCAUCCAAAUUCAUCGGGAAAAACCGGGUUUCUAGGGUUCUAAACACCCAACUCUAAAACAAAUACGAAAGCACAAAACAAGCAUAUCAACUUGAAGAUUAUGAAGAGUAGAUGAAGCUUAAUACCUCACUCGAAAGAAAUGGUUGCCGAAAUCACCGGAAAAAUGACAAAAUCGUCGGAAACCAAGGAACUUUGCUGCCUCGAACUGGAAAAAUGGAUAAGAAAAUUGGAAAUGUAACACUGCAGAGAUGUAGGGCUCGUCAAGAGCUUUCUAUGGACUCCAAGAUCACCCAAAACGGAGAUCGGAUGAAGGAGAUAUGAGCAGAUCAAGUUUGCGGGUUAACGGGUCUAAUUCGCCCCAAAACGGGUUUUUUCUUCUUUUCUCUCGCCACACUUCCGUGGCUUUCUUUUCCUUCCCUCUUUUAGCCACUCCCGUGGCUUUUUCCUUCUCUUUUCAUUUUUUUUAUUUUUUAUUUUUUUAGCAACAACUUCAAACGUCCGUAACUAUACCGUUACAAUUUGGACUCGCAAACGGUUUUUGCCUAUACGUUCAUAAUCUCGAUAUCUAUUCGACAAUAUAAAUUGUGACCUCGAAUGGUCUACAGAUUUUAAAUAAUUAAUUUCCCGAAAAAUAAUAUAAAAUUUCUAUAAUACCAAUACGUAGAUUAUAAUAAUGAAAUCCAGGAACGGGAUUUGACAUUCUCCCCCCCUUAAAAAAAUUUUGUCCUCGAAAUUUUAGUAUCAAUUCAAUAUCCACCAAUGCCACAAUUCAACCGAAUGACAAUUUCGAAAUGGUAUUUACUCUUUAAUUAUAAUCGAAUUUAAUUAACAUCAAACUCGACAACAUCGAAUCACAAGUCACAAAUACAAUUAUCAUCGUCUCAGCACGACUUCACCACCAAUCUUUGCACAAUCACAAAGAAUGGCACUACUAAUAAGAAUUCAUCAAUAUACUCAUAAUUCUGGCAACCAUACCAACCAAUUUUGUAAUUACAAGCAUUUCCCAUUAUUCCAUUUAUGGUGAAUAAGAUCAUAACCUCAGUCUACGAGUUUAUUCAACUCAAAACAAAUAAAUUAACGGAUAGAUCAUCAUGAUUCUCACCCAUAUACUCAGAUUCACAGCAAUAUUUAUUGGCAGAAUAAAUAUUAGAAAUUCUAGCCAUACACAUUGUCAAAAUAUUUAUUAAACAUCAAGCCACAGUCUUCAUAACUUAAAAUAAUUACUAAAUUAUCAAAUCACAUUUACUAUUGGUUAGACAUAUACUAACAUAAUAAUUACAAUUAUUGGUAAACCAUCCACCAUCAUUGGCUAUACAUAGUCGUAACUACGAUUCUUUCUCAAAAUUUCUAGCCACACUCCCUUGCAAAAUAAUAUCCACCUUAAACCAUAAGUCUUGUUGGCUAAAUGAAUAUUAAAAUUUCAGCCAACCAUUAAAAUUGACAAAUCAAGUUCCAAAAUUCCAACCAAAAUUAUUGGAAUUUCCAAACACAUCACUAGGUAAUGGAAAGAAGAAUACCAAGUGAUCACAAAUAAACCGAAUUAUGAGUCAUUGAUUAAUUUGACUCAAAUUAUUUCCAUAUCAUCUAUUAUAUGCUUAUUUUUGCUCAAAAACAAAUUUUGACAUUCCUUUAGUGUUGUUUUCAGAGCAUACCUACGUCAUAUUUUACUACACAAGGAACGAGAUCAUAGGUAUCAAUGUAAACGUCGUGAAAACAAUCUUUGAAUCAAGAAUAGCUAUCAUGGCAGCAGUUAUUCUCUUCCUUACAAACGAAGGGUUAAAAUUUAGUCACCAUUCCACAUUCAACCAAUUUGUUUUGAAUCAAGGUUAUAGCGGUGAGACGAGCAUCGAUAUUAGAUCAUUUAUUGGCUGAGUUGUGCAAUAGCAAUUUUUAUAAACUUUCACAUACUCCAACACAAUGAAUAAGAUAGUAAUAAUUCAACCAAUUUCUUCCCAAUUUCUCACCAAAACAGAUUAUGCAACCAGUUCAUGUAUCAAUUUAAAGAUAGUCUCAGUCAUAGAACUAACUUAUCUCACAUUGACAAAGUCACAUGCCAAAUCUCAAGCCAUGACUAACAUGGCUAACAAAAUAUCAUAAUUUCAUACCAUAAUACGUUAAUGGUAAACCAACCAAUCAAGUUUAUAAUUAUCAACCUUUCGCGUCAAUUCUUUUCAUCAGACGAAGAAACUCAGUUGGGAAAGCAUUUAUAUUAAAUGAAUUCAAAUUUUCAUUCUAUAAUUUCAUUCAUAUUCACCCACCAUUCUCAUUAUAAUGGCAAACCAUAAUCACAGUUUAUAAUUUCAUUCCCCUUCAACAAAUCACCAUAUCUUCCUUAAAUGUUAACAUUUCCAACCACUUUUAUCGUUGGCCAAAACAUUUUAAAAUUUCUAUCCACACCUAUCAUUGACGGAAUAAUGAUUUCACCAUCUUUUUCUUUUAUUUCAAUCAGUGACUAGUAAUCUGGAAAAGAUUGUAAUAUACCUGACCAAUACACAUCACACUUUCUUUUUCUUUUCUUCUUCUUCUUUUUCUUUCUUUUUCUUCUUCUUUUUCUUCUUCUUUUUUUUCUUCUUUCUCACAUCUACGGGCCUUUUCCGCCCAUUUACACAUUCGCAGGCCUUUCUUGCCCAAUUUCACAUUUCCACCCUUAUAUCCACGGGCCUUUUGCCCAAUUCAAUUUCUCAAGUGCCAGGUCUAAUACAAACUCUCCAUCUACUUAUCACCACCUCAAAAUCACCUUAACAUUCAACAUUUUCAUAAUACAUAGAAAAAUAACCAAGUAGGCAAUUACGUGACUCCCUAAUGCGGAUUAACCAGCAGGACCACAAAUGGCCCCCCAAUGCGGAUUAACCAAGCAGGGUCAAGAUAAUCAGGUAGGUAGUGACCCCCCAAUGAGGAUUAACCAAGCAGAGUCACACCUGCAGAACUGUUAGGCAGUGAUCACCCAACGCGGAUUAACCAAGCAUGAUCACCCCUAAGUAUAAAUAGCCAUCAGGAUCGCCCAACGCGGAUUAACCAAGCGCGAUCCAUAUAUAGUAUGGUCCCCUAAUGCAGAUUAACCAAGUAGGAUCACUAAUGACCCCCUAUCGUAGAUUAACCAAGCAGGGUCAUAGUCUCCUAUUAGGCCUCAAUUUAACAACCAUUCCAAUAUGCAAUUCAAUUCACUUUUUCAAAAAUAUUAUCAAUCCAAUUUACUUCACUUCAUGAUGUUUCACAACAUAAAUAUACUUCUCACAUAACUUUCUCAUUACUUAAAGAACUUAGGGAAUAAUGCAAUACCAAUGCAAAUCAUAAUUCCCAUUAAUGAGUUUUUCAUAAUCACCAUGGAAAUUUCACCACAACACAAUGCAAUUCAUAUAUGUAUCUCAAAAGUAUAUGUGUCCAUAUAUCACAUGAAUGCAUCUUUAUGCCCAAAAAAAUUAUGAAAUCAUGCAACCACAAUGCAUAUCGUAAUUCACGCCAACAAGACUCGAAAAGGUUGUAUAUCAUAGAGUAUGAUCAUUUGCUCUGAUACCAUUAAAUGUUGUCACGCCCCGAUCCCGACAUACGUCUAGAAUCGACACGUGACGUCACCAAAUACCCAUAUCUAUCAUACCUCGCCUUUGGGAUAUGGGCAGAGCACAAUUCGAUAAUCGAAUCGCAUAGUAAUUUUACGUAUGCUUUAUGGCUGCAUUUAACCUCCUCGUUAGACUGCCUACGUACCCUAAACAGGGAUCAAGUCAUUCGUAGUUCGUCAUGUACUAUAAUUGACAUAUGUCACAGUCCGUUUAAGGCGAAGGGCAUAACAUUUCUCAAUCAAUCAAUAGCUUAACAAGCAUGAAAUUUCUAGACUCAAGGUUACAUAACAAACCCACCUGAAAGUCAUGAUUUCCCUUCCAGCUUCUGUAUAAGUCAUUAUGUCGCAACAUGAUACCGUAAUUCACAACAUAUAUCAUAUCAAGAAACCGACGAAGCACAAUACAAUUCUCUAGCCACAUUAAUUAACUAAUUUGCCCAAAAUAAUAACAACUAUAACCAUAUCUUCUAAAUUCAUACUUUAUGAAAUCAUAAUUGAAUCAUAGAAAAUCAUGAAGGAGUCACCCAAACGUCCAACAACUUUUCUAAUUCAAUUCACAAGAUUCUCAAAACCAUUGCUCACACAUAUUCUAAAACUAAGGCUAGAGUGACACAGUUAAGCCAAGCCUACAUCUCUGAAGUUGAUAUCAAAUAUAAGAAACCAACAAGUCAAGUGAUGCAACUUUGGACCACUUAAACGAAUUCAAACCAGGAAACGAUUCCGGACCAUCACUCAACGGAAUCGUGAAGUAGAAAGGAUUCUGGACCAUCACUCAACGGAAUCCAAACAAGGAUACGAUUCCGGACCAUCACUCAACGGAAUCGCGGAGUAGAAAGGAUUCCGGACCAUCACUCAACGGAAUCCAAACAAGGAUACGAUUCCGGACCAUCACUCAACGGAAUCACUUGCACUAUCAACUUCUCAUGACCACUAACUAUCUUAUCAUACAAGCAUAAAAGUUAUACGUAAUACUUCUCAUAAGAUUCUGGGUUCACAUCAUCCUAAAAAAAAUCAUACAAAUCAUACUGAUUAUACAUAUCUAACCACAUUUCAUAAAUGUUUCCAAGCUACAGUCGAAUCACAAUUAAUAAACAUAGAUCGAUGCUAAAAUAAAAUAACACUUCAAUAGAAAGCACAUUUAAUUAACAAGUAUAACUCAAUAUGAUGCCACUAAUACAUAUAUUGAGACACAUGUCAACCAAGAACGACACGUCAUCGUGAUGAGCCAACUAAGUUCCAUCAAGUCUCAACAACAAACUAGAGAUAAACGACACUCUAGUGUAUAACACGUUGACUAGAACGUCAACCGUCAAUAAGGUAGGUCCAUUAAGAUCAACAAUCUAAGUUAUUCAAACCGGAAGAUCCGCACAUCAGAUUUCCGAUCCGUAAGUUCUCAAAGGUCCAACAACUGAUAACUAAGGUGCUCACAAAAUUGUACGACGAUCCAACGAUCGGAUUGUCGUCAAUCAUACAAACAAGUGGUGGUCCAUUUUGAUCACCACAUCAAACAAUUGAAUUUCGGGAAACCGAGCUAGACAUAGGUUCUUAGGAUCACUAGAAGGUAUUUCGUACUUAGACAACACUCAUGCACAGUCCCACGCACCGCCACACGCAAUGGUAGCCAUGGUGAAGGGUUUGAAAACCCAAUUUUCAACCUUAACCAAAAAGGCUCAAAUUUACGUGGUAACUAGAGCUCAACAAGGGAAACAUUAUUCACAACUAGGCCAACGACAAAUUCUAACCGGAAACCAUCCAAAUUCAUCAGGGAAAACCGGGUUUCUAGGGUUCUAAACACCUAACUCUAAAACGAAAACGAAACCACAAACCAAGCAUACCAACUUGAAGAUUAUGAAGAGUAGAUGAAGUUUAAUACCUCACUCGAAAGAAAUGGUUGCCGAAAUCACCGGAAACCCAAGGAACUUUGCUGCCUAUAACUGGAAAAAUGGAUAAGAAAAUGGGAAAUGUAACACUGCAGAGAUAUAGGGCUCAUCAAGAGCUUUCAAUGGACACCAAGAUCACCCAAAACAGAGAUCGGAAGAAGGAGAUAUGAGCGGAUCAAGUUUGCGGGUUAACGGGUCUAAUUCGCCCCAAAACGGGUUUUUUCUUCCUUUCUCUCGCCACACUCCAGUGGCUUUCUUUUCCUUCCCUCUUUUAGCCACUCCGGUGGCUUUUUUCUUCUCUUUUCAUUUUUUUUAGCAACAACUUUAAACAUCCGUAGCUAUACCGUUACAAUCCGGACUCGCAAACGGUUUUCGCAUAUGCGUUCAUAAUCUCGAUAUCUAUUCAACAAUAUAAAUUGUGACCUCGAAUGGUCUACGGAUUUUAAAUAAUUAAUUUCCCGAAAAAUAAUAUAAAAUUUCUAUAAUACCAAUACGUAGAUUAUAAUAAUGAAAUUUAGGAAUGAGAUUUCACACUUAUAGUUUUGAAACAAAUAAUUUUACAUUAGAAAAGAUAACUUAUACUUUCACUAAAAAGGAGAGCUGAUUUUUAUUAAUUAACAUUGAAGUUUUUGCCUAUUCAAGAGAUGUGGGUCCUGUAUUUCAAUCAACACAUGUGAGUCUCAUCUCUAUUAAAAAAAUGAUACAAAUGAUGGUUACAAAUAAAUGAUAAGAAUAAUAUUUUUAUUUACAAAAAAAUUAUUAUGCACUCCUAUCUAAUAAAGUAAACAAGGUCAAAAGGAGGACAAAGUGGGUUUCUUUUAGCGCUAAUAUUCUUUUAGAAACUAUAUAUUUGAUUGUAUGAACAAUAAAGUCAUUGUACAAUUUAAAUUUAAAACUCAUAAAGAAAAUUAUACAAGGCAUACAAAGUUUAUUAAUCAACAUUGAACCUUUUGUGCAUAUUCUUUGAAAACAUAAGGAAAUUAUACAAUGGUCUCCUCACAAGAAAUUCUCAACUCUUUCAUUUUUUGUGAACUUGUGAUACACGCUAAAGGGGAUGAAUUCUUCAAUGAAAUUUUGACAUGUAAAAAUGAGACCUAUUCGUAAGUUUAUUGAAAAUAAUAAAGCUCAUAUGAGUAGCCCAGAAUAUAAUUUCCUUGUGUUUUCAUAGCAUAUGAACACAAAAUAUAAUGUUGCAAAAUAAGUUUGAUGUUUUAUGUAUAUAAUUAUAAGUAUAAUAUUUUCUCACCUUCUAGUACAAGUUUUGUGCAUAUUCUACAAAACCAAAAACAAAUUAAAACUCAACAUCAUAGCAAUAUUUUCUCAAAAAUAAAAAAGCAUUUCGUAGUAAACGAAUAUACUUUUCCCUCACACUAAAUUUCGUAAAUAUUUUAUGAAAAUAUAAGGAAAUUACACUAUGGUCUCCCCUCAAGAAAUUCCAAGAAAUUCCCAGCUCCAUUAUUUUUUGUUAACUUAUAAUUCAUGGGAUCAAUUUACCAAAGGACGUAUGAUACACGUAAAUAAGAUCAAUUUAUAAGUGCAUUGAACAUGACAUAUUAUGUUAAUAGAGAAACAUAUAAUUUUCUUAUGUUUCAUGGCAUGUGCACAAAAAGUUUUAUUGUUGAAAAUUUUAUAUGUAUAUAAGCAUAUUUUCUCAUCUUAUAGUAUGCUAAAAGGAAACCAAAUAGUAGCAUCUUCAUAAUAAAUUCUCUAACUUGCUUACACCAGGCCUAUAGUGGCGAAGCCACGUGAGGGCGAGGAGUGGCGUCCACCACUCCCCUAGCCUGAAAAACAAGACUGGAGCGCUGAUUUUGCCCCUCCCCUGCCGGAAAACCCACUGGUUCUACUAUUGUUGGUCUUCGUCUCCGACUCUCCGGUCUGCUUUGCAGAUCUAACUUUUUUUUUUUUUAAACAACCAGGCCAAAACAACGUCGUUUUGGACCUGGUAAAAAAAUUUUAAAAAGAAAAAGAAAAAAAAAUGAAACGGGCAGUUUUGAUAAGUUGGAAGUCAAAAAAAAAAAUUAUAUAGGGGGACCGCGUGUCCCCCAUUCAUUCAAUCUCUUCCUUUCUCUCUCUGUUGUGUCGUUUUGCACCUUUCCCCUUUUCAUCCUCCAAUCACAGCAGCAAAGGGCAGCCAUUGCUCCCCUUUUCGAAGCAGAAAAUGGAACGGAACUUCUGCACAGCAGCACCGUUUGGCAUUAGACCAAUUAGCACUCAACAGCAGCACAGCGCCACUGCCAGGGCCCAGCUUCCAACCAUCAAACACAAUAUUUAGGUAAAUUUUUUAAUUCCCAAAUUUAUAAUCCCUAACCCUAAUUAAUUAUUUAAAAUGAAUUUUGUUUAAUUGGUAUAGAAUCAUAUAGUAAAACACUCAAUGCACUAAUAUGGUUAUAGUUAUUGAUUAUUGAUAUGAAAUUAUGAAAUUAUUUUUUAGGGUAAAAAUUAAAAUUUGAAUUCUCGAUUAUUUAUUAAUUAAUUGAAUUAUUACAUAAUGUAUUACAAUUAUUCAUGUGAUUAGUUGAAUUGAAUUUUUAUUUAUCGAAUAAUUGUUUGUUUAUUGGUAUUGAUUAAUUGAAUUGUUGGUUGGAUUAGUUAUUAUGCAUACUAUAGUAUAGUCUACUCUAGGAUUAAGAGUCUAAGAAUUUUUUUUUUCUUUCCAUUUUACAGUUAUGUAAUGGAACGAUACUAUAAGAAACAAUGCUUAAAUCCUCCUUCAAACAUUUCGGGUAGUCCUUCUCCUUCAAACAUUUCGGGUAGUCCUUUUCCUUCAAAUAUUCCGAGUAGUCCUCCUCCUCCUUCAAAUAUUCCAAGAAGUCCUCCUUCGAAUAUUCCUAGUAGGUCACAACAAAGUAAGGCCACUGAGUUGGAUGAAAUAUUAGCUAAUCUUCCUGCAGACCCUGGACAUAGACGUCAAAUGCUUGAUUAUCCACCUAAUUAUCGUGAAGCAAUUCGUAGACACUAUCUCCAAAAUGAUCCUUGUCAACCUAGAGACCACAUCAUGCCAAGAAAAGUUUGUGACAAAAGAUGUUUUAUCAUCGGUUGGUUUGAUAAGUUUAAGUGUUUGGAGUAUAGUAUAUCAAAAAAUGCUUCAUUUUGCCGUUAUUGCUAUCUUUUCAAAUGUGAUUUCGAUCAAAUGGGUAGCACUAGAAGUGAUGUCUUCACUAAGAAAAGGUUUACAAAUUAGAAGAAAGGACCUCAAAAUCUUCGAGUCCAUGAGGGAGGUGUUGGAAGUCUUCAUAAUAAAGCUGUACAAUAAGCUAGAGAUUUGAUGGCACAAAAACAACACAUUGAAACAUUUGUGAGUAAGCAAACCGAUGAAGCUCGCAUUAAUUAUCGUACUUUCUUGAAUGCCUCACUUGAGUGUACAAGAUGGUUGUUAGGACAAGGUUUGCCUUUUCGUGAUCACGAUGAAUCAUUCAAAUCAAGCAAUAGAGGUAAUUAUUUGGAGCUUAUGCAAUUUCUUUCCAAGCAUAAUGAGCAAGUUAGGAAAGUUGUGUUGAGAAUGCUCCCAAGAAUCUUAAGUAUACUUCUUCCGAUAUUCAAAAAGAUCUUGUCCGUGCUUGUGCCAUUGAAAUUAUAGAUGCAAUCACUAAAGAUAUGGAAGGUGCAUUCUUUUCUCUUUUGGUUGAUGGAUCACAUGAUUCUUCAACUAAAGAGCAAAUGGCAGUAGUAUUGCGUUAUGUGAACAAAAAAGGAGAAGCAAUUGAAAAGUUUUUGGGUGUACAACAUGUCACUUCUACAACUAGUAGCUCACUUGAAGAGGCUAUUGAGAGAUUUUUUGCUACAACAAAUUUGAGUAUGUCCAAGUUACAGGACAAAGCUAUGAUGGAGCUAGUAAUAUGAAAGGUGAGCUAAUGGCCUUAAAACAAAGAUUUUGAACAAGUAUCCUCAAGCAUUUUAUGUUCAUUGUUUUGCACACCAACUUCAACUAGCUCAUGUAGCCGUUGCAAAGGGAAUUGAGGGCGUCGCCAUUUUCUUCAACAAUGCUAGUAUCUUGGUCAAUACUAUUGGAUCAUCGUGUAAGCAUCGUGAUGCAUUUAGAGAGAAACAACUAGAACAAAUUACAAAAACUCUUGAUAUUGUUGAUCUUGAAAUGGGUAGAGGGUUAAAUCAAGAGAGCAGUCUCAUGUGUCUUUGUGAUAUACGUUGGAACUCACAUUAUGGUACUAUAAUGAGUAUUAUUGUCAAUUUUGAAGCUGUGGUGGAGGUGCUUGAAUGGAUUAAAGAUGAUACCAACCAAGACAAUUUCGAAGAAGCAAGUAAGUUAUUCCAUGACAUACAAACUUUUGAUUUUGUGUUUCACCUUUUUUUUAUGAGACACAUAUUGGGAAUUAUAGAUGAGUUAUCACAAGCAUUACAAAAGAAAGAUGAAGAUAUUGUGAAUGCGAUGGCAUUAGUGGAGGUAUGCAAGCAAAGAUUACAAUCCUUGAGAGAUGAUGAUUUUGGGAACUUGCUUGAUGAUGUACAAAAGUUUUGUGAAGAGCAUGAUAUUGUUGUUCCUAACAUGGAGGAUUUGCAUUUCGUACCCGAAAAAUCAAGGCGUAAAGCUCCAAGACUCACAAACUUCCAUUACUAUCGUGUGGACCUCUAUUUUCAAGUCCUUGAUACGCAAUUAAAGGAAUUGAAUGAUCACUUCGAUGAGGUAAACACUGAAUUGCUUCUUUGUAUGGCAUGUUUGAGUCUGGUGAAUAAUUUUGCAUCUUUUGAUAAAGCAAAAAUUGUUCAUCUAGCCCAACAUUAUCCUCAAGAUUUUGAUCGUAUGGACCUCAUAAAUCUUCCAAUUCAACUUGACAAUUACAUUCAUGAUAUGAAGAUGCAUAGUGAGUUUUCAUCAUUGAGAGGAAUUGUGAUCUUGCAAAGGAGUUGGUGAAGACCGGAAGGUGUGCAAGCUAUAUCUUAGUGUAUAAGCUUCUUACAUUGGCUUUAGUGUUACCGGUUGCAACCGCUUCGGUGGAGAGAGCUUUUUAUGCUAUGAAGAUUGUGAAAACACCAUUGCGUAACAAAAUGGGAGAUCAAUUGUUAAGUGAUAACAUGCUUGUUUACAUUGAGAGAGAUGUAUUUGCUUUUAUUGAUAAUGAGCCUAUUAUGCGACGUUUUCAUGAUAUGAAACCUCACCGGCAACAAUUGUAAUUGUAUUGAUAAAUUAUGGAAGACAUUACUAUAUAAAAGGAUUUGGUUGUUGCUAUUCUUUUGAACUUUGCAAUCUUUUAACUUCGCCCCUCCCCCCGUCAAUUCCUGGUUUCGCCACUGCAGGCCUAUGAAUUCACUCGCAACAAAAUUUGAAUUGAGAAAAAAAUUCAUCUUACACUAUUCUCCAAUGAAAUAAGAAAGGUCAAAAGGAGGGCAAAGUGAAUUUCUUUUAGCAAUAAUAACAGUUUUUUUUUUUUGAACAAACAAUAUAAUCCAUACUAAGGAGGUGAGGGAGGUGGGCUAAGCCUCACAAUGACUAACAAUAAUGUGGUUCAAAUUCUUCUUUGGUGAGAAUCGAACCUAAGAACUCUUACUUACAAGUGAAAAGGAAUACUACUAGACCGUAGUACUAAGUUGCCUAAUAAUAGUUCUUUUAAAAACUAUAUAUUUGAUUACAUGAACAAUAAAGUCAUUGUAUAAUUUAUAUUUAAAACUCAUAAAGAAAAUUAUUUAGGAAAUAAAAUUAUAUUUAAAGACAUUCAAGUUUUAUUAAUCAAUAUUGAAACAAUUGUGCAUAUUCCAUGAAAGCAUAUUGAUGAGAUUAUAAUAUAGUCUCCCACAUGAAAUUCUCAGAUCUAUUAAUUUCCGUGAACUUGUGAUACACAAUAAAUGUGUGAAUUCUCCAAUGGACUUCUGAUAAUUGUAAAUGAAAUCCAUUCUUAAGUUUAAACUGGAAAUGACGAAGCAACCAAGAAGAACAAAGUAGACCCAGGAGGAGCCAAUAACACACCAACACAAAACUAAAAUACUCACUAGAGAUACUCACAAAUAACCUCAAGAAAAUAGUAAGGCUAGGAGAACGGAGAUGGGCAGCCAUUGGCCACAAGCUAAAGAAAGGGGUCAGGAGCUGUGAAUUUUAUAAAUAUAAGAUUUUAGUAGAGGAAAGGAGAGAGACGCUAGCAGUAGUUUCUUAUAUAUUAGCAUUCCAAGAAUCCAUCCUUUUGACUUUUAUUAAUGUAUUUCUAGUACAAUUUUAAUAAGAGUAUUAUCGGAAAGUAAAUAUGUAUUUUACACUAAUAAGAAAGAUGUAAAUUUGGGAGCUCAUUUAUUUAUGGUCUCUUUUAACCAAUGAAAAUGGAUAUACAUAUUUUUUUAGUCCACCUCUUAAAAAUGUAAAUAUACAUUUUAUUCACAUGUUUACACUAAUCCUUUGAGAGCUUUCCAACCAAAAAAAAUUAAAUUGUAGUACACCACAUGCUAUUAUAUAAUUGGAAAAAAAAAUUAAUUUUUCAAGUGUUAUUCUAUUUGUAUAAUGAUAUGUGUUAUAUUACUUUGUGUUUUGUGCACUGAAAAAUAUCUCGUAUCAGAUAUGCUAGUGGAGUACCAAUUUGGGGUUGUUGAAAUUAAUUUUUUUUUGUCAAAGGGUUGUUGAAAUUAUUUAAAAGAAUAAAUUGUAGCAAUGGUACCUCAAUUUUAAUGAAAUUAGAGCAAUGAUUCUUCAACUAAAAACCUAUUAUCAUUCGUCCUUCAACUCAUCAAAACGUGUAGCUGUGAUCCUUUUCGUCAACUUGGUCAAAAUGAAUUAUGUUGGAAGGACCAUUGCUACAAUUAGAUUAAAGUUUAGGGACCAUUCUCCAAUUGGAUUAAAAUUGAGAGACCAUUUUUUCAGUUAAAUUAGAAUUGAAGAACCAUUGGUAAUAGAUUUUUAGUUGAGGGACUAUAGCUGCACGUUUUGAUGAGUUAAAAGACCAAUGCUAAUAGAUUUUUAGUUAGAGAUCAUUAUUUCAAUUGAGUUAAAGUUAAUUGACUAUUACUAUAAUUUACUAUAUUUAAAAAGCAACUUAUUAAAAAAUCUGGUGAAUGGUGAACAUUAAAGUUUAAUGAAAAUUUUAUGAGGAUAGCAGUACCCUGGGUUUUUAAUUAAAAUUACAGCCAGUAUCUUCGCUUCUCCUUUCCCCUUUCUCCAUGUCGUCCUUCAAAUCGAAGGUUGGCGACCUUCAAUUACCUGGAGAAAUCAACAAUAAGCCAUAAUUCCUUCAAUUAGAGGAUGCUCUGCUCGUCUUCUGCUGACUUUUCUUUAAAUUUUGAGCUUACAGUGCUCACAUGGGAACAUAGAGAGAGAGAGAGAGAGAUAAAGAGAGAGAGAGAGAGAGAGAGAUUGAAGUUUUUAUGGAAGGAAAGAAAUUUGAGCUUUGUGUAGGAUAGAGCAGGCGAGUGAGAUUGCAUGCGACGAAUCAGUUAGGUUUCUGACUUCAAAUGGCGCCGUUUGUGGUCUGAUCCGUCCGAGUUAUGGAGAUCGGACAUUGGAGCUCCUAACUAGCAAUAAUUUGGAGCUGCAGAUUCGGUGAGAAAUUCAAAAUAUUUGGAAUGGCUAUGGGGAAACGGGAUGACACAGAGAGAUUGGGUGAUUAGGAUUGUGCCGUGGGCUGGGAGGUCGCGGCGGCGGCGGAAGGAACCCAGACAUAAAACCGUAUAAUUAUUAGAAAUAUUUAGAAAUUGAUGGGCUGGUAUUUGUUCAAUAAAUCUAUGGGCUGGAUAUAUGGGCUGGUGUUUGUUUAAUUAAUCCAUGGGCUGGUGUUCAAUAUGACUUGGAUUUAAGGUGAAAUUAUUAGAAAAUUUCUAUUAAACUAUUUGAUGGCACGUAAGUGCAGAAGCUGAAGAUAAACAUUGAAGAAGAUAAACAUCGAAGGAAAAAUGGGGAAGAUAAGAUUAUUAAAGAAAAAGGUUAGAUAAAUUAUCAUCCAACCUUAUGAUAUUUUCAGUCAUCUCUAUAUGGGCUUGUUUGACGGCCUGAAAGAUUUUGGACCUUAGAGAGAAAAUUAUAUUAAUAGGGAUUUGAAAGGUAAAACUUGUAACCUAUGUAUAAAGAUAAAUUAGAUAACAUAUUUUAUUGUGAAUUCAUAAUUCAUCAUUGUAGAUGUAAAUUUCUUUCUCCUUGUUCUUGGACAAAAUUGCACCUACAAAAUAAAUAACAACUUAGAUCAAGACCAAGAGCCUCACGCGCCCACGAUGAAUUAGGGGGGCUUUGGUCGAAAAACCUCUGAUGUCAAAAUUAGAAUUUUUAGAGAAAAUUGUUUGAAGAAUUUUGAGUGUUUAGCAAGAGUGAAACUUAGGUUUUUAAAGAAAAUAAGGAAGAAUAUAUAAGGCAUGGCCGGCCCCCUUGGGAGAGAAGAUGACCGGCCUCUUGUGUGUUUUUUUGGUGUAAUUGGUAGUUUAAUUAGCCAUUAAUAAAUUAAUUAGGUAAUAAAUCCAUUAAUUAGUUAAUUAACAUAAUUUAAAAGGAAUGUUUUAGGGGUUACCUCGUGGAGAAGAUAUGAUAAGGGACGGAUGAAAUAAGUUAUAAAUAAAUACCUAUUUGUGCACUUUUGACUUGAUUGUGAGAUGAUUGUCCACUGCUCGUGUGUAGUAAUUCCAGUGUGCCUCAAGGAUAAUUUUGUCAUUUUAACCCAACAAUCCACGUGUCGCCUCUUGAUUAUUUUUAGCUCCACAAUCAUGUCAUGUCCACUUUACUUUUUAACACAACAAACAACGAAUUAGAUUAAGGUCUAUUUUAACUAUUACAUGCUAACACAUAUUGUGCGAAAAAUUUCUUUUUAUUUUGUUUUGUAUUAUAAAGUGUUGAUUAUUUUAAAAAUUCUCGAAAAAGCUUACAUGAGGUGCUCAGAUCAGAGUCGAUCGUUUUCAAGUCGUAACCCUUUUCGGAGCUGUGGGGAAGAUGGUGGCUUGGUAGUUGGGUUGGGUGAUAUCCGCCUCUUAUGAAGCUUUUUCUAUUUUUUUUAUUUUUUAUUGUUAAUUUUCUUUUUAUUUGUUUGUUAUUAAAUUUUGUGGGAUUCACAUGUGUGUCACGUUAACAUUCUAACAGAAGUUUUGACGAAAAUAUAAUGGCAAAUUGAUUUGUAGCAUCCAAUUCAAAGGCUACACUGAUCGAUUUCAAUUUCAAAUGUCACCUUAAUUAGUGCGUCAAUUUCCGACUAUUUGCGUUGAAGACACAUUAUAGAAAAAUCUACUACACACACAACGUGUGGGGGGUGUUGAUUUGAACGCCCGGUGAAGUCACGGUAAGACCAAAACAUGUAGCCAGAAAAUUCGGUGUCUCGCCUUCCCAACUCGUUCGACCUAUGUAUGUGUGCUGAAACAGAGUCGAAAACAAACAACGCACGACAUUCUCAGUUUCUCAUCAAACUAAAUUAUUUUACGUUCUCUCUGUAAACCGUUGGAAUUUCUGUUCUUCUUUCGUCACCCAAGAACAGAUUACGUAAUUGAAUCAAGUUUUGAGUCUCAUUGUUUCCGUAAAUUAUGUCUCUGGUUUCGGUCAGAAUGGGUGCUCUGAGAACGUCAUUUCAAAUGCUGUUUGAUGCGGUAAAAUCAGCGCAGGAGGAGAAUACAAUGUUCCAACACCUCCUCGGAGACAUCAAAUCCACACUGGAAUCUCUACAACCACUCAUCAAAGACAUCGAAAAGUAUAACUCCAAGGAGGGGCGGGAAAAUUAUGCAAUACAGAUGGAGGAAGGAGCAAAGCUUGUUCAAAAGUGCAGCAAAGUUGGCGUGUGGAGAAAACACACAUACACCAAGAAGCUUAAUCAACUGGACAAAUCUCUUCGAAGAGUGUUUGAUGUGCUUAAACUGCAGGUUAUGAGGGUGCGAGGGAGACGUUGGUUCCUUUGAGGAAUAUCGAGACGGUGCUCUCUCGAAUAGAAGAGAGAUUGAAGAUAAAAAAUAACCAGCCUGAAAUGGUUAAAUGUUCGUCUGCGGUGCCUGAAGCGCCAUCAGUUACAGUCGGGUUGGAUUUGCCGUUGAAGGAGUUGAAGGUGAAGCUCCUUAAGGAUGAAAAGGUGUCUAUGCUUGUGCUGACCGCCGCUGGACGAUGCGGGAAAACCACCUUGGCUAAAAUGUUUUGUCAAGAUCAAGAAGUCAAAGGUAUGCUAUUUAUGAUUUCAACCAUACACAGUAACCAAAAUUUGUUAAAAGAAAAACAACGAAAGGGGACAUGAAACUAAAGCGCACGAAAGGAAUAUAAGAAAGAUUAGAAAGACCUAUAUUCUCUGUACUAAAGUUAAGCUGAUGCCUUCCUUUUAUUAACACCUUUCCUACAUUCUGUUUGAAUAGAUACAUUCAAGAACAACAUCUUCUUUGUCAAUGUCUCGAAAAAACCCAACUUGGACCUUAUUGUACACGAACUAUAUCAACGGAAGGGGUCCGAGCUGCCUGCUUUCGAAAACGAAGACAUGGCAGCUAACUGGUUGCAACAAUUUCUGAUGGAAUCAAGACAAAAUCCUCUACUGUUUGUCCUGGAUGAUGUUUGGUCAGGAUCAGAGUCCCUUCUUGAGAAGUUUGAUCAAUUCAAGUUUUCAAAUUACAAGAUUUUGGUCACAUCAAGAUUUGCAUUUCCAAGAUUCGGUUCUCCUUAUCAUUUGGCACCAUUGAAUGAUGAAGAUGCAAUGGCUCUUUUUCACUAUUCUGCAUCCUUGGAAGAUAAGAGCUCUUAUACUUACGAAGAUCUUUCGAGAAAGGUGAUUUCUUAGUCCACAAUACACACACACACACACACACACACACACACACACAUAUAUAUAUAUGCUUAUUUAUGCCUCAGAAGAAGGUAAAGAAUAACAUUUGAGCAUCCACACACGUUAAUGAACUGUGAAGAGUGAAGUAAGAAGAAUGAAAGACUAGACAGUUUACAAUUUUAUCAUCUAUACGAAACCAUAGUAAUUGAAUUCAUUUUGGAUAAUGAUAUUGCAGAUUAUCAAGCGCUGUAAGGGAUGCCCACUUGCCAUUGCAUUGGUUGGGAGAUCACUUCGCGGCCAGCCUAUAGAAAUCUGGCACAAAAGAGUAGUGGAAUGGUGCAAAAGUUCAUCUAUUCUUGAUUCUGACAAGGAUUUACUUGCUUGCCUCCAAAGCAGCUUAGAUGCCUUGGAUAAAGAGAAGGUUAUCAUCAAGGAAUGUUUCCUCGAUCUAGGUUCUUUUCCGGAGGACCAAAGAAUUGCUGCUGCCGCUCUCAUUGAUAUGUGGGCGCAGUUAUAUGGUCUAGAUGAAGAAAUUCUGACCAUUGCCAACCUUCACGAGCUCACCGCUCGAAGUUUAGCUAAUCUUGUUGUCACAAGGUAUGCAGGCUGCUCAUAAUUUUUUCUAUUUAAUUAUGUAUGCCGAACAAAUCAUUAAAGAAAGUAGUAUUGAUCAUCCAGACAUGAGGGGGAGACAGAUGGCUAUUACACUGAACACUUUGUCACCCAGCACGACAUGCUUAAGAGAGUUGGCGAUCCAUCCGGCGAGUCAAGACCCAGCACGACAUCACUUGAUUUAGUUGAGUAUUGAAGAAGUUACGGACGUUUAAAGUUUACCCAGUUUCCGGCGAGUUUUCUAGUUUUCCCUUGGACCAGUCAACUUUGAGGCUGUUGUCUGACCAUCUCUGGCAACCAUUGGGCUUCUAAAUAGGUAUAAUCUUAUUCUACACUUUCCUAUCUUCAUUUUGAUAUUAUGGAUCGAAUUUGAUUAAGAAACAAUUGAGUUACGAGGCUUUGAAAAUUGCCCAAACUUCCGGCCAAGAGCUCCGGGACACUGAACGGAGUUUUUAACAGAUUGACCACUAUGAUGGAUAGUGAACAAUCUCAGGGACCACUUCUAUUGAUUUGAAAUCUCAGGUACCCAAAUGAGGAGUUAUGCAAAUCUCAGGGACCAUUUUGGCUAAAAAGCCUAUUGUAAAUAACAUGUUUGCACUCCUCAUUGUUCAACUCUUCAUUGAUUCUCUUUGAUUUAUCCAAUCAAUGGGUGUUUGUGCAAUGUAUGCAGAAAAUAAGGGCAUGGAAAGAAAAUAAGAGUUAAAAAAUAACUUCCCUUUGAUUUAUCCAAUCAAUGAGUGUUGGUGCAAUGUAUUAACUCUAUUGGUUGUUUCUCCACUCUUUCUCUUGCUGAACCUCUUCAUUCCCUUUCAGUUAAAUAGGCCAUUAAAUUAAUGUUUUAUUUUAAGGGUAAUGCUAAAGACAUUAAAUUUGUAGACAAAAUUUUGCAAACUAAGUGACAUAGAAGUUGAUGAUUAGAUUAUGGCUUAAGUGUAGAUAAACGUGCUUAAUCAUAUUGGUAACAUAUCAUUUAGUUUACAAAUUUUGUCUCUAUAACAUUACUCGUAUUUAAAACUAUUUAUUCAAGAGCACAACAUUUUUUUUACUAUUUUAUUUUAAACUAUUUAUGCUACAGCACAACAUUUUAAAAGCAGUGCAAUACCAAAUCAUAUGUACUAGAAAAUUAUGUAUCUCCUCGCCUCCUAAGAGCAAGUCCACCCCUGUGGACUUUGCGCCAGCACCCAGCGCAUUUAUCCACUCAAAUGAACAGUAACAGACUCCAAUGAACAGUAAUAGGCCAAGGCAUCUCCACCCCUAAAACUAAAUAGCCUAGUCAAUUUUAUUAAAAUAUUAUUAAUUUUUAUUAUAAAAUAAUAAUUUUUAUUAAAGUACUCUUUGGACUCCAUUCUUCUUUUUCUUCCGUGAUUUUCCAACUGUGCUGUCAAGCACAGUUUCACCACUUUUUCUUCCCUUCUUCUUUUUCUUCUCUUCAAACCACCAAAACCCAUGUGAGAUUAGCCAAGUUCAGCCCUACCCCACGAGCUGCAACCACCAAACGAACCCGACGACCCACAAUCCCACCCAACCUUCCUCCCCGAUCCCCUCACCCACUGGUGCGCCAACCAAAACUGCAAACCCUUCGCCGUCGAUCCUCUCGAUCCCCGGAGCUCAUCCGAUUACGACUGGUUCUCCGACGCCGCCUCCGAUUCAGACCAUGACGUCAGCUACUUCGUCACCGAUCUAUUCAAUCGCUGCAGCUCCGAGCAACAGCCCAAGACCGAGAGGGAGAGUUUUGGAUAUGGAAGCUCGAGUUGGGGUGGUGGUGGAAGGAAAGCAGAGAGCUUCGAAUUCAGCUCAAGGAGAUAUGGCGGUAUCACCUGGCAUCAUGUAGGCCGGGCAAGAGCUCAGCACAUUCUGAGCCGGCCUAGAGACCAGCUUGGGCUGGGUGCCAGCCUAUCUGCUCGGCUGGAAUGGAUUGGCUGGGUGUCGGGCCAAUAAUUUGGCUGGGUGCUGGCCUAAAGGUUCCCCGGUGGAACUGCUCUAAUAACGCGUCAAAUGUCUUUCCCAGCUCGUUCGUUUUCUUUGGGUGAAAUUCAUUGCUCGUUCGUUAAGUUGUAUAUAUGUGUGCUAAAACCAACAAAUAGCUUACAUAUCAUUCUCACUUUCUCAUCAAACUAGAUUAACGAAGAGGAUUAAGGGCCAGUUUAGGAUUGCUGUAUUAAAAAAAACUAAUUAUGUUAUGCUUUAAGAAUAAUCAGCUGUAAAAUAAAGCUGAUGACCGUUUGGUUAAUUGAAUUUUAAAAGUGUUGUGAAUAUGAAAAGCAACAUAAAAGCGUUUGGUAAAAUUUAAUGUAAAAGUGAUAUGAUUGUAUACAAUGAUAGAUGGACAUAGUAGUAGGAGUGGGGGCAACGACAACAGUGGUGGUGGUGGUGGUGGAGGUGGUGGUUGCGGUAGAGGUGGUGGUGGUGGUGGUGGUGGUGCUAAUAGUGGGAUGUGUUGGUUGAGGUGGAAAGGUAACACUAGUGGCAAGGCGUGGUGGUGCUAAUAAUGGGAUGUGUUGGUUGAGGUGGAAAGGUAACAUUGGUGGUAAGGUGGUGGCAGUGGUGGCGAUUGCGGUUAUGGUGGUGUCGGCAGUGGCGGCAAUGAUGGUGGCAAUGACAGUUGUGGUUGUGAUGGCAAUGGUGGCAGUUGCAGUAAUGGUGGUGGUGAUGGUGUUUGCGAUAGCAGCAUCGAUGGUGGUAGUAGUGGUGGUGGCAAUGGCGGCGGUGCGAUAAUGGUAGUGAUGGUGGUGACAAUGAUGGUAGUGAUGAUAGUGGUGGAGGUUGUGGUCAUGGCAGUGGUGGUGACAAAAUUGGUGGUUGUAAUGGCGAUGAUGGCGUAAAGUUAGUAUUUGUAGUGGUAGGUGGUAGCGUUCACUUUAUUCUCUAAGGAAUAAAAUGUGUGUGGAAGGCUAAACAAUGUCAUUUAAAAAAAAUUAAUGAAUGUAUUACAGCAAUUAAAAAUAAUUAUUAUAGACCCAACUUUGCUUUUUAUUAAAGCAACUUACAUGCUGCUUUUAAAAACUGAUGUAUGAAGCCCAUUGUUUGGAGUCUCUUUGUUUUGGUAAAUAUGUCUCUUGCUUCAGUCGGAAUGGGUGCUCUCAGAAUGGCAUUUGAAAUGUUGUUUGAUGCUGUAAAAUUAGCGCAUGAGGAGAAUAAAAUGUUCCAACACCUCUCCCGAGACAUCAUGUCCACACUCGACUCUGUACAACCACUCAUCAAAGACUUCGAGAAAAGUAUAACUCGAGGAGGGAGCAAGCUUUCAACAGUUGUUACUUAAUCUCAGUGGCAUUCCUGAAUCUAGAAGAAAUGUACAUCGACUAUUGCAGUGAUUUAAUAGAGUUGCCUGCCGAGAUUUGUGAACUUAGUAAACUAAAGAAGUUCAGUGUCACUGUCAUAAGCUGUCUGCCAUACUUGAAGGGAUUGGAAAGUCGAAAAAUUUAGAAAUGUUGAGGCUAAGAUCCUGCACAGAACUGUCAAAGCUUCCAACCACGAUGAAGAACCUUGGAAAGGUAAAAUUUCUUGACAUAUCUGUAUGCUUUAGCAUCAAGAUGUUGCCCAAAGACUUAGGUGAAAUGAGUAGUUUAAAGAAGAUCAACAUGAGACAAUGCUCAAGGUUGCAAGAGCUGCCUCCAUCAGUCAUGGAUCUUAAGCAGUUAAAGGAAGUAGUCUGUGAUGAAGAGACAAAAUACUUAUGGGAAUAUUUCUCAUUGUGUCUCAAUAACGUAAGGAUAAUUGUGGCCAGAGAGAAUAUCAACCUAAAUUGGAUCCACAAGACUCAGUUCUGAUACCUGUGUUUCCUCAGAGAACGUUGCUAUUCAACCUCUCUUGACUUGUGUUUCAUUGUCUUCCUAUUUUAGGCUAUUUCCCAUCUCCUUUUCAGUUUACGCCCUUCAUUUCGUAAAUGUGGGAUAUUGCAAGUUAUAAUCAUUUGUCGUUAAAUUAGAACUAUUUUGACAACCUUAAGAAAUUUUCUAAACUUGUGAAAUGUGAAGAGAAAUUUAAUAUCUAAGCAAUAAGUUUAAUGUGAAAAUUGUUUUAUCAGAUGGAAAAUGUGGUUUGUGCUUUUAAUGGGACUUUUUAAACUCUACUCUAACAUAGUUUCACAAUCAAUCCCUAUACACAGUUUCUUAACCUUUUGGUUUGAAAAUCUGUAUGUAUAAUAAUUCAACACCACCAUCUGAUUCAUGCUCUCCAAAAUAAAUUUUAUAAGUAAAAGGAACCAAAAAGAGAAGGUUGAAGAUUCUCCAUAAGACAAGAACUUUUAUGCCACGGGGUCAAGUGUUAAUCUUGUCCUCGAUAAGUUUUUCUAGUAUCUAAACUCACAUUUGUUGGUCAAGUUUCCAGAACUGUGUUCAUAUAUAAUCUGGAUUCAUUACCAAAUCUAGAGGAAUUGAUUGUUAUUGACUAUUGCGAUGAAUUGGUCUCAAACUAUGUUUUCCAACCAACACAGAUUGAUCAGCCUUUUUUUUUUUUUAAAUAAAAAACUGUUUGAUUAGCUUAAACUUAUUUUUCUUGUUCAAACUUUUAAUAGUUAAACUAAUAAAGAAUGGACCAUAUUUUCUUUCUUUUAAAAGUUGUUCACAUAGAAGUGGUCAUUGACAAAGUAGAUAAUGAAUAAACAUUGUAAUUUGGAUGAAAUUACACAAAUUCAAUACUUUAAUUAGAUUUAUAUACUUUAAAUGAAAAUAAAUAAAUUUAAUAUUCUUAGAGAAGGGCACAAUAGAAAUUUCACAACUAAGAAUCGAUUAUAGCAUGCCAAUACUUAAAUAGCCGACUUGGCUUUGUAAUGGGAAGGGUACAAAGAAAUUUCACAACUAAAAAUUAAUUAGAUCAUGACAAUUAGGUAGAUGAGGGGUUCUUUUCUCCAAAUGAACUCUUGAAGUAUUUUUAUAGAAAACUUAUAGUUUUGAAACAAAUAAUUGUACAUUAGAAAAAGAUAGCUCAUAGUUUCACUGAAAAAGAGAGUUGAUUUUUAUUAAUUAGCAUUGAAGAUUUUGCCUAUUAAAAAGAUGUGGGUCUCAUCUUUUUAAUAGAGGUAUGACCCAUCAAUACAUAUUAAUCUCAUCUUUAAUAACAUUUUUUUUGCAAAAAUUAUUAGGCACUGCUUCCUAAUAAAGUAAACAAGGUCAAAGGAGGACAAAGUGGUUUUCUUUUAGCACUAAUACUCUUUUCGAAACUAUAGAUUUGAUUGUAUGAACAAUAAAGUCAUUGUACAAUUUAAAUUUAAAACUCAUAAAGAAAAUUAUACAAGGCAUAAAAAGUUUAUUAAUCAACAUUGAAACUUUUGUGCAUAUUCUAUGAAAACAUAAGGAAACUUUACUAUGGUCUCCUCACAAGAAAUUCUCAACUCUUUCAUUUUUCGUGAAUUUCUGACACACGCUAAAGGGGAUGAAUUCUUCAAUGAAAUUUUGAUACGCAUAAAAAUGAGACCUAUUCGUAAGUUUAUUGAAAAUAAUGAAGCGCAUAUGAGUACUCCAGCCCAUAAUACAAUUUCCUUGUGUUUUCAUAGCAUAUGCACACAAAAUAUAAUGUUGAAAAAUAAGUUUUAUUUUUUAUGUAUAUAAGUAUAAUAUUUUCUCAUCUUCUAGUACAAGUUUUGUGCAUAUUCUACAAACCCAAAAAAUAAAUUAAAAAUCAACAUCUUAGCAAUAUUUUCUCAAAAAAAUUAAAUAAAAUAAAUUUCACGGUAAACAAAUAUACUUUUCCACACUAAAUUUUGCAAAUAUUCUAUGAAAAUAUAAGGAAAUUACACUAUGGUCUCAUCUAAAAAAAUUCCAAGAAAUUCCUAGCUCUAUCAUUUUUCGUUAACCUAUAAUUCAUGCAAACGAGAUCAAAUUAUCAAAGGACGUAUGAUACACGUAAAUGAGGUCAAUUUAUAAGUGCAUUGAACAUGGCAUAUCAUGUGAAUGGGAAUAAAGAAGCAUAUAAGUUUCUUAUGUUUUCAUGGCAUGUGCACAAAAAGUUUUAUUGGUGUUGAAAAUUUUAUAAUGUAUAUAAGCAUAUUUUCUCAUCUUGUUGUAUGCUAAAAGGAGCAGAUAGCGGCAUCUUCAUAAUAAAUUCUCUAACUAACUUACACCAAGCUUAUGAAUUCACUCGCAAAAAAAAAAUUUGAACUGAAAAAAAAAAAAUCUUACACUAUUCUCUAAUGAAAUAAGAAAGGUCAAAAUGAGGGCAAAGUGACUUUCUUUUAGCACUAAUAAUAUUUUUUUUUUUUUUGAAUAAACGAUAUUAUCUACCCUAAGAGGGUGGGGGAGUAGGCUAAGCCUCACAAUAGCUGGCAGUAAUGUGGUUCAAUGUGGUUCAAAUUUGUCUUUUGUGGAAAUCGAACCUAAGACCUCUCACUUACAAGUGAAGAGAAACAUCACUCAACCGUAGUACUAAGUGGCCUAAUAUGUCACACCCCGACCCGGAAUGUCCAGUAGGACUCCGAAUCGAGCUGUGCUGACCGACACCUGGAAGGUGACGAAGUCAUAAAAUGUGAUGAUGUGGAAAAAAAAUGAAUAAAUUUAAACCUAAAAGUGCAUAAAUACAACAGUGCGCCGCGAACGGAAAUGAACCCAUUUCACACGUGACGUCAAAGCAUAAAUAAAGUACAAUAGAGUGGAUUGAAAAUCAUACCAUCAAAGGUAAUCUCCAAUACCAAGACUUGCCAUGAAUCCUCGUCGAUAUGAAAGCUUUGCUACUAGACUUGGAGGGACAAAACAAGAGUAAGUGGCCAGAACAUAAAGCUUUAAUAAAGACCUUCUAAACGAUAUAAUCCCUCACCGUAACACCUGUUUAGCUUCCAAAAAAUCAUACUACGGAUAAGUAUGAAAUCAAAAGUAUACUAACAUUAAAUCCAGAAGUAUACCACGACACAGCAUCUCAAUAACAAUAUAAAUAAUCAAGUGCUUAAUAACCCAUACUAGCACGCCAACCAUAUCUCAUCAAUCAAUACUAACACAUAAGUCGGAGUCACCUGUAGUGACCUGUACAACUUAUCCACAUCUCAUUAAUCAAUGCUAGCUCAUAAGUCGAAGUCACCUAUAGUGACCUAUACGACUUAUCCAUAUCUCAUCAAUCAAUGCUAGCUCAUAAGUCGGAGUCACCUAUAGUGACCUGUACGAGUUAUCCAUACCUCAUCAAUCAAUGCUAGCUCAUAAGUCGGAGUGACAUAUAGUGACUUGUACAACUUAUCCAUAUCUCAUCAAUCAAUGCCAGCUCAUAAGUCGAAGUCGCUUAAAACAUCAUAUAGUCAUGCCAUCACUCGAUCGUUCCAAAUAAAAUGUAAUCAUAAUUAUGCAUCCCACAUUUCACAACAUAUACUCACCUGAACUUAUCUAUGCAUCCUGCACUCACCUUCGUACUUUAAAGCAUUCAUAAUAAUUAUGUGCAAUAUAUACUUAUGGACAUGCCUUGAUGCAAUUCAAAACUUAACCAUAUCAUAGUGCUUCCAAAUAUAUAUAUAUAUAUAUAUAUAUAUAUAUAUAUAUAUAUAUAUAUAUAUAUAUAUAUAUAUAUAUAUCAAUACUGUGGCGUAAAAUGCACAAUCUAUAACGCCCUACUCCCGAACUAUUAAUUUUUAGGAAUAAUUAUUGGUGACAAGCUCAACUAAACAUUAGUUUAACUAACUAUCAAUACUUACAAUUCUUUACUUCAAAUUCUCGAUCCUUCACACAAUGAUUUAUGACCAACAUCCAAUCACUAAAUCAUAAGGUUAACUCUCACAUUUUCCACCAAUGUCCCUCACCUUGCACAAUUUCCCAAACAAGGCUAUUGCCUCAAUUAUUUAAUCUCAUUUAUGUUAUGGCUACAUCUAACGUCUCGUUAGACUGCCUACGUACCCUAAACAGAAAUCAAGCCAUUCGUAGUUCGCAUUAGUACUUCACAGCAUUCACAGUAAUUAUAUGAAAUAAUCAAUUUAUAAGCAUUUGUGGAAUUAUCAAUAUAUAUAUAUAUAUACACACACGAUAGAAAGGAAGAGACCCACUCACCUGAGGUCCGCGCUAUGACUCCCUAGCAUGAAUAUUGCGACAUCACGAACCAUCAUCGCCUAUAACAAUUAUCAAAUCACGUCUCAAAGUUCUUAUCAAUAAAAUAUGCAACUUACAUAACAUACAUCCCUGCGUAGUUCGAUUCGGAAGAUCCGCAUCACGGAUUUCCGAUCCCUUACUUCCAAAGAUCCACAUUAUACUUCUAGAACAACAUCCUAAAGUUCCAUUACGAUCCAACAGUCGGAUUUCCACCAAUUGCCAAAACCAAGUGGCGGUUAAUAUUUUAUUUUAUGAACUUAAAAAUCCAAUUCGGGAAGAUCCGUAUAUUGGAUUCCCGAUCCGUAAGUUCCUAUGGCCCUUAAAUAUCACGUACUAUAACAUAUUAAAGUUUGGGGACAAUCCAAUAGUCGGAUUGUCGAUUCAAAUAAUGACCUAUUAACGUAACAUAGAGAAUUUAGGUUCCAACAAUCAACCUACAUCAUACAAUUACCAAAACUGAGCUCAAGGUAUCUAAUUUAGCCUAAGAAUAACAUCGACUGCCCCCUGGCCACGCGACACCGCACGCACCGCCGUGGGUGGCAGUCGACCGCCCCGACUCGCCGGAAAAUCCAACUAUUUCCAAAAAUUACCAAAAUUUACAAGAAUGAAGAUCUCAAUGAGUAGAGUAAACUUUAUACAUGUGGCCAAUUCCAAUUUGGCCGGGAAAAGCUUCAAUUUCACUCAAACCUGCCGAAACCUAGAAAAUGGUGUGCUCCAAUUCGACCUCCAUACUCAUUCUGACGCCUCGACCAUUGCUUGGGCUUUAUGGUAAUUGGUUGGGUUAGCUUCAAUUUUUUACUGAUUGUCUCCAUACACCCACAGGGCCCACCGUCGGUUUUUCCUCCAAAAUACCACCAAAUUCUUCUAAUUUUGGGAUGAAAAUGGAAGAGAGAGAGUUAUGGUGGUAUUUCCAAGUAGUGAUUCAACACAAUUCACCGGAAAUUGGCCGGAAAAUGCACGAAUUUGGCCUUGAUACUCGGCCGGGUCGCACGGGUCAAGAAGGAGACCCGAUUUCCCCCUCUUUCUCACCUUCCUUCCUUUCCCUCCUUUCCUUUCUCUCUGGUUGGUCAGUCUCAUCUCUUCAUUUCCUCCGAUUGAGCAGCAGCCCUUCUGUCUUCUCUCUCCCGUUCCCCCCACUUCUUCUUUCUCUUUUUCAACUUUUAAAAAUCACUAAAUGAUAAAUAAAAUAUAGACAUUAUAAAAAUAUAUAAAUAGUGACUAAACAAAAGUACUUCUCGGGUUUACAGUUCUGUAAAACUUUAACCGUAACCCUAAAUCCUUUUCUGCUUACACCUAUGAGUCCGUAAUGUUGAGUACUUCAGGAAAACGCUAAAGGAUUAAUUCAUACACCUCGAUAUACGUUGGUCAACGGAAGUCAAGACCCUCGCCUCUAAGGGCAUUUUCGUAAAAACACACUUUUAAAUUUUGUAAAAACAUAAGAUUAGGGACGGGUCGUCACAUAAUAAUAGUUCUUUGAAAAACUAUAUAUUUGAUUGUAUAAACAAUAAAGUCAUUGUUUAAUUCAUAUUUAAAUUAAAACUCAUAAAGAAAAUUAUAAUUGUCACGCCCCAAUCCCGACAUACGUCCAAGAUCGACAUGUGAUGUUAGCUCAUCCCUGUUUAUUUAUCAUGUCUCGUCUCUGAGACAAUUCCAAAACGCAAUCAAUGAUUCAACCAAGCAGUGACUUUCCUUUAUUUCAUGGCUGAAUCUAACCUUUGCGUUAGACCCCAUACGUACCCUAAAUAGGGAUCAAGCCAUUCGUAGUUCACCAUUUACUACACUCUGACGUUUAUCAUAGUACAUUCUAACAGAAGGGCAUAUCAUCCCUCAAUCAAUUAUUAGAACUGGAAAAGCAUGAAAUUACUAGAUUCAGGGCUACAUAAUAAACCCACAUGACAAUCAAGAUUUCCACUUCAUCCAUCAUAUAAAUCACUAUGUUUCAACAUAAUACUGCAAUUCAUAGCAUGCAACAUCUAAAAGAACAAUCAACGAAGCGCAAUAUUAUUCUCUAGUCACAUUGGUCAAUGAGUCUAAUCGUAAUAAUAACAAUCAUAUCCAAUAUCGUUCCACAAUCACUCCAAUUAAUCAAUUCCAUGAAUCAAAGAAGAACGAUAUUAACAUUUAACUACGUUCAUCAAUCAAUAAGAUAACAUAUUAAUUCACAAAAUUUAAUAAAGGAAUCCUAUAUAAUUUCCUACUUGGAUUCCAAGUAAUAACAUGAUAAAUCUAAUUUAUAAACACAAUGUCUACUGUGAGCAAUUCCUAUUCACUCGAAUCUAGGGGCCGGACUAACUUUAUGGAAAUGAUAAAGAAUAAGGAUUCCGGACACUCACCGGAAUCCAACUAAAUUAUGGUUGCCUAUCAAACUAUACUAACCCUCAUCACCCCUGGAAUGCGUAUGGUCCCCAAUUGUGGAUAUACCAAGCAGAACCAUAGGCAUAAUCUAAGCGUGCAGGCAGUGAUCACCCAUCAUGGAUAUACCAAGUAUGAUCACCCUUGAAAUACGUAUGGUCCCCCAUCGCGGAUAUAACAAGCAGGACCGUAUCCUAUAGCUCUAGGUAGUGAGCACCCAUCGAGGAUAUACCAAGCAUGGUCACUCCUAGAAUGCGUGUAUGGUCCCCCCAUUGUGGAUAAACCAAGCAGAACCAUAUGCAUAGUCUAAUAAUGUAGGCAAUGAUCACCCAUCGCGGAUAUACCAAUCAUGAUCACUCCUAAAAUGUGUAUGGUCCCCCAUUGCGGAUAAACCAAGCAGAACCAUAAGUAUAGUCUAAUCGUGCAAGCGGUGAUCACCCAUCGCAGAUAUACCAAGCAUGAUCACCCUUGAAAUACGUAUGGUCCCCUAUCGUGGAUAUACCAAGCAGGACCAUCCUAACCACUGCUACAUGGUGCAGUCACAUCAAUACACAACAAGCACCAAAUUAAUAUGAAUCAUAAUUCCUAGCAUACACACCAUCAAUUCGACAAGACAACGAUCAUUGAAUCACAUCAUACACAUUCUAUAACAUGUGUCUAUGCCGAAAUAUAUAAAAUUAACUUUUUUUUACCAAAAUAAUUGUACAUACAUGAUUGUACCACAAUAUAUUAUAAUGAACCUAAAUGUAUGUACCAAAAUGUAUUCUAUAGAAUUAAUGUACCUAAAUGUUAGUACCAAAAUGUAUUCUAUAGAAUUAAUGUACCUAAAUGUUAUGUACCGAAAUAUAGUAUAUUAAAUUAAUGUACCUAAAAGUCAAUACUCAAAUGUGUGUACCAAAACGUACGUACCGAAAUGCAUUAUAUUGAAUUAAUGUACCUAUAUGUUUGUAUCGAUGAAUAUACCUAAAUAUUCAAAUGUAUUAAUGUACCUAAAUGAAGAACAUACAAAAUUGUUAUCAGAAUAUAUAUUAUAAAAAAAUUAGUUGCUUAAAUGUAGACAUUAAAAUAUAUUAUGAUGAAUGAAAUAAAAAUUAAAUUUAAAUGUAAUUAAUACAUUAAAAUAAAAAUAAAAAGAUAAAUAAAACAUCAAAAUAUAACUAAUAAAUGAGAUUAUUAAAUGUACUAGGCAUUAGAGCAUCUCCAAAGGAGAUGUCUAAAUUGCCAUGUAGGCAUACAACAAUAAAAAAUGGUAGCAAACUCUCUCCAAUCGAGCCUUCAAUUUCUUACAUGGCGCUGAGUCAUUUGAAGGCAAAGCAUUUUGCUGUUAUGUUUUUGAAAUAUUUGAUUGGUUGCCUUAAUAAUUGGACUCCACAAAAAGAUAAAAAAUUUAUUAAAUGACAUUAUUAUUUACUAUAUCGGAUGGAGCAAAAUAUUGUACAAAAUGUCAAAACUGCCACAUAAGCUAUCAACUAUCAUUUUUUAUGUUUAAAAUUUGACAUCUCCUUUGGAGAUGCUUUUACAAAGCAAAUCACAUCCAAAAACAUUGAAAGGAAGAAAUCAUUAAAGUAAAUAAGCAAAUGUGCAUCCACAACCCAAUUAAAAAAAAAUAAAGGAAACCACUUACAUAGAAAGGAAUCUCAUGAGAAGAGAAUUAAACUUCUCCCUUGGCUUAAAGUCAGAUUUCGAUGAAUUGGUCGGAAUUUUUUGUUUCUCCGUCGGGUGCUUCUUUUCUUGCCCUUGUUCUGCCCUGCGUGGUCAUUUCGAAGGAAAAUCGGGGUGGUAAAUGUGUUAGGGUUAUUGAUGCUUAGAUUGAUAUAAGAUUUGUCGAAAACGAUAACCGAAUGAAAAAGAUGUGAAGAUUUGAAGUUAGAGGAGCCAAAUGGAGAAGAGAAAAAAAAAUCAAGAACAGCAGCAGAGCUGCUAGUUUCACACGCAGUUCGAAUUUACCAAAAUCCCCUUUUAUUUAGAAAAUUCGUAAAUUUCUCGUUCGAAUUUCAAACUCCAAUUUGUUUGCGCUUACGUGUUCAUAGUAACAUGUACUAUCUAAUUAAAUAUCCGAAGAACAAUAGAAAAAUAUGAAAGGAUCAAAUACAUCCAUGUAAAAUCUCGUUUAGCACAAGAGGGGCAUCUUCAUCUUUUAACCAUUUCAAGAAAAAAUUAAACGCAGCAAAUAUAAACGCGUCGAAACUAAGAAUACAAAAUACCUAAUUUUAAAUCGUGAAAUCCGGAGAUGGGGGUUCACAAUAAUAUUUUAGGAAAUACAUUUAUGUGGAGCCAAAAAUAAUCACAAGGCGACACGUGGAUUUUUUAGUGAAAGAGGACCAAACUACCCUUGAGGCACACCGGGAUUCCUACAUGCGAGCAACUCAAAAAUGCUCCAAAGAGGUAACAAUUCAACAUUCAUCUCAUCAAAUUCCCUUUUUUGCAAAGUAACCUCCAAAAUAAUAUUAAUUGGUAAAUUAAUAGAUUAAUUAUCCAAUUAAUCCAUUAAUUACCUAUUAAAUUAUACAAUUUAACCUAAAAAUUGUUAAAGGGCUGGCUACUUCCUUUUCAUCCUCACCUUUCUCACUUUUCUCCAUUUUAUUAACCCAUUUAUACAAAUAAAUAAUUUUGUAACCUCCCGCCGAGCAGCCCAUUCUCGUGGCCCAGCCUGCUCCCGCCGAGCAGCCCAUUCUCGUGGCCUAGUCUGCUUCCACGGCCCAGCCUGCUUCUGCCGAGCAGUCCACUCUCGCGGCCCAGUCUGCUUCCGCCGAGUAGCCCACUCUCAUGGCCCAGUCUGCUCCCGCGGCCCAGCCUAUUCCUGCUGAGCAGCCCACUCUCGUGGCAUAGCCUGUUUCCGCCAAGCAGCCCACUCUCAUGGCUCAGUCUGCUUCCGCGGUCGAGCCUACUUCCGUAGCAUUCCAAGCAGCCCAAAUCGGCUCAAGACUAUUUCGACCAUUCGGACCAACCAUCAAGCCGAGGGCAUUUUCACCAUGUUUCUCUGUGGAUUUGACAUUUCCCAAUUUAAAUCUCGCGCCCGGAGCCUACCACACUUCCACUGCUCAAUGAGGCACAUUCCUUCCAAGCUCUUUCAAUCCAAAUGGCAAACAACACUUGUCUCGACAAGUUAUAGAGUUGAUGAGCGCCCUUGCACAACAAACGACCUUGGUGAAUCAACUUUUGCAGCUCACCGAGAUCCAACGUGCCCCGAACGAGGUGUCACGAAGUAGGAUAAGGGCAGACGAAUCUUUCCAGUAGCGUCAAAUGCAAGCAGCCACUCGAUCAGCCAUGAGCCGAGCGUUCAGGCAGUGUACAUUCCCGAUUAGGCCCCCAAGAUAGCGUAUACUCCCGUCUUAGCGCGCGGAUGAGUGUGCACUCUUGAUUGGGCCCGAAGACAAGUAUACACUUACGGUUGGAGUCACAUUCCGAUAAUCAACAUAAGAAGCCUUUCAGGCAAAGUGUUUAUUCGCGGCUGGGCCUGCAAGGAGUAUCCUCCACAUUACAUCAGAGCAGGCAGCACGACGGAUAGAGAGAAACAGUCACUCAAUCUGCCUCAAGUUCAACCGGCAGUCUGCGAAGGAGUAUCCUCCACAUUACAUCAAAGCAGGCAGCACGACGGAUAGAGAGAAACAGUCACUCAAUCCGCCUCAAGUUCAACCGGCAGUCUGCGAAUAAUUCCCUUGUUUGCCAAGAGUGGACCACAUGCACCCUGCCACGACGUAGACGAGCUGAGAACAUGGAAAAGUAGCCUAGACCAGUAGGUCAAGACCGGGGCAACCGAUAGCCCUGCCACCCCCAACAAAGGUAAAUUUAGGAAGAAGUAGAAAGGCUCAUGACCAAGCGAUUGCGUAAUUUCCCGCACAACGAAGUUAUUAAUAAGACACUCCGAUGAGACAUGACCAACAUAAGCGAGUCAUCUUUCAAUGACAAGAUCGAGCAGAAGGGAUUACCCCACAUAGAUUGUCGAAUAUAAAGAUAACUUCUGCUCUGACAAACAUAGCAGCUCAGCCUAAUGGCGCACCGGGGGCAAACGAGUACCAAAAGGACACAUUAACCCAACUACCAAGAACCGGGGGCAGGUUAAGGAUUAUUUCAGUUGUCUCAUCAGUCUAGCUUUCCUCAGCUGCACUCACAACAACGACUUCCAUGCUCUCCAGUGCGAUAGGGUAAACCAAUUCCCCGACACCCAAAAGGGUAUGUUCUCUAGUGCGAGAGGUUAAACUAAUAUGCUUUCCAGUGCGAGAGGGUAAACCAAUUCCCCAACACCAAAAAGGGUCUGCUCUCUAGUGCGAGAGGUUAAACUAAUUGCUCUCCAGUGCGAGAGGGUAAACCAAUUCCCCGACACCCAUAUGGGUAAGCUCUCGAGUGCGAGAGGAUAAACUAAUUACUCUCCAGUGCGAGAGGGUAAACUAAUUUCCCGACACCCACCUAGGUAAGCUCUCCAAUGCGAGAAGGCCACAUAGUUCAAAAGAUCAAAUGCUUGAAGAUCAACUAAGUAACAAAUGGUUAGGGGGUAGCAGCUACUUUUACACUUAACAGUUCGAUCAUCCGACACUUCGUCUUCGACAACUCCGAUCUUGGCAACUUCAUCCUUGACUACUCCAUCUACGACAUCUGAGAAAUCAAACUCAAGCAGUUUCCUCAUUUUUGGCAAACAGCCCAGACGUGGCAGCCCAAAUCGUUGUCCAUGCCACGCCAUUUCCUCGGCCUAUGCUGAGCCAAUCCUUGGCUUCAAUCAAGCCAAGUAACACAAACAAUGGCCUUUGCCACAUCACCUCCUUGGCCCAUGCCAAGUCGACUCCUGGCCCCUACCAACCGAUGUGCCGUACCACCCCGAUGGUUGCCCCGUGGCAGCACCUUUCAAGAAGAAGAUAAGGAGAAUUAAGUUUUUCUUACAUCGGUGCGGCGUGGAGAAGACGAAGAAAGCAACGAAAAACGGUCUUUUGCACGGGCAAGAUAUAGAAGAUUGGUAGAGGAGGGGGAACAAGUAUCAUCUAAGCUCUCUCUCUCUCUCUUGUAGGGUAGAAUAAAUCACUUUUCAAAGUUGAUUUAAUAACCCACUUAAGGUGGACUUAAAUAAGCUUUGGGAGAAAUUUAUUUUCCUUUCCUAGAAGGAUCUAAUUUCAUAUUAAAGAGGGAAUCUACAUCAAAAUAGGAAGCAGUUCUAAGUUUCCUAGAGCAAGAAGAUCUCUACACCUGCUGCCUUUUUCUACGAGUAGUCCAGCAGGUGUGGGGGCAUUUGUGGAGCCAAAAAUAAUCACAAGGCAACACGUGGAUUUUUUAGUAAAAGAGGACCAAACUAUCCUUGAGGCACACUGGGAUUCUUACAUGCGAGCAGCUCAAAAAUGCUCCAAAGAGGUAACAAUUCAACAUUCAUCUUAUCAAAUUCCCUUUUUUUGCAAAGUAACCUCCAAAAUAAUAUUAAUUGGUAAAUUAAUAGAUUAAUUACCCAAUUAAUCCAUUAAUUAACUAUUAAAUUAUACAAUUUAACCUAAAAAUUGUUAAAGGGCCGACCACUUCCUUUUCAUCCUCACCUUUCUCACUUUUCUCCAUUUUAUUACCCCAUUUAUACAAAUAAAUAAUUUUGUAACCUCCCAUUUACUUCUUUCAUACUUAAUUAGCCUAUAAAUUGGCUAAUUAAGCCAAAACCAUAACCACAAAAUCCCUUGAAAAACCGGCCAUCCUAGCCCUAUAAAUAGGCUCCUAUUUUCACCAAACACUCAUUCGAAUACUUUGGCAAAAAUCCCAAAAAACUCUCCAAAUACUUUUCUCUCUAAAUUCUAACUUUGGCAUUGGAGGUUCUUCGGCCAAAGCCCCCCCCAUUCAUCGUGGGCGCGUGAGGCUCUUGGCCUUGACCUAAGGUGUUAAUUGUUUUGUAGGUGCAAUUUUGUCCAAGAAGAAGAAGGUGGGAAUUUGCAUCCACAAUUUAUACUUACAAAGACAUACAAAUUUUACUAAUCAACAUUGAAACAAUUGUGCAUAUUCCAUGAAAGCGUAAUGAGAUUAUAAAAUAGUCCCCCACAUGAAAUUUUCAGAUCUACAAUUUUCGUAAACUUGUGAUACACGGUAAAUGUGUGAAUUCUUCAAUGAAUUGUCUGGAGCCUAAAAUAAUUCCAAAAAUUCUAGAGGCAACACGUGGACUUUUGUUCGAGAAAGACAAGAUUGCCCUCAAUAACUGGACAUGCUCCUCAGAUACUCCCAUGCGCAGCUUACACCCCUGAAGGUCUCAACAGUUAAAUACAGUCUACACAUAGCUCACCUGCCCUUAGCAAGGAAAAGUCAAAGCAUGAAAGAUAAGGAUUAAUUACCCAAAUCCUAUCUUUAAUACAUUCCCAAUUGAAGAUUAACUCCAAUCAAGUAAGUAAUCCCAAUUUAAAUCAAUUAGGGAUAAUUACUCCAUUAUCUCAAGAUAUUAUUUCCUAUUUAAUAUCUUGAGAAUAUUUCUCCAUAAACAUUGAUCAAUAGGAUGCCGCCAUGUGUAGGGUAAAACCCUAACACUAUGGCCAGCCCUCUCCCUUAUAUAUACCCCAUAUUCUACCAAAUUUCAAAAGCUUUUGCUACCCUAAAAAAGCCCUAAUCACUUUACUCUCUCAGAGAAACUGAUUUAGGCAUCGGAGAUCCAUUGGCCUAACGCCCUCCCCUCCACCUUGUGGGCGCGUGAGGCUUAGGUCUUUGAUCAAAGGUGUUGAUUGUUUUGUAGGUGCAUUUUCGUUAAGACUGAAGACAGUGGAAAUUUGCAUCGACAAAUUAGUGCUUUCAUUGAGAGCUGAUUCAAAUACUUGAAGAAGCCUUUUGCAUUUGGUUUCUAGAAUUUUCUGUUACGUUGAAUUUCUCACAUGUAUCAAUUAGUUUUUCCUAGAAAAGUUUCUUGAUCAAUCCCUAGAGAAAGGAUAUAAUGGUAGAAAAUUCAAAAACCACGACGAAAGGAGUGUAAGUACAAGGACUUGGACCGGAGAGUGGAGAUGAGGACAUGGCCACACGACGGCGAUCCUCAAGGCUCAAUGGGAUGGCAGGAGGAUCCCCACUGCCACGGAAUCGCACCACCACCGUUGCCGCGACCCAGUAGCCACGACAAGGCCACCAGGCCACGGCUCAGGCUCCUACAACGCUGCCCUUGCAGUGGCCCAAUCCCCAAAACCCUGGGCAGGAGGCCUAAAGCCUGGCAGCUAGCACAGCAAGCCCAGGACAGGAGGCCCAGCCCACCGCAGUAGCAAGCUGCAUCGCGGACCUAAGCCCACAAGAGCCUAGUAGACCUGGCCCAGCCAGUAGGAGCAGCCCAAGGACAGGCGGCCCAAGCCCAGCUCACUGCUAGCCGAGCCCAAGCUUGUGAGGAGCAAGGAGCGGCCCAGCGUCAGCCAGCCCACGCGCUACCCUAGAGCGUCCCCACACAGACUCUAAUUGCGCAGAUUAAAGUCUAUUUUAACUAGUACAUGCUUACAUAUAUUGUGUGAACAAUUUCAUUUUAUUUUGCUUUGUAUUAUAAAGUGUUGAUUAUUUUAAAAAUUCUCGAAAAAGCUUACAUGAGGUGCUUGGAUCAGAGUCGAUCGUUUUCGAGUCGUAACCCUUUUCGGGGCAGUGAGGAAGAUGGUGGCUUGGUAGUUGGGUUUGGGUGAUCUUAGCCUCUUAUGAAGCUUUUCUAUUUUUUAUUGUUAAGUUUCUUUUUAUUUAUUUGUUAUUAAAUUUUGUGGGAUCCACAUGUGUAUCACGUUAGCAUUCUAACAGAAGUUUUGACGAAAAUAUAAUGGCAAAUUGAUUUGUGGCAUCCAAUUCAAAUGUUACACUGAUCGAUUUCAAUUUCAAAUGUCACCUUAAUUAAUGCGUCAAUUUCCGAAUAUUUGCGUUGAAGACACAUUUUAGAAAAAUCUACUACACAACGUGUGGGGUGUUGAUUUGAAAACGCACGGUCAAGCACGGUAAUACCAAAAUAUUUGGAAUGGCCAUGGGGAAAAUUCCGUAUCUCGUCUCGCUUGAACUCGUUCGCUAACCUAUAUAUGUGUGCUGAAACACAGAGUCGAAAACAAACAACGCACGUAACAUUCUCAGCUUCUCAUCAAACUAGAUUAUUUUACUUUCUCUCUGUAAACCGUUGGAAUUUCUGUUCUUUCAUCACCCAAGAACAGAUUACGUAAUUGAAUUAAGUUUUGAGUCACUUUGUUUCCUAAAUUAUGUCUGUAGUUUCGGUCGGAAUGGGUGCUCUGAGAACGUCAUUUCAAAUGCUGUUUGAUGCGGUAAAAUCAGCGCAGGAGGAGAAUACAAUGUUCCAACACCUCCUCGGAAACAUCAAAUCCACACUGGAAUCUCUACAACCACUCAUCAAAGACAUCGAAAAGUAUAACUCCAAGGAGGGGCGGGAAAAUUAUGCAAUACAGAUGGAGGAAGGAGCAAAGCUUGUUCAAAAGUGCAGCAAAGUUGGCGUGGGGAGAAAACACGCAUACACAAAGAAGCUUAAUCAACUGGACAAGUCUCUUCGAAGAGUCUUUGAUGUGCUUAAACUGCAGGUUAUGAGGGAUGCGAGGGAGACGUUGGUUCCUUUGAGGAAAAUCGAGACGGUGCUCUCUCGAAUAGAAGAGAGAUUGAAGAUAAAAAAUAACCAGCCUGAAAUGGUUAAAUGUUCGUCUGCGGUGCCUGAAGCGCCAUCGGUUACAGUCGGGUUGGAUUUGCCGUUGAAGGAGUUGAAGGUUAAGCUCCUUAAGGAUGAAAAGGUGUCUAUGCUUGUGCUGACCGCUGCUGGAGGAUGCGGGAAAACCACCUUGGCUAAAAUGUUUUGUCAAGAUCAAGAAGUCAAAGGUAUGCUAAUUAAAAAGUAAUACACCGUGUAGAGGAUUAUGCAAGUAGAACUACGCGCUAGGGCCUAUAAAAUGUCCGCUAUACUCCCUCCAAACAUACACAGUAACCAAAAUUUGUUAAAGAAAAACAACGAAGGAGACAUGAAACUAAAGCGCACGAAAGGAAUAUAAGAAAGAUUAGAAAGGCCUAAAUGGGCAUGCCCAACAAAUAACAAGUGGUAGUGAUAUGAACUUGGCAUGAUUUUCUUUGUACUAAUUGUAAGUUAAGCUGAUGCCUUCCUCUUAGAGUUAACAGGUCUUGCAAUGAGCUACUGCUUGAUUACUUGGUCUCAGAAUUGCAGACAUAUCUAGUCAACCUUUUAUUAACACCUUUCCUACAUUCUGUUUGGAUAGAUACAUUCAAGAACAACAUCUUCUUUGUCAAUGUCUCGAAAAAGCCCAACUUGGACCUUAUUGUACACGAACUAUAUCAACGGAAGGGGUCCGAGCUGCCUGCUUUCGAAAACGAAGUCAUGGCGGCUAAAUGGUUGCAACAAUUUCUGAAGGAAUCAAGACAAAAUCCUCUACUGUUUGUCCUGGAUGAUGUUUGGUCAGAAUCAGGGUCCCUUCUUGAGAAGUUUGAUCAAUUCAAGUUUUCAAAUUGCAAGAUUUUGGUCACAUCAAGAUUUGCAUUUCCAAGAUUCGGUUCUCCUUAUCAUUUGGCACCAUUGAAUGAUGAAGAUGCAAUGGAUCUUUUUCACUAUUCUGCAUCCUUGGAGGAUAAGAGCUCUUAUACUUAUGAAGAUCUUUCGAGAAAGGUGAUUUCUUAGUCCACAAUACACACACACACACACAUACAUAUAUAUGCUUAUUUAUGCCCCAGAAGAAGGUAAAGAAAUAACAUUUGAGCAUCCACACACGUUAAUGAACUGUGAAGAAUGAAGUAAGAAGAAUGAAAGACUAGACAGUUUACAAUUUUAUCAUCUUUAUGAAACCAUUUAGAUGAUUUUCAACAAUUUAAUCAAAUAAUAGUAAUUGAAUUCAUUUUGGAUAAUUAAAUUGCAGAUUAUCAAGCGCUUUAAGGGAUGCCCACUUGCCAUUGCAUUGGUUGGGAGAUCACUUCGCGGCCAGCCUAUAGAAAUCUGGCACAAAAGAGUAGUGGAAUGGUGCAAAGGUUCAUCUAUUCUUGAUUCUGACAGGGAUUUACUUGCUUGCCUCCAAAGCAGCUUAGAUGCCUUGGAUAAAGAGAAGGCUAUCAUCAAGGAAUGUUUCCUCGAUCUAGGUUCUUUUUCGGAGGACCAAAGAAUUGCUGCUGCCGCCCUCAUUGAUAUGUGGGCGGAGUUAUAUGGUCUAGAUGAAGAAAUUCUGACCAUUGCCAACCUUCAUGAGCUCACCGCCCGAAGUUUAGCUACUCUUGUUGUCACAAGGUAUGCGGGCUGCUCAUAAUUUUCUAUUUCAUUAUGUAUGCCGAACAAAUCAUUAAAGAAUUAAGCAUCGAUCAUCCAGGCAUGAGAGGGAGGCGGAUGGCUAUUACACUGAACACUUUGUCACCCAGCACAACAUGCUUAGAGAGUUGGCGAUCCAUCAGGGGAGUCAAGACCCAAUAGAACAUAGGAAACGACUAUUUAUAAACAUAUGCGGGGACAAACUUCCUAAGUGGUUGACAGAACAAAAGUAUCAAGCAAUCAAGGCUCGACUGUUAUCUAUCUCAACAGGUUCCAUCAAUCUCUCUUUAGUAAAUACUUAUACAUGUGCGCUCGGGACAUGGUUUGUGUGCACACACACACACGCUCAUUCAUACUAAAACUUCAAUAGGACUUCCACACAUUUAGGCUAAUAUCUUAAAGCUUAUUGUUUGCAGAUGGAGCCUUCUCAGCAAAAUGGCCAAACAUGCAAGCACCUGAAGCAGAGGUUCUAGUUCUGAAUUUUCAAACAAAGAACUAUGCCUUACCUGAGUUUGUGGAGAAAAUGGAUAUACUAAAGGUUCUAAUACUAAAAAAUUAUGGUUUGUUAUCUGCUGAACUAGAUAAUUUUGAACUACUUGGUUCGUUAUCAAAUCUUAAGAGAAUUAGAUUAGAACGUAUUUCAAUUCCAUCCAUAAGCAAGGUCCUUAAACAGUUGAAAAGUUUGCAAAAGAUAUCUUUUUUCAUGUGUGAUAUCGGCCAAGGUUUCGUCCAAAUUUUAGAUGCUCUGCCAAAUCUAGUGGAAUUGAACAUAGAUUAUUGCCAUGAUCUGGUGCAACUUCCUGCCAACCUCUGUAACCUUGUUCACCUUAAGAAGCUUAGCAUCACCAACUGUCAUAAGCUAUCUACCUUGCCUGCAGACAUCGGAAAGCUUGUAAAUCUAGAAGUGUUGAGGCUUAGGUCAUGUGCAGACUUGUUAGAGUUGCCAGGCUCGAUUAGGAACCUUAAAGUUUUGAAAUUUCUCGACAUAUCCGAUUGCUUUAGCGUAAAGGAGUUGCCCGAGGACAUUGGUGCAAUGUGCAGCAUGGAAAAGAUCAACGUGAGCCAGUGUUCAAGACUGAAAGAGCUCCCUGCUUCUGUUAUGGAUCUUGAGCAGUUGAACGAAGUGAUAUGCGACGAGGAGACGAAAACUUUAUGGGAACCCUUCUUACCGUUUCUCACAAACAUACACUUGAAGGUGAUCAAAGAAGAUAUCAACCUAAAUUGGCUCAACAAGCUUCCAUCCUAAGGCCAUCCUAAGGCCAUGGUCCUUCCAUCAAUGAGUGUUGGUGCAAUGUAUGCAUCGUGAUUGUGUUUAAUGUUAUUUUUCCUUUGUAAUUUGCUUCUAUUUUAUGUUUUAUAUGAUUUAAAAUAACACGGCAAUACUGUAGAAUUAUUGUAAUUACUCACCAUGGGUAUUAUUGUAAUACCAUGUUUGCAUUCC